rnacentral:lncRNA from 1 species
ACAUUUUGUCCCAUACGCUUACAUUUUUUAGACAUGGAGUAGUAAUGCUAUUCAGAUGUUUUAGGUGCUUUUGGGCAUGGUAUCUAACCUUUGUUAAAUGAUUUUAGCAUUAUAAAAUUUUUAAAAUGAGUUACAUUCUAGCCUCCAUUCUCUUAUUUUUUAUGUUUUUGCAUUAAAGAAAUAUAGGACACUGUUAUGAUAGGCAUGAUUUAAUCUCAAUCAUCCUUUGUUUGACAGCUGGGCUACACCAAAAAGCAAGAGGAAAGGCAUUUUCGUGGUGUCAUUGCUUUGGAGGUAUGGAGAAUUACUACUCUGUUUCAGUUUUGGUAUUAUAUUAUUUAUUCUAUUGUCACAACCUUUUUUCACCAUUUUGUAGUUUAUUGCCAUCUUACUGGCUGGGCAGGAGUAAGUUGUAUAUGAAUAGGCCUAUAAAUAACCUUUAUCAAUGAAGUUUGCCUUAUUACUGCAAUAGGAACACUUUCUAAGUUAAAAUGGAUAAAGAUGGCCAAUGAUAAAUUUAACAAGUUAACAGUUGCCUCACAUACUAACGAACUUCAAGUAAAAUAUUUUAAGCUUUUUCUUAGUUUUACAAACUGCUAGUAAAAUUUUUUAAGCUUUUUCUUAGUUUUCUUUGGAUACAUGCUACCCAGUGUUCAUUCCUUUGGAUGUUACUUUCAAUAUUUUACCAAGUAGCUUCUGUUUUGAGCUGUUUUUCAUCUUACUUCGCAAUAAUCUAUGUACAUUUGCUGGCACAGGAAUGUAAUAUUGAGGAGAUUCCGGAGGAGGAGGAACCUCCAGCAAAAAGUUCGAAGGAUAAAAAGGCUAAUGGACCUGAUUCUGGGAAAGCACCAAGUCUUGUAUUUAAGAUUACUAGCAAAAUUCCUUAUAAAACUGUUCUGAAAGGUAUUCUUUAUGUUUAAAUCAUGGAGUUCCUCUGGCGGUAAAUUUUCUUUUUUUAUUCAUUUUUUCAAAUUGAUCUGCCUUUAUCUUGCAGCCCACAAUGCUGUUGUUUUGAAAGCUGAGAGCACCGCUGAUAAGGCGGAAUGGAUAAACAAGAUAAGCAAAGUUAUUCAAGCUAGGGGAGGACUUGUUAGAGUUGCUGAAAGUGGUCAUACGAUGCGUCAGAGUCUUUCUGAUGGUUCUCUUGUGAGUUUAAACUCUCUUAACUUUGCAAUACAAAUUUUGAAGUAAAGAGCUACUUACCUGUGAAGGAUGUUGUUCCUUUUGCAUAUGCAUAGAAAUUGUGAUCGAGUGUUAAUUUCUUUUCUUGGUGGUUUUUCUAGGAUACAAUGGCUCGAAGACCUGCUGACCCUGAGGAAGAACUUCGAUGGAUGUCUCAAGAAGUACGUGGUUACGUUGAAGCAGUUUUGAAUAGUUUAGCUGCUAAUGUGCCCAAAGUAAGCUCAUUCCUUAACUUUGCCAAUUUAAUAUUUUCAGUUGGUUACUUAAUAGAUCUGAUAUUUUUGUGAAUGGUUGAGCAGGCAGUUGUACUUUGCCAAGUCGAGAAAGCGAAGGAAGACAUGUUGAAUCAGUUAUAUAGCUCCGUCAGGUUGAUGGCUUUCUUAUUUCUCUCUUAUCAAUUAAUGAUCAUUUUGUUUGUAGUAAUUGUGCAUGGAUUCAAUAUAUGGUAACAUUAUUGAAAUUUUGUUUAGAAAGCUGAUUGAUGCUAACAUAAUUUGUAUUUUACCUUGGGUAGUGCACAAAGCACGGCAAGGAUUGAAGAGCUGCUUCAGGAGGACCAGAAUGUGAAGCGUAGGAGGGAUCGCUAUCAGAAACAGUCUGAACUCCUGUCUAAACUAACCCGCCAACUUAGCAUUCAUGACAACCGAGCGGCUGCUGCCUCUAACUGGUCGGACGGUGGUGGUGGAGCAGGUACGUGGUCUUUUGUUCAUAUACCAAGUGGAAAAAAUUGUUCAAUUUAACAUUUCCCUUUUGUCUGUUUAAAAAAUUAUAACAUUGAACUUUUGAGUAAAUAUCUAUAGUCUAAUGACAGUGGAUCUUUUCUUAACCUAAUUGUUUGCUGAUUUUGGAAUUAAAAAUUUUGUUCUGAACUUGAAUUAAUCUACUGUUUGAUUAUUGGAAAGGUUUCUCAGGUGACACUCAAGAAAUGCUAACCAAACCUAUUAAUUGCUUGAACUGUCUUACUAUUGAGCUACUUUCUGACAAAAGAUUGUUAGAUUGAUUUGUUUGUACCAUUGGAUUUUAAAAUUUUUAUUUAUUUGUACCAUUUAAUUAAAAAUGUUUUUUUUAUAAGACCGUCAUUUUGAUUUUAAAAUGUUUGUUAAAUCUCUAUUUGAAACAUUUUGAUGAUGGAAGUAUUGGGUUAUGUAAUAUGCAGAAAGCAGCCCUAGAACAAGUGCCGCAUCAGGUGAUGACUGGAGAUCCGCAUUUGAUGCUGCUGCCAAUGGACCUGUAAGCCUUCGCAGCUACUCUCGGUCUGCAUCCAAUGGGCACAGCCGGCGUUACAGUGAUCCAGCCGAGAAUGGUGAUGUGAGAUCUGGUUCAAACUCGGGCAGUCGUCGUACUCCUAAUCGGGUGCCGCCGCCUCCGCCACCAACACAGUCAGGCUCCAAGUACUUUUAGGUGGCUUACAGAUUUUGGUUGACAAUUCAUAUUUUCUCUGCAUAUUUUUAGUGAGUGAAGGCCUGCUUAACCACUCAUGAUUCCAGUAGUUGGUUAAUCACUUCUUUAGAAUCUUCAAAAGAGGGUGCUUUGUGUAAAUAGGACUCUAUAGUUCCUGAGCUGAAAGUCAGGAUUUUACGGCUUGCCCCUUGUCAGAACUAUGAAUUCAAAGUGUAUUUGAAUUCCAUUUAUCAUAUUCUUCUAUUCAUUAUUUUGUUUUUGUUUUUGCUUUUGCUUUUGGCUCCUCCCCUCAUUUUUGGACGAUGGUAUAGUUGUAUUUGUUUGUGUCAGUUCUGGAUAUAUGCUUUCGGACUUUUGGCUUUGUAUCAUUUGGAAAAUUCUUGUAAGGGGAGAGAUAUAAAAAUAUUUCAUAUAUCUACUUCUCUAUUAAAGAUGCAACUUUUUGUUGUAUUUCUGAGUUGGGAUGUUGCUCGGCGAUUAGUUUUUUUGUUUUUUUUUUGACAGUAAUUGGUCUCAUUAUAAUAUAACUAACUCUUUUGAUUGUUACUGAUUUAGUGAAUCAAGGUGGCCAUCAUACGGGGCAUAUUUAAUAUGUUUUCCCUCUACGUUAUUUGUUUAAUUUUUAUUUUAUUUUUAUCAACUAAUUUUUAUGCACCUCAGUUAGUCUGUAACUGUACGAGUAUAAUGGUUUAUUUAUGUUUUUUUUUUUAAUAUUUUGAAGUAAUCUAUCUCUUAUCAAACUGCAACAAGUUAAUAGAUUAUUUUCGUUAGAGCCCGCGGACAGACGCAAAAGCCUAUACACUAGACAGUCAUUGCCGAUAGUUAUGGUGCGAACAAUUUGAGAAUGACUGUAGCUCUUAGUUUUUCUCUCUUAAUUUGCAAUGAUAGUUACAAGUAAAUUUGAGAUUUCUUCUUAUAAAAUGAUUUGUGAAAUUAAUGCGUUCACUUAAAUAUUAAUCUGGUAUAUUCUUUUAAUAUAAUUUUUUUUAAUUUAAACAUCCAAAUUGAUUAUAGAAUAAAUGUAGUAGACUCCAAUUAAUUUUGUAUUAUAUAUAUUAAUAUUUUUGUAACGUAAUUUCGUGACUUGUAUAUGAACAUUUUCCUUGUACAAUUUCUUUUAAUAAUUGCAAUAUAGUAUUGACUCAAUCCUAUUAGGGAUUUAUUUAUUUAUUUUUCUUUUUUUUUCUUUUUAAAUCUCGGCAAAGCUUAAAGAGGAGAGCCAAGAGAGCAAAUUUGUUAAACAAACAAAUUAGAAAAACGAAAGGCAUUAAGGUAAUAGCUGAAAAUCAUAAACAAUUGUACUUCCUACAUUGCGGCGUGGAAAUAUACGAAUAAAUUAUGAAGCAAAAAUUUUCAGACAUACUGAAGUUAAAAUUUUUAGACACAUUGAGUUCAGACCGUUAAAUAAAAUAAAUUAAUUUGAUUCCUUUUACUAUAACCUUUUUUUUCGCAAAAUUUGUUAAGGAAUAUGCACUAACAAAUGUAGCCAUAUCUAUGAUGGUACCUGAAACUUUUUCUCUAAUCUCUCCUAUUUUGUUCUUCAAUUAUUGCCGCUUUAUAAAUAUUUGUUUACGAUGAUCGAAAGAAAAAGUUUAGGUACUACAGUUACUUUUAGUCAUUAGAUAUAGUUAAUGUAAUUGUAUAACUGUGGAUUUAACGACUACAAAUAACUGUAAUACCAUACCACAGUUGCAACAUAAUUUUACCCCGUUAAUUGAGUGUGUUAAAUAGGUGUUCAGGGUAAUAAUGUUAUAUUUAUUUACAAUAAAUUAUUUUUAAUAGUAAUUAUAUUAUAGAUGUUUUUAUAAUAAUUUUUUAAUUAAAAUAUAAGUAUUUUUAAUAAUUUUUCAAUUAAGUCAAUCAGUCAAAGAUCCAGUGGUUAGAGCAGCAACUGUUAAAGAGAACCGAUGUGUUCUGCAUAGUCGCGAUCAUUUUGAUUCAGUAAUUGUUUUCAUCUCAUCAAAUAUCUUUCUAGUCAAUUGAAUUUUUGUUAUGGCUGCUUAUUCUUCUUCUCCUUCUUCUCCUCGAAACCGUAAGUAUGAUGUUUUUCAAAGUUUCAGAGGAGAGGACAACCGUGACAACUUUACUGGCCAUCUUUAUUCAGCCUUGUCUCAGAAAGGCAUUGAAACUUUCAUUGAUGACCAGCUUAACAGAGGAGAUGAAAUUUCACAGUCGCUUGUGGAUGCAAUUGAAGCAUCAGCUAUUUCACUCAUCAUUUUCUCUGAAGGGUAUGCCUCUUCCAGAUGGUGUCUCGAUGAACUUGUCAAAAUCCUCACACGUGAGGUGGCGAACUGGGUCUUUUGGGGAUUCAUUUUUGAAGCUUGAAGAAAUGUUCAAGGAGAAUUCAGAGAAGCUGCAGACUUGGAGGAAUGCUGAUACAACCUUCCACAUUCAGCUGGAUCAACCGGAUUAUUUACGAGAAGGGCAGCCCAUCGAUGAGUCUAAUUGUGUGCAGCCCAUGAAGGAAGCCUCAUCACAAGUUGAAGUAGACAUAGCUCGUGAGGAAGGGUAUACCGGCACAAGAGUGAGAAGAUCCCCUGGGUGGUUUAAAGAUUAUGUCGUAUAGUGAAAUUGAUAAAGCUUUAUAUUUUGCUGGUUUAUGUUGCUGUCAUAUUUUCUGUUACAAAGUUAUGCUGAGCUGUAUUCUUUUAAAAAGCCAAAAGACAGAGGAGUAUAUGUAUAGCAUAACUAAUUCGUGCAAAAGGAAUCCAGAAUGAAUCAUUUCUUUUUAACUUUUCUCUAUUCUUCUCUCACUCUCCAUCUCUCUCCCCACUCUUGCUCAUCUUUGUCAAUUUCUUUUGGAGUCAGCCCUCACUCGAAGAGUGCAAAUUUAUCGAUACAGCCUUGAUUGCAGAGAGGUGUAUCAAAUGCUUUGAAGGAAGCGGCCGGUCUGUCCGGCUUUCAUUCUCAGAACAUUAGGUAAUCAAAUUUCUUUUCUCAUACCAUUAUGGUGAUGCAACAGAAUGUUAUUUUCUGCUUGAUUAAUUACCAGCGCCCCAGCCAGUUAUAGUGAAUUUUUUUUUGUCAAGUAUGCUGAAUUAUGUACUUCAAUUUUAUUAGGCAUCCUAGUGUCUUCCGGCAAGUGAUUUGUGGAAUUGAUAUUUGACGGUUACAUUUGGUGUGCUAAAUUCUGUAUGUGUUAAACUCAUUUGAAAGAAUUUUGACAGAGUUAUUGAAAUCAGCAUUUGUGUGUUUUCAUUGGGUGUUCUUUCAUAUUUCAAGUAAUUCCAAUCUGUCACUCAUAUUCCUAUUUAAGAGUUAUUGUCAUAUUUUCGUGCAAAUCCCUCCUAUUUGAACUUAUUAUUUUACAUAUUUGCUAGGUCUGAAUCAGAACUUGUAAAGGAAGUUGUUAAUCAAAUUUUGAAGAGGCCGGCUGAAGUCUCUCCUUGUAGUAAUAAAAACCAGUUGGUUGGAGUUGAAUCAAGAGUUGAGGAAAUUGAAUCUCUACUAGGUGCUGAGUCGAAAGAUGUUUACGCUUUAGGGAUUUGGGGCACUGGUGUUAUAGACAGGACAACAAUUGCUAGAGCUAUUUUCAAUAAAAUCUCUAGUAACUUUGAAGGUUCUUGCUUCCUUCAAAAUGUUAGAGAAGAAUCACAAAGACCGGGAGGAUUAGGUUGCUUGCAACAAAAACUUCUUUCAAAAUUAUUGCAGGAUGGCAAUGUGAUUCCUGAUAUUGCCCUGAGCUUUAGACAGCUCAGCCGCAGGAAGGUUCUGAUUGUUCUUGAUGAUGUGACUUGUUUCAGACAAAUAAAAUCCUUAAUCGGAAGUCUUGAUUGGUACAUGGCAGAGAGUUGAAUCAUAAUAACAAGAAGAAAUCAACAAGUGCUUAGAAAUUGUUGUGUCAAAGAGAAAUAUGAGAUGAAGGAAUUAGGAGAUGAUCAUGCACUUGAGCUUUUUAGUCGACAUGCCUUCAAACAAAACAAUCCUCAUAUAGGUUUUGAGGAACUGUCAAGCAGGGUCACACAAUAUGCUCAAGGUGUUCCAUUAGCUAUUGAAAUUUUGGGUUGUUUUCUAUUUGAAAAAGAAAAACAAUUUUGGGAAAGUGCAAUAAACAAAUUGAAAAGAAUCCCUAAUAUGGAAAUCCAGAAGGUGCUAAAAAUAAGUUUUGAUGGUUUGGAUGAUGAAGAGAAAAAUAUUCUUCUAGACAUUGCUUGUUUCUUUAAAUGGAAAAAUAAAGACUUGGUCAUAAAAUUUCUUAAUGCUUGUGGCUUCACUGCACAAAUAGGAAUAAGUAGUCUUGUUGACAAGUCUCUUAUUUGUAUGCACGGCAACAAUAUAACAAUGCAUGAUCUUCUACAAGAAAUGGGUAGGGAAAUUGUACGGCAAGAAUCAACGAAUGAUCCAGCAAAACGUAGUCGGUUGUGGCAUCAUGAGGAUAUUAUCAAAGUCCUGACAUCUAAUACGGUAAGCAUUUUGUUAGAGAAUAUAUUAUUUUGGAAUGCUAUUUAAUAUUCAAAGUUUACUUAUAAUUGUAUAAAUAGAUGGGUUUAUAAAAUUUAUAAAAGAUUGGCAAUGAUUAAGUGGGAAAAAAAAAAGAAAAAUUGGAAAAAAGGAAACCAGUAGUACAUGAUGUAGCAAUAAUGUAUAAUUGCUAUGUCAAUUUGUAUAUAACAGUUUGCGGACAAGCAUUGAUAGUUUAUACGUUGUCUGCAUUGAUAGUUUAUAUGUUUAGUAUUACUUGUAUUAUCCUGUUUCUUUGUAAGUAGGUUUAGAUUUACCAGUUUGAUUGCCAAACAAUAACUAUCUACUUGAAUUGUAUAAAUUUGAUUUUAACAUUAUGGUCUUUUUAUUGAUUAUUAGGGGACUGAAGCAAUUGAAGGCAUUUGCUUGGAUAUGUCUAAAGUGAAAGAGAUCCAUCUAAAUCCUGAUACUUUCACAAAGAUGAGUAAAUUGAGAUUUUUGAAAUUCUAUUGCUCAAUCCAUGGAGAGAACAAAUGUAAGGCAUCUGAUUUCUAAGGUCCUGUAUUUGCUGAAGUGAGGUAUUUUCACUGGCAUGGAUAUCCAUUGAAAUCACUGCCUUCAAAUAUUCAUCCAGAGAAACUAGUUUUACUUGAAAUGCCUCAUAGCAAUAUUCAACAACUUUGGGAUGGUGUCCUGGUAUGUAUAUCUUAACAUAUGCAUGCAAUGUUUAAGUCAUAACAUUUAAUUAUCAUAGCAUGCUAAUGAUUUGUCUUGACCUCUUUUUUGUCUCAGCAGCGUUGUGGUAAGCUAAAGCAGAAAAUCAUCUCUGCCUGCAAUAUUUUUACCAAAACUCCAAACCCCUCGUUGAGUCAACCUCUGAACACGCUGGUUGUCCUGAAUCUAAGGCAUUGCAAAAGUCUGAAAAGUCUUCCAGCUGGAAUUCAUUUGGAAUUUCUUAAAGAAUUUGAUCUUUCAGGUCGUUCAAAACUGAGGCGGCUUCCAGAUAUCUCAUCAGCUGCUAAUAUAGAAGAGAUGCUUUUAAAUGGAACUGCAAUUGAAGAGCUGCCCUCAUCCAUCGAGUGUCUGUAUAAGCUUUUGCGCUUGGACCUUGAAGAUUGCAAAAGCCUUAAGAGUCUCCCAAGUGGCCUGUGUAAGUUAAAAUCAUUAAAAUAUCUUACUCUCAAUGGUUGCUCAAAUCUUCAGAGAUUGCCUGAUGAACUCGGAAAUUUAGAAGCUUUGUGGAGUUCGCAUGCUAUAAGAACUGCUAUAAGAGAAGUGCUAUCAUCUUUUUUCCGUUUGAACAACAUUGAUCUCUUAAGUUUCCAGAGAAGCAGGGGUCAUAAGCAGAUGGGUUUAUCAUUGCCUAUCAUGUUAUCUUUAGAUGGCUUGCACACUCUAACGUAUUUAAAUCUAACUAAUUGUGGCAUCACACGGUUACCUGAAAAUAUUGGCCAGUUAUCCUCGAGAGAAUUCCAGAAAGCAUCAUACAACUUUGUAAGUUGGGAAGGUUCUACUUAAGGUAUUGUGAGAGGCUUCAAUCCUUACCAAAGCUUCCAUGCAAACUACAUGAGUUGGAUGCACAUCAUUGCACGGCACUGGAAUCGUUAUCAGGUUUAUUCUCAAGUUAUGAAGCUUGUACUCAGUAUUUUGACCUGAGUUAUAAUUAUAAAUUGGAUCGAAAUGAGAUCAGAGGAAUUCUUGAAGAAGCUCUGCAAGAAAUUCAACUCUUGGCAACUGCACGAUGGAAAGAAGUAAGAGCGGAGUUAUUAAUUUCUUUUUUCUUCAAAUUAAAGUUGACAAUUAAUAUUUGAUUAAAAUUAUGAUUUUCUGUGGUACAGAUAUAUUAUUCUCAAAAAUAUGCACUGUUGGUUCGUGUCUUUUUUCCUGGGGAUGAAAUUCCGAUGAGGUUUAGCUUUCAAAGUAUGAAAUCUUCUAUAACCUUGAAGAUGCCACCAGGUUGGUUCGGUAAUAAAAAGGUACUCGGCUUUGCUUUUAGUGCUAUUGUGGCAUUUGGAGAACAUAAUGUCAGAGAAAAGAGGUGGUUCGAAUUGUUUUGUGAAUUCAAAGUCAGACCCAAAGAUUCGCAUGCCAUACAGAGAUUUAUGGGGAUGGUUGAUUAUGUAGAGUCAGAUCACUUACUUUUGGGAUACUAUUUCUUCGAUGAUCAGGAUUUGAAUGGUUUUUGGAAAUACAAUUGCAUUCUUGAGGCAGUUCAAUUCUAUUUUAAGGAGGAUUUUAUCGCUCUGAACGUUUGGAGUGUUGCCCGGUGAAAAAAUGUGGGAUCCAUUUAUUGUAUGUACCAGACUCUACAAAAUCAAUGGAAGAUCCAAGUGAAUUUUUCUACCAUAACCAUGAAGAGGAACGACACCCCAAAAGACUCAAAUAUUCUUGAAAACGUGUAUUGCAGCUGGUAUUUUUGAGAAGAGAUAUGUUAGAUUAAUUCAUCGGUACUGUUUGAUCUUAAAAUGUUGCUUUCCAAACAUUUCUUUUAUGAUUUUAUAUUUUUAUAUGAAGAUGGAAGUGACUUUUAGAUGUUUUUCAACUCUUUUAUUUUGAUAAAAGCUACAUUUCACGUCCAGUACUAUUGUUUGGUCCAAGCAGUUAUUGUUUGACUUUUGGUUGGUCUGGCUAGUGUUUAGAUCCUUGUGUAUUUGUGUUUAUUUGGUUUCUGCAUGAAAUGUAUAUUAAAUCAAAUUUACAAUGCAUGUAAGUCCGUUUAUAGUUUAGACAUAAUUUUCGGCCACUAUUACUUUAAGAUGUUCGGAUCAAUGCUUCCUUAUCAGUAGUAAAUUUUUGCUGAAUUCUUUUGGGAAAAUUUCUCUGCAACUAGCUUAUGUUGAAAUCUCUGUAGUCUUGUUUGGCUGGAAAGACAGCAUCAGGUGUUGGAGGUGAACUAGAAACGAACUUCAAAAAAGGCAACUGAGGUAGAUCAAGGGAUUGUGAACAGGGUAUGGGGUCCUUUUCCUGAUAUAAUCGGAUUACGACUUCAAAUGACAAAUGCAUUGAGUAGACACUUUUUCCUUUGAAAUGAGUAUCUAAACUAUGCUGCUCAAUGGUUCUAGUGUUAUAAAACUUUGGAAAUGAGUUACAUUUUAGCCUCUAUUCACUGAUUUUUAUACGUCUUUCCAUAUAAAUAUAUAGACAGAGGUACAUACCUAAUUCAACAUUUCUUCCUAUAUAGCUAGUAUUCAUAGAGAUGCACCGAUAUAUGGAGCAUUUUGCUGUUAGUAUUAACAACUUUUAUUUAUUCCUAUAAGUUCUUUGUAGAAACAAUCAGGUGAUGACUGGAAAUCUGCAUUUGAUGCUGCUGCUGCCAAUGGACCUGUUAAGCCAUCGCAGCUACUAUCGUUCUGCAUUCAAUGGUCAUAGCGGGGAUUACGGUGAUCUGGCCUAGAAUGGUGAAGUGAGAUCUGGUUCAAACUCCAGCAGUCAUCGUAAUCCUAAUGAGGUGCUGGCACCACCCCCACCAGCAGCAGAGUCAGGAGGCUAUAGGCACUUCCAGUUGGCUUACAGAUUUUGGUUGACAAUUCAUAUAUUCACUGCAAAUUUUUAGUGAGUGAAGCCCUGUUUAACCACUCCGUGAUUCCAGUGCUUGUUCAAAAAUCACUUUACUAGAAUCUUUAGAAGAGGGUGUUUUGUGUACAUAGACAUAGGACUCUAUACGGCUAGCUUCAUGUCAAAGCAAUGAAUUCAAAGUGUAUUCAAAAUUCAUUUACUAUAUUCUUUCUUCUUUUCAUUAUUUUGCUUUUAUUUUUGGUUCCUCCCCUCACUUUUGGACAACGAUAUAGAUGUAUUUGCUUGUAUCAGUUCUGGUUAUAUACAUACUCUUGGACUCGUGGCUCCGUUUAGAAAAAAAAAAAAAAUUCUUGUAAUGGGAGGUAUGUAUUUUAUUUCAUAUACUCACUUCUCUGCUCAAGAUUCUGCUACUAUAAUCAAAGAUGCAACUUUUUGAACUAUUAUUUAUGCCAAAAAAUUCAGUAGUUAUUAUUAUUAUUUUUUUGACAGCAUAUCUCUUCUUUGAUUGUCUCACAUAUUUAUGGAAUAUUUAAGGAAAGUAAAUAGCUUUUGUUCACAAAUUGUUUUUGUUAGAGCAAAAUAGAAUUCUGACAAAUUCGAGAAUUGACCAAGAAAGCAAAGGGUAGCGUAUGAAGUUGCGGGUUGAAAUUACGGUGCUUUUGGGCAAUUCACACCCUCUAGAACCUUUCCAGCUGUCAUUCACUUUUUCUUUCUCCACUUGAAUAACGCGGAAUAAUUUCAAAUAAAAGUGAACAAAGCUGCAUUUUAAGUAAAAUUAUUGUCCAGAGAGCCAAGGAAAUCAAAUGAGAUGAAAUUAUCAAGAAACAACCUGUUUUUACUCUGCACAGAUACUACAGUCACUAACGUUUGCUCGAGAAAAAUACGCCGACUUUUCCGGGAAAUUUUUUUAUAUAUAUAUAUGAAAUAUAUAUAUAUAUAUAUAUAUAUAUGAAAGGAGUGAAAAAAUUUUGAACUUUAGAAAUUCUUUUUUGACUUUAGAAAUAGUGUAACACUAUUCACAUCAAAGAAGGAAGAUAAUGAGGCCAAUUCCCCAUAUAUAAAGCCAACAAAAUUAAAUUGAGUGAAGCCUUGCUUAAAAAACCCAUUCCAUGAUCCCAGUCCCACCACGCACUUUGUAUAAAAUUCAAUUUAUUAGAAUAAUUGGAAUCAUUAGGAGAGGAAAUAUAUUUGUGUGCUUAGGACUACAUAUAGUUCCUGAUGAACGUUGGGAUUUUUACGCGUGCCCCUUGCCUCCAUGUCUAAACAAUGGAUUUAAUUAAAUUGCAUUUGAAAUCCACUAAGCAUAUUCUUCCUUCAUUGUUUUGUAUUUUUUUUCUCUUUUUUUUCCCCAUUUUUCAAUCCUAUCUCAUUUUUGGAUGAUAUAAUGAACAUGUUUGAUCAGUUCUGGUCGGUUAUCAUUUGGAAAUAUUACAUUUUUUUUAUCCCAAUGCGAUAUAUUUUCUUCUCCAUUGAAGAUUCUCUGGACGCUAUUAACCAAAAAAUGCAACUUUUUUUCUGUUUAUAAAUUGCUUCUGUACCCAAAGUUGCAAGUACUUACCAAUAAUUUGAUAAACUUCAAUAAUAAAUAGGAUUUAAAAAAUGAACUUGAAACAUCUAUGUAAAAUAUUGGAAUUCAAUGAAAAGAGUAGGAAUAUAAAACCAAAAAGUUGUGGAAAAAAGAGUUGAAGAGCUAACCUAAAACUCGGAAAGAACUACCGAAAAUCUGAUAAAUCCAAUAAGAAGUAGGGAUCAAAAAAUAAACUCGAAACAUUCACAAAAAAUAUUGGAAUUAAGUUAAAAGAGUAGAAAUAUAGAACAAAAAAAUGGUGGAAACAAGAGUUGAAGAGUAACACAGGAGUGUUUGAAAUAUUUGGUAAUCAAGUUAAGUCAAGUGCAGCUCAAGUUCUUACAUUAAUCAAGUGAGCAGAAUUUCUGUGCAGAAGGGGCAUCUUUGGGAAUUAAACUGUACUGCAUGAGAUCGAAUUAAUUUUCGAACCAUACAUCAUUGGAAAGAUAUUUCUGUUAGCUUUCCAAUGAAUUUUACUAAUCUAAAUUUGGAGUUUUCUACAGUAAGUUAUGAUCAGUUAAGUGCAGACUGUUCAGUUUUUGAGUCAAGAAGGAUAUUUCGGGACUUGGAUUUUUUUUAAUGUUCUUUGUUGUGUUUUAAGCAUACCAAUGUUUUAUUAAUGUCUAGCUUUAAUGUUGGUCUUUAAAGUCAAGUUAUUUGAAGGGUUUCUUUGUAGUAAAUCUAUGCUUGGAGGAUUGUUCCAAGAAAGCUAUUUAAGCUUAUGUAGUUGUAACCAAAGGACAGAGAUUAAUUUUGGGAAUUGGAUGAACUUUGAGUUAUUAUCAAACUCUGUAUCUCUUUGGUGGAUUCCAUUGAGUGGUGAGUAUUUUUAAGCCCUGUAUCCUUAGCUUAACAACUUUAGGUGGUGAAUUUUUCUGUAUCCUUUUGUUGUUUGCUGUGGUGGUGAGCUUGUGAAUUCUUGGGUGUGUGACGUUGUGUUUUCUCAUCUAUUGUGUCCGGUGUCAAAUUGGUAUCAGAGAAUUGGGUUCUGAAAAUUUAUGGCUCAACGACGUCGGCGUAAUGCAAGAGUUGCAGAGCCUCUUGUUCGUGAGAGGGACUUGGGUGAUAUAGAAAGGGAUGAUCUUAGAAGACAAGUAGAACAGCUUCAGCAACGAUUACAACACCUUGAAGGAACUCGAGAAGCUGCUCCUAAUGGUAGUUCGGAAGAAGAAGGCUCAAUCAAUGACGGGGUAGAUUAUAAUCCCUUCCAUCAGGAACAAAGCUCCAAUAGUGAAUUUUCUUCUCGUUCUCGAAUUCAUAGGCGUCGUAAAUCUUAUCAGCCUUUCGACUUCAAGAUCGAAAUUCCUGAAUUUGAAGGAAGAAUGCAACCAGAAGAGUUUGUUGAUUGGCUUAAUACUGUUGAACUCAUUUUUGAAUACAGAGAUGUGCCUGAAGAUCGCAAAGUGAAACUCAUUGCCAUUAAACUUAAAAAGUAUGCUUCUUUAUGGUGGGAAAAUCUUAAGAGGCAAAGGAAACGAGAGGGACGGAGGAAAAUUGUUACUUGGGAGAAAAUGAAAAAAGAGCUUAAGAGAAAGUUUUUGCCCGAUAACUACAGGCAAGAUAUCUACCUUAAAUUCCACAACUUCAGGCAAAAGGAAUUGUCAGUGGAAGACUAUACAGCAGAGUUCGACAAUCUAAUGAUGAAGUGUGAUUUGGUAGAGGCGGAAGAGCAUACGAUCGCACGCUAUCUGGGUGGUUUAAAACCUGAGAUUGGUAAUGUGGUCCAGCUCCAACCAUAUUGGACUUAUAGUGAUGUAUGCAGACUUGCUCUUAAGGUGGAAAAGCAACAAAAAGAUGCUUGUGGUGGGGGUAUUCGGUUCACAGUUCAUGAUGUCAAUCGAGGGAGUGACUCCGUUUCUAAGCAUAAUUCUGGUUCGAAUUCUACUGCAAAGAAAAUUACGAGGAUUGAUAUUGGGGAAGGAUCUAAACAGCGAGCAAGUGGUUCGAAUGCUAGUUCUCGUCAAUGUUUUAAAUGCCAUGGUUAUGGGCACAUUGCUUCUGAGUGUCCUAAUCGUAGGGUGGUUGCCCUUGUUGAAGAGGAAAGCGAUGACGAGGAUGCGGAAGAUCAUGAGAAUCCUAGUGUCGAAAAGGAUGUUGAAGAUGAAGAAGUUACAUUUGCUGAUGAUGGAAACUCUCUAGUUAUUCAAAAGAGUUUGAGUAUUGUUUGUGAAGAUGGGGAAGAUUGGCUGAGAAAGAAUAUCUUUCAUACCAGAUGCACUUGUCAUGGAAAGAUAUGUAAUGUCAUUAUUGAUAGUGGCAGUUUUGAGAAUGUGGUAGCAACUGAAAUGGUGAAGAAGUUGAAGCUCAAAACGGAGCAGCAUCCUCAGCCUUAUAAACUUUCUUGGCUUAAAAAGGGAAAUGAGAUUGAGGUAAACACACAUUGCCUUAUUUCAUUUUCUAUUGGGAAUAAAUAUAAAGAUGAAGUUUGGUGCGAUGUUGUCCCUAUGGAUACAUGUCAUUUGCUUUUGGGUCGUCCUUGGCAGUACGAUAGAAUGGUUGUUCAUGAUGGUUAUAGGAAUACUUAUACUUUCAUUAAAGAUGGAGGUAAAGUCAUUUUGGGUCCUUCAAAGGUAGAGAAAAGUUCUAAACCUAUCAAAGGAGUGGAAAGCAAUUUGCUGACUGUUUCAGAUUGUAAAAAAAAAUUGGAAAUGGGUAGUGAAGUUUACGUGCUGCUGGUGUUUGAGGAAAAUGAAGAUAGCAAUGAGCCGCCUUUGAUUAUGAAGUAUUUUCUUGAAGAAUUCUCAGAUGUUGUUCCAGAAAAAUUACCACAUGGCCUUCCUCCUAUGAGGGACAUUCAACAUUGCAUUGAUCUUAUUCCGGGUUAUGUACUACCAAAUAAAGCGGCUUAUCGAAUGAAUCCAAAGGAGCACGAAGAAUUACAGAGGCAAGUUGAAGAGCUAUACAAGGAUGAUUCUUUCUUUGGCAGGAUUUGGAGAGAAUGUGAGAAUGGAUCAUAUGACCAGUACCAAUUGCAUGAUGACUUUCUUUUCAAAGGGAAUCGUUUAUGUAUUCCUCAGUAUUCUUUGCUGGAAUCUAUUAUCAUGGAGGCACAUGGCAGUGCUGUUGGAGGUCACUUUGGAAGGGAUAAGACGUUAGCUUGCUUGCAAGGUAAUUUCUAUUGGCCAAAGAUGGAUAAAGAUGUUGUGCAUCAUAUGCAGAGGUGUAAAAUAUGUCAUAUUGCCAAAGCUCAUGGUCAAAACACAGGCCUAUACAAUCCUUUACCAGUCCCUGAAGCUCCUUGGGAAGAUGUUAGUCUAGACUUUGUUGUUGGGUUGCCAAGAACUCAAAGAAACAAAGACUCUGUCAUGGUGGUGGUUGAUCGAUUCUCAAAAAUGGCUCAUUUUGUUCCGUGUAACAAGACAUUGGAUGCCUCUCAUGUGGCUGAUUUGUACUUCAAGGAGAUUUGGUUUGGGUUCAUCUUAGGAAAGAUCGUUUUCCACCUGGGAAAUUUGCUAAACUUAGACCAAGGGCUGAUGGACCAUUUACAGUGUUGCAACGCAUUGGUGAUAAUGCUUACAAGAUUGAGCUACCAGAUGGCUAUGGUGUUUCGUCAACAUUCAACAUAUCAGACUUGUCUCCUUAUCAUGAAGAAAAUGAUCAAAACUCGAGGUCGAAUUUUUUUUUUCAACUAGGGGAGAUUAACACAGGAGUGUUUGAAAUAUUUGGUAAUCAAGUUAAGUCAAGUGCAGCUCAAGUUCUUACAUUAAUCAAGUGAGCAGAAUUUCUGUGCAGAAGGGGCAUCUUUGGGAAUUAAACUGUACUGCAUGAGAUCGAAUUAAUUUUCGAACCAUACAUCAUUGGAAAGAUAUUUCUGUUAGCUUUCCAAUGAAUUUUACUAAUCUAAAUUUGGAGUUUUCUACAGUAAGUUAUGAUCAGUUAAGUGCAGACUGUUCAGUUUUUGAGUCAAGAAGGAUAUUUCGGGACUUGGAUUUUUUUUAAUGUUCUUUGUUGUGUUUUAAGCAUACCAAUGUUUUAUUAAUGUCUAGCUUUAAUGUUGGUCUUUAAAGUCAAGUUAUUUGAAGGGUUUCUUUGUAGUAAAUCUAUGCUUGGAGGAUUGUUCCAAGAAAGCUAUUUAAGCUUAUGUAGUUGUAACCAAAGGACAGAGAUUAAUUUUGGGAAUUGGAUGAACUUUGAGUUAUUAUCAAACUCUGUAUCUCUUUGGUGGAUUCCAUUGAGUGGUGAGUAUUUUUAAGCCCUGUAUCCUUAGCUUAACAACUUUAGGUGGUGAAUUUUUCUGUAUCCUUUUGUUGUUUGCUGUGGUGGUGAGCUUGUGAAUUCUUGGGUGUGUGACGUUGUGUUUUCUCAUCUAUUGUGUCCGGUGUCAAAGAGCAUAACCUAAAAGUUUGAAGAAGUUAACAAGAAUCUGAUAAAGUUUAACAAGUAGUCGAGAUCUAGAAAAUGAACCUGAAAUAUCCAAGCAAAAUGUUAGAAUUCAAUGAAAAUAGUUGGAAUAUAGAACCAAAAAGUGGUGAAAAUAAGAGUGGAAGAAGUUAACACAAAAAUUGAAAUAACUUAACAAUAAUUUGAUAAAUUUAAACGCAAAGUAGGGAUCUAAAAAGUAAAUUUGAUACAUUUACCCAAAAUAUUGGAAUUCAAUAAAAAUAGUAGGAAUAUUGAACCAAAAGUAGUGGAAAAAUAAGUUGGAACAACUUAGCAAUAAUUAGAUAAAGUCUAAUAGAAUAUUGAGAUUAAAAAAUAAACUUGAAAUAUCAACCUGAAAACUGGAAAUUUAAGGAAAGAACUGGAAAUAUAGAACUAAUAACUGAUGGAAAAAUGAGUUGAAACAGCUUACAAAAAAUUGGAUAAAUUCCAACGGAGAGUAUGGAUCUAGAAAUUGAACUUGAAAUAUCCAAACAAAAUUUUGAAAUUCAAUAAAAAGAGUAGGAAUAUAGAACUAAAAAGUGGUAGGAACAAGAGUUGAAAAAAUUAACCCAAAAGUUGAAAUAAUUUACCAAGAAUUUAAUAAAUUCAAAUGAGAAGUAAGGAUCUAAAAACUAAACUUGAUAUAUUUACCCAAAAUAUUAAAAUUCAAUAAAAAAUAGUAGGAAUAUAGAACCAAAAAGUGGUAGAAAAAUAAAUCGGAACAAUUUACCAAAAAAUAGAUAAAGUUUAAUAUAUUAUAGAAAUAUAAAAAUAAACUUGAAAUAUACACCUAAAAAACUGGAAGUUAAUGAAAAGAGUGUAUAUAUGAAACCAGAAACUAGUGGGAAAAUGAGUUGAAACAACGUACCAAAAUUUAGAUAAAUAACCACGAAAAAUAGGAAUUUGAAAAAUAAACUUGAAAUAUGUAUUAUAAAUAUUGGAAUAUAACAAAAUAAAUAGGAAUGUAACCAUUUUGUGAUAUGUUAAUAUUUUUUAUAUAUUUUUUGUACUAUUUUUAAAUUUUAAAUUAUUACAAUCUUUUUCCUCAUUUAAUUACAAUUUUAACCUUUUUCUAAUUUUUUCAUAAUUUUUUCACAUUAAAAACAAAUAAAAAUAUAAUUUUCAGUAUAUUAUCCGGUUAAAAACCGGUUGUACCAGUUGCAUGCACGCGCUGUAUGAGAUACAGCGUUGCAUGGUAGGUUGACUGAAAAAGACAUAGUUGAAGUCUCAUCAAGAUUGUCUUCAUUCGAGAAAAAGCAACUAUGUUUAAAACACCUUUAAUAAAGUACUAAUAAUUAUUAAAGACAUGUUUGACUAGACUUGCAGUUGGCAAGCAAAAGAGGAUGAAAUUAUUAAUUAAUUAGAACACAUGAAAGAUUCCUCUCAUUUUAUUUUUUAAAAGAAAGUAAACAUUUCAUUAAACUAAACUUUCAGCCAUACAUAAAACAUCAGCUGGGAAAUUGUUUCUCCAGAUAACAGAUUUCUGAGCUACACAAAGCCCUUUUAGCUAAAAAAUGGGCAAAACCAUUACACUUUCUUGGAACAUAUUGGAAAGAUAUCAGUUGGAAAUCUUGUGUGCUCUUGUGGAAGUCUGACAUAGUCCACCAAAUCUCUGUCCUGUUGCUAACUUUCUUAUUUGCUAAGUCAGCUACAUUUUUGCAGUCGGUCUCUAUAAUCACAUUUGACAGACUAAGAUCCUUGGCUACCUCCAUACCCCACUUGACAGCAUGAGCUUCUGCUAUAGCUACGUUCCCCUGGAAAUUCAUGCUUUUUACUGCUGCUGCUAACACUUGCCCUCGAUGAUUUCUGAUGACCACGCCCAAGCCUGCACUCUUCCUAUCUUCUUUGACUGCUGCAUCAACAUUGACUUUCACUUUGUUGUUUGGUGGUGGAGUCCAUAUCUGCAUCUUUCCCUCUACUGUAUUUCCAUGGCUCUCCCGUUCUUUAACCUGCUGAGCCUGAUACACUUCCAUAACUGCUUUGCCCCUAGCCACUGACCCUACUGGAUCUAACUUUUUUCCUUGAAAAAGGAGUUUGUUUCUAGCAUGCCAAGCAACCCACCAAAUCGUGGCCACGUAAUCUGCCUCAGACUUAGCCCAAUUAUUCAUAGCCCCAAUCAUGACACUAAGCAUGUCUUCUCUGAUGACGCUCUUCACCUCAUUCUCCAAGUGAGUACAUUUCCAGAUUUCCGAGCCACUCUGCAUUCCAUCAAGGCGUGGAAAACAUCUUCACAACCCGCUUUGCAUAAAUGGCAUGUCGGUUCCUUCAGCACUUUCCUUCUCCACAGAUUUUCUGCCGUUGGCAGCAGGUUCUUUGCAGCUUUCCACACAAAGAUCUUAAUUUUCUCUGGUAAGUUUAGCCUCCAAAUAUGUUGCCCGCCCUGUGGAGCUCCUGUAGAUCCGGCUGGAGAUUCAGAGAACUUAAUUUUGAGAGCUAGUUGAUAUCCACUCUUUACUGAGUAUAUACCUUUCUUAUCAUAAUGCCAUAUCACCAUAUCUUCUUGAGGAGUUCUCGGUAAAGGGAUAUUCCUUAUGAUUUCAGCAUCUUCCUUUGCAAAGUUUUGAUUGAUCAUUGUUUCAUUCCAUUGGUGAUUUUGAUCAAGAAGCUCUGAGACUCUAGAUUCAGUAGGCAAGGACUGUACCAGGAUUGGUUUGAAGGUUGAGGGCCUAGGGAAAUAUUCCUCUCAUUGAUUUCGUUGAAACAGACUUAAUUUGUAAUCAAAGUGAAAAUUCGUCAUCUUUCAGCGGUGAUUCCAACUUCUAACAAUCUCUAAGCAGUAAGUUUUCUGACAGUUUUAUAUUUACAUGUCUCUUGUAUUUGUGUAAUUAGUCUCUCACAUAAUUCAAUUUAAUAGGAAGUUUUGAUCUCUUGCUUCCAAGGCUCAAAACUUAUUGCAACAUUGCUGGCAAUUAGUGUGGGUUUCGGCUCUUUAAUUCAGCUUUGCUAGGUUUAAGUUCGACAUCGAAUUUUAUGCGUUUAGUGCAGUAUUUUAUGAACUAUUUUAAAGAGAUUUUUAAUUAAUUCUUAGGUACUUAAAAUAAACUUCUUGUCGGCAUACAAAGGACUAAAAGAGUAAAAAUUAACUAGAACACAUAAAAUCUUCUCAUUAAUUUCACUGAAACAACGUAAAAAUUCAUCUAACUGUGGUCGAAUACUUGCAUGUGUCUUGUAUUUUCAGCUUAUUUUUUGAACUUUUAUAUGUAUGUUUUUUGUGACAUAUUUUAAUCUUAUUUGGAAUUAAGAUAUUGUAGCUUUUAAACUACAGCAGCUAUGAAAAAAACUGUAAUUAUGAAACAAAAGUUAAUAAUAUAUAAUAAAUAUAAAUUUUAAAUAAUAAUUUUGAUAAAAUUAUUAGAGAUAUAAUGAAUUUUUUAUCAUAUAAGUGAAAAAUUAUAUCAAUAUAAUUUUUAAGUUACAGCAGUUAGUAUUUACCAAAUACUUUUCUGUUGUAGCUUAAAUAUCCACCCCCAUCCCAAAAGCACUCUUUAUAUAAUUAAUUUUUUCACAUAAUUCCAAAAAAUCAAUUUAGAGGAAAUUUCGUUCUCUUGUUGCCAAGACAUGAAAACUGGUUCCAACUCUGCAGGUAGUGUGUGUUUCUUGGACAGGAAAGUUGGCAGUGCAGGUUUUAAGUCUUCUUCAAUUCGGCAUUGAUACAGCAUCUAAUUCUAAAUUAGUUCUUAGGGACUUAAGAGUGCGACUGUCGUGGCGUCAAUUGCUCGCAUCAUGAGCAUCCACAAAGUUUCUCCUUUUGUUCCUUAUCCUCUUCCUCACUGGAAAUAUGACGUCUUCUUAAGUUUCAGAGGAGUAGACACCCGCAAAAAUUUCACGGACCAUUUGUACACUGCUUUGGAUCAGAAGGGAAUCAUAGUCUUCAGGGAUGACAAAGAACUUGAGAGAGGAGAAUCCAUUUCACCUGGACUCUUUAAAGCAAUUGAAGAAUCAAAAAUUUCAAUUAUUGUUUUCUCUAGAAACUAUGCUUGUUCGACAUGGUGCUUGGACGAACUUGUUCAUAUUCUUGAAUGCAAAAACAAAAAUCAUCAACAAAUGGUUUAUCCAAUUUUCUAUGAUGUGGAACCAACUGAUGUAAGGAAACAGACAGGAAUUCUUGAAGAAGUUUUUGCUCGACAUGAAGAAAUUCUUGCUCAGAAUAAAGAAAAGGUGCAAAAGUGGAGAGACGCUUUGAAAGAAGUGGCUAAUAUCUGUGGCUGGGAAUUGAAGGACAGGUAGUCUUUCUUAUUCUCAAAGAUUAAUUACCUAUAAUAGAUUUGAUUUGAAACUAUGUUUACACUCACUUUAAUUCAACAACACCAAUGUUUUCUUAAUCUUUUGCAAGCUGCAGGAAUCAGUCUGAAUUUAUUUUGGAGGUUGUCAAGGUGAUAUCAAGUAAAAGUCCUAUAAUAUCAGGGAUUCUUAAGAAUCUAGUAGGAAUAGAUUCACACUUGAAGAAUCUGAGGCUUCUCAUGGAUAAAGGAUCUAAUGAUGUUCGCAUGAUAGGGAUAUGCGGUAUGGGAGGUAUAGGGAAGACAACCCUUGCAAGGGUUGUUUAUGACUUGACUUCUCAUAAGUUUGAAGGAAGUAGCUUUCUUGCCAAUGUUCGAGAAAUUUCAAAAGAAGGCGGCCUGAUCUCUUUACAGAAGCAACUCCUUUCCCAGUUACUAAAGCUUCCAAAUAAUGGCAUAUGGAAUGUUUAUGAUGGUAUCAACAUCAUAGGAAGUAGGCUGCACCACAAAAAGGUUCUUUUGCUUAUCGAUGAUGUAGUUGAUAUCAAGCAAUUAGAAUGUUUAGCUGGAAACCGUGAAUGGUUUGGUCCUGGCAGCAGGAUCAUAAUAACAUCGAGAGAUAAGCAUUUGUUGAUGACGCAUGGAGUAGAUGAAGUAUAUAAGCUCAGGGAACUACAUGAUGAUAACGCUCUUCAAUUAUUUUGUAAAAAAGCCUUCAAAACCCAUCAGCCUAAGAAAGGAUAUGAGCAGCUGUCUGAAUGGGUUACAAAGUAUUCAGGUGGUCUUCCAUUAGCUCUCAAAGUUUUGGGAUCCCUUUUGUAUGGUAAAACAACAAAAGAAUGGCAAAGCGCAGUAAAGAGACUGAAAAGAGAUUCAGAAAAUGAAAUCUUGGAUAUACUUCAAAUAAGUUUUGAUGGGCUUAAAGAAACAGAGAAGAAAAUAUUUCUUGACAUUGCGUGCUUUCAUCGAGGGGAGAAUAGAGAUUAUGUAACAAAAAUUCUUGAUUACUGUGAUUUUGACCCAGUUAUUGGAAUAAGGGUUCUUAUUGAUAAAUCUCUCAUAGAGGUUUUAUCCAACAAUCAACUAUGGAUGCACGAUUUGUUACGAGAAAUGGGUCAACAAAUUGUUAAGAGACAAUGCCCUGAAGAUCCUGGGAAACGUAGCAGAUUGUGGAAGGAAGCAGAUGUACGUCAGCUGUUAACAAGAAACACAGUAAGCAAUGAUAAGUCAAAAACAUGUACUUCUAAGAUUUCAACCCAUUCACAUUCUUAUCUUUGCUUAUUCUUUACUUUUUUAACUUUCAGGGAUCUGAAACUGUUGAAGUCAUAUAUCUCAACUUCCCUGCAGAAGCAGAAGUGCAUUUCAGAGCAAGUUCUAAUACAUUUUUGAAGAUGACUAACCUGAGAAUGCUUCUUAUCCGUAAUGUGCAAGUGCAACUUCCCGAAGGCCUUGAAUAUCUCUCCAAUGAGUUACGGUUACUUGAAUGGCCUGGAUAUCCUCUGAAAUCCUUGCCAUCAAAUUUUCAACCGGAUAAAAUUGUUGAACUUAACAUGUGUUACAGUCACAUCGAACAAAUGUGGAAUGGAAUCAAAGUAAGUUUUAUUUCAUUUCUUUUUUUCCCGUGAAUAAAUGUUGAUAGAGUUAUCAUUCAUCCCUUGAAAAAUUGCUGAAAUCAUUGUUUUUGAACAGCCUUUAAGCAAUUUGAAAUUCAUGAGACUUGGCAAAUCCAAAAAUCUGAUCAGAACGCCAGAUUUCUCAGGGAUGCCAUAUUUAGAGGAGCUGGAUCUUGGAGGAUGUACAAGAUUGUGUGACAUUCACCCAACAUUGCUACUUCACAAGAAGGUAAUUUUAUUGAAUCUAAAAGACUGUACAAGUCUCACGACUCUUCCGGGCAAGAUUUUUAUGGAAUCUCUAAAAAUACUUGUACUUUCUGGUUGCAUGAAAUUGAAGAACUUUCCAGAGAUUGUGGGUAGUAUGAAGUGUCUGUCAGAUCUUCUUUUGGAUGGAACCGAUAUUAAAGAACUACCAAUAUUACCAUUUGAACUUCUAUCUGGACUUGUUCAGUUAAAUGUGGAAGGCUGUAAUAAACUUGAGCGUCUUCCAAGAAAUAUAAGCGCUCUAAAAUAUCAUCCAACUUGGAAUCUUUCUGGCCUAUUGAAAUUCUCAAAUUUCCCAGAGAUCAUGACAAAUAUGGAGCAUGUGUUGGAGCUUCAUUUGGAAGGAACUGCCAUAAGAGGAUUGCCUAUAUCAAUUGAACUUUUCUCUGGUCUUGUUUUGUUGAAUUUGAGAGAUUGCAAAAAUCUCUUGAGUCUUCCGUGUACUAUUAACGGUCUGAAGUCCCUGAAAAAGUUGUAUCUCUCUGGCUGCUCCAAACUUAAAAAUGUGCCAGAGAACUUGGGGAAAGUAGAAAGCUUGGAGGUGCUAGAAUUAAGCGGGUGCAAAGAACCACCAGUAUCAUCAUCAUUGUAUCUGCCCUUCCCCAUUAGUUUGAAGCGAAGCUGUUCAGAUCCUACCGCUUUGAGGCUUCCUUCUCUGUCAGGUUUGUGGUCUUUAAGGAAAUUGGACCUCAGUGACUGUGAUCUAGGGGAAGGAGCAAUACCAAAUGAUAUUGGCAACUUAUGGUCGUUAGAAGAGUUGUAUCUGAGUAAAAACAGUUUCAUUACAGCGCCAGCAAGCAUUAACCGUCUUUUUAAUCUUGAAGAACUAGAGUUGGAAGAUUGCAAAAGACUACAAUCUAUGCCGCAACUUCCACCCAACAUAAAAGAAGUCGGAGUAAAUGGUUGUGCUUCAUUGGAAAAAUUAUCAGAUGCCUUAAAAUUAUGCAAAUCGGAGUACAUUUCAAUUAGUUGUAUAGACAACCUGAAAUUGCUCAGCAACGAUGGUUUGGCAUUUUCAAUGCUAAAAGAGUAUCUUGAGGUCAGUCUCUCUCUCUCUCUCUCCUCUCUCAUUUGUGCAAAAAAUUAUGCCUAAAAAUGAUGCAUUUUUAUGGGCUCCUUUUUUUUCCCCCUUUUUUCGGUUACAGGCAGUGUCACGCCCAAUGCAAAAGUUUGGUAUAGUUGUUCCAGGAAGUGAAAUUCCAGAGUGGUUCAUGCAUCAGAAUGAUGGAUCUUCAAUAAAAUUCAUAAUGCCUUCAAAUUUAUAUUGUAAGAAUAAGGCGCUGGGAUAUGCCGUCUGCUGCGUCUUUCAUGUCCGUGAACAUUCCCCUGGUAUCCAAACAAGGCGUUCAUAUCCCACGCAUCAAUUGAACUGCCAGAUGAAAGGUUCUUCUACCAGUUAUUCAAUCGAGUUCAGAGAGAAAUUUGCUCAAGCAGAGUCAGGCCAUCUUUGGCUACUCUACUUGUCUCUUAAAAAAUGCUAUUAUAGCAAUUGGCGUUUUGAUAAUAAUCUCAUUGAGUUGUCGUUUGGGCCUGUGUCUGGCUCAGGGUUGCAGGUGAAGAGAUGUGGUUUCCAUCCCAUUUAUAGGCACAAAGUUGAGUUCUUCAACCAAAUAAGAAACCAAUGGACUCACUCACUACACUGCCUAUAAUAUGAAUGAAUUUUAUCCCGAUUCUGUUUGAUCAAAGAUACUUGUAGCCACAACGUCAAGGUGAAGUGUGAAUGAAUAUUUGGGCUUGAAGAGUGGGAAUGGUGUUCUGUUGAUGAGGAACCACAGCCUGAAAAAUUUAAUGCAGAAGCCUGCUUAUUCUCUGAAUUCAUCGAUAAGCAUUCAUCUUCAAUUUCAGUUCAUGUUCUUUGCACUUGGUAAUUCAUUUACAUUAAUUUUAUUUAUUUAUUGCAUCUCCUUAUCGAAAAACAUUUGAUGUUAAAUUACCAGAAAUCCUCUGCUUGGAUCAAAAGCAAAGAGUACCUAUAGUUGUUUAAGAAUGUGCCUUCAUGAAUUGAAAUAGCAUUACUGCUCUAUUAGCUUGGCUCCUCACUUGAAUUUCUUUGAUGUUUGUUAAUAAUUCCAAAUUCCAGUGAACAUGGAUUUUGAUCGAGAUAAUUCUAUGCUUUUGCCCUGUUGAUAAAAUCAAGCAGUUGUUGUGAUUGUUGCAAGUGUUUCUUAUUUUAUAUUUUUUCGUUUUUGUUGUUUGGUUCGGGAGAAGAUGUGGAAUUAGAACUGCACUGGAGUGAGAAGAAAUGAGAAGAAAAAGAAAGAAUGUAAAGUUUAGUGAAUGUGUGUGUGUAUUUUUUUUAAAGCCUUGAAUUUUUUGAUUUCUCAUGAGUUGAAAAUUAAGGAUUGAAACAAAUCUUCUGUUUUGUUGUAUUCUUAUUAUAUUUCUUCUCAUAAAUUUCUCAUUUUUGUAAAUAGUGCAUAAUUUGGUAGAAGCUUAACUGAAAGCCACUAAUUUUACUGCAAGAAUAACUUAAUUUUUAAUUCAAUCCAGGGAUUCAAAAUGACUCAGAGUUCUUUCGAACUUAAAUAACAUGACAACUUAACUAUCCAUUCCCUUCUUUUUGUGCAAAAGUUGGCAGAUUCGGAGCCAAUUAGGGUGAGUUUUUUGGUACACUUGAAGGGGCUGGUGUCAUAGUUCAUGAAUUGCAUUGCUAUGAAUGAAUAACAAAGAAAUUAGAUUAGCUUAUUGAAUCUGUUUGAAUUUUUUUAUAUAGCCUAUGCAAUCAGAGGCAUUUAAAUUAUGUGAGUCAAAGUUCUCACAUAUUAGCUGUGCACAGUGCUUGAAAUUGCUUGGUAACAACGGUUUGGCCUUUUCAAUUUUAGAGAGUAUGUCAACUAAUGCCAGCCUUUUCACUCUGUUUCUCUCGAAGCCUUAUGCAUAAAAAUUUAUGCUGUGGAAAAGAUUAAUCUAAGGGCCAGGAGUUUCUAUAGAAAGAAUAUAAAGAUGAUAAGGUUUGUUGUGUCAAUCUCAAAUAUAUUAUGGGUGUUAGGAGUAUCUGAUGAUGCUGAUGAUGUUGUGCAGUGAUGUUGAGCUGAUGGUGCUAUGUAGUGAUGCUGAUAUGGUGUUAUGCAGAGUUUACAGAGCAUGAUGGAAGAACAUGAUAAGGCUGGUGGUUUAGCAUGUAGCUUAGUAUACCAGCUGAGAAUUAGUUAUGCUGAGCUGUCAAGUUGGUUAUAACUGAUUCAGUAGCCUUUAACCACGCAUGAAGAUUCCAGAACAAUCUAGCUACUAGAUUCUUGUAUCCAUCUUGUAGUAUAAGUAGAGUGAUCUGUAUAUUCUAUACACAUUGUUAAGUAUGCUAUGAUUGAAUAAAAUACAUUUUCCGUCACUUUCAAUUUCAUUUUCUCUAUAACCAAACACUGUUUUAGCCGAAUUCAAUCAAUGGGAAUUAUAAGAAAAUAAGCAGUAAAAGCAAAUAAACAUUAGGGAAAUGAACACUCAACAAUAUACCUACAUGUAAACAUCCUCGGAAGAUCUAAGAAGUUGAGCAUAGUACACAAACGCACACACAGAGCAAUUGAAACUUGUAGCAAGUCUGCACACUGCAGAUACAUGUCCGUAUCAGCACUAGAAUUUUGCUUGGAAGCGUAGCACUUUGGAUUAAAGAUAUACUUGUUGACUUGCUUCUGUCCACAGAAACAAUAAGAACCUUCAGUUGGAAUGAAAUCAGAGAUACAUUCAGAACCACCUUGAGGAAUUCAUGCUCAACAGCAACUUCAGUAAUAAUCAAGAUUAUAAACAGUAGAGAGACUCCAUUCAGCUUCAAUCCCGAGUGUCCCGAGUGUAUGGAAACUGGAUGGAGACUACACUUCUUCACCUUCAAUCCCGAACUAGUUUGAAACAACUAAACUUGGUCAGAUCCAAACUUCCAGUCAAGAUUAUUGCACUGUUGAAGAUCAAGAAUAUUAUGUAUACGAGCUUUAUUUGAUCAGCUUUCAUGUGGUAGUGGUAGUGGUAGUGAUGUUUAUGUUUGCCUCUGACAGGAUGUGAAUGUUUAUUAACACGAAACGCACAGCAAAUAGCAUAUCCAACCAUCUUCUUCUUAUCGUAUGAAUCUGGAGGACUUAUUAUUGAUAUUGAAGAUCCCUCAUUCGGAUAGUCGAACCACUCCGGAAUCUUACGUCUAGGAAUAGCUAUGAAAUCUGACUCCCAGGAAGAACAAUGGUGAAAACUCAGGUACUUUGUGGGAUCAUAUAACUCUAUUCAAUUAUUUAAUGGAUGAAUGACAUAUUAGUUGAGAAAUUCAACAUUACACGUGGGUAAAAUAGUAGAGUUUUGGAUCAGCCGUCAUCGUAUUCUUUCUUUAAUGUUAAACAAAUUGUUGGUUAUAAAUAAUUGGUGAUCAAAUUUGACUAAUCAAAAUUGAUUAAUCUGUUUAUAUAAAUUAUUGAAAUUGAUCUUGUUCAUAAAAAACACUGCAUAUAGCUAGUAUAGUUGAUCUUCCUAAUGAUGGAGGUUGAAAAGUUUUGAGUCUUCAUAUAUGCAUUGUGGGAGUAAUUUUUCUCUUUCUUUCAGAAACAUAUUAAAUUUUUUCAAGCUAUUUCAUACAUAACAUCAAGGGUUUACUUUUCCAAAAGAGAGAUUAAUGCAACUUAACUGGUCAAUAAAAAUUAACAAUAGGUUCAAUUUAAGUUUUAUCUUGACAAAAAGAAAAAUUACAUUAGGUUUAAGAAUUUAAUAAGCUAAAACAAUUAAGAAAUUAAUGGGUUAAAGUAAACAUGCAACUAAAGUGAAAUUAGAAAAAUAAUGAAGAUGAAAUGGAUACAAGUAUUUUUCUUGGUUUCACUUGGAAACCUCCAAUAGUAUGAGUUAAAUUUUAGAAAAUUGAUGGGUAAAGCUGACACACAACUAAAGUAAAAUUAAGAAACAAUAAUCAUAAAAAAACACCAGUGAUAACACUAUGAAAUGAGAGUUAUCAUGAUAUUUUUAUGCCUAAAUUAACAUUACUUAGAGAGUAAAUGACAUAUUUUCAUUACAUUUUAGCUACAUUUUGCAUGGGUAGUCAUUUAAGUUUAAUUUUAAUAAAAUUCAUGUGUUUUUAGAUUAUUGUGUGCUUUGAUUACUUGCAUAAUUGUAGGUGACUAAAAAGCUCAAAUUUCAUGGAUGGAACGUUGCUGUAGCAGGCUUGCGGAGUUACAAAAGAACUUGGAUGAGAAGUAAUUUUGAAAUAAUAAAAGAUGCUGGAGCAAUAUGUUGUAGUACUAUUGCUGCAGCAACUCCUGGAGCAACGAUAAAUGAGAUAUCACACGUUAAAUAGAAGACCGCAAUCUAAAGUUUCCAAAAAUAAGAGAUUCACUGCCAUAAGUUUCUGGUAACCCUAAUUUUGAUUUAUAAAAAGAGCACAUUACAAUGAAAAAAGGAGAGUUGUCAUUAGAGAAAAGAAUCGAGAAACAGUACAAGAGAAAAUAAAGAUAAAGAGACAGAAUUAAGGGCUGCAUCAAAGGAUUUAUGAAGAAUAUUAAGGGGAUUCAUAAGGACGAGCGGAUUUCGACUCUUAUUCUUACUCUCUUAUUUUUAUCUUGUUAUGAAGACUUGUUUGAUGGCUAAAACUAUUUUGGUUUUUGUUUUAUAACAAAUUAUGAACUAAAAUUACUUAUGGUUGAGUGAUAAACAAUGUUGAUGGUUAAUUGACUGAUUAUAUGUGUUGCUGCAUGUUUGCUAUAGCAUGUUGUUUUUGUAAUACUUAUUUCAAUUCACUAUUUCAGCUGACUACCCAUUUAGUGGUACUAGCUAAGUAAAAGCCUAAAAAAGGUCUGUCUUAGUGGGACAUAUCAAAGUAAUUCUUGGUUUUAGGUUGGAUUUCAUGAGUUGAGUUUAACUUGAUUCAAAAAAGGUCAUGCUUAAUCUAAAAUUAGUGAUGAACUAGACAUAGAGAUUUACCUUGUAGGAUAAUUAGAAUCUAAAACGUGUAAUGCUAUAUUUUAUGUUAGCAUAACAAUUGGUCACUGUUAAGUUGUAUCAAGAUAUAAGACAUCCAAUAAGUGAUAGCUGAGGAUACAUAAGGAUUCUGUAUAGUACUGUAAAAGACGUUGUGGCAACAUAACCAAAAAAUAGAAAAAUAGUCAAAACCAUUAAAAGAGUUUAAUCACUCAACUACUCCAUUCUCAUUGAUUAUAUCCUUGUAUUUGACGUGAUGAUUUACCUUAUUGCAUUUUUUAUUUUAAUUAAUUCAUUAGUUUUAUAAAUUAUUUUAUUUUUAAUUUUGGAACAAAAUAAGGUUGCUGUAGCAAUUCAUAUAACAUCAAUUCCUAUGGAGACAAUCUCGAAUACUUAUCAUUAUAUUACUUGUUGUGUACACUUGCACAAUGACACCCAUAGCAUACAACAAUCAGAAUUUUCAUAGUUAAACUUUUAGCCUACAUUCAUAGGUGAAGACAGAAGGAAAUGUUUUACUAACGAAAAGAAGUUACAAGUAUUGUAGUACUUUGUCUCACAAUCCAAAAACCUUAAUAUACCUAAACUCUAAAAACAUUAGAACAAGAGUUUAAAGCUCUCAACACACUCUUAGUCUCCAAUUCAUGGCUCUAUCACUUCUUAAUUAGAUUGAGAAUUAAAGAAAAUGAAAUGAAUGAAGAGGACAAAUGAAGCCUCUAUUUAUAGGCCAAGCAAUACCCAAAAUCAGCAAUGUUGGACUUUAAAAUAAUAUAUAUUUUCAUUCAACUUUCAACUUUGGUGACAAAGCCAAAAGUUGUGUGCUAGACAAAUGCCUCCCACUUACUCAACAAAUUAUGCCAAAAGUCAAAAGUUGCAUGUUAGCAACAUAUAAUUGUUUUCCAUAUACAUGCACAUGUUCAACAAUUCUCCCACUUAGAGACUUGAUUGAGAACCAAUCAUGUCUCCACACUAUCCAUUCUUUUUCGUCAUUGUUAUGUUGCUUACAUCUCUGCUAGGCUACAAGAGGAUCUACUCCAUACAAACUUGUCAGCAUUGGUUUGCUUGGUCAAAACAUCUCCUCGGUUCUCUUUGGUAUGGAUUUUUUUGUAAUAAAGUGGUAUUGUACCUGAUAACUCUAGAAAAUGAGAGUUAUCAUGGCAUUUUUAGGCUUAAAUUAAGACUCCUUAGAGAGUAAUUGAUGUGUUUUAGUGCAUUUUAACGAUAGUUUGCAUUACAUUAAUUUUAGUUUAAGUUUAAUAAAGUUUACGUGAAUUUUGAAUAAUUGUAUGCCUAAAACAUAUGUUCAACUAUAGGUCAAUGGAAACCUGAAUUUUAUGGAAAAGAUGUUGUUCCAAUAGACCUAUAAGGAGGACAAACGAGCAUGGCUAUAUAAGAAUUGGAGCACAUCUGGAAUAGUGAAGAUGCUAUAGCCAUUGUUGUAGGCUGUAGCAAUCCUUGAGCAUUGACGGAGAAAAUAUGGGCAAGAUUUUCAUAAUAUUGCGAUUUGCAGUUUUCUAAUCUGAAGAUGCAUGCCCUAGAGUUUCCAGUUACCCUAAUUUGUGAUUAUAAAAUGAGGCAUACAUGCAAAGGAAAGAGGAGGCCGUCAAUCGAAACCAAAAUAGAAAAGAAAUGAAGAAGAAACAAAAUUCCCGAGCAGAAUUUAAGGCUUCACCAAUAGAAGAAAUUUACAGAUUCAAUUGGAAUUCACUCUUUCUCAUUCUUUUCUUGUUUUCUUGUCAUUCAUUGAUCAUGACUAUGUACUCGAUGGCUACCACUUGGUUGUUUAAUUUCUAUGCACAAAUUAUGAGCUCAAUUUAUUUAUGGUUGACUGUUAAGCUAUCUUGAUGGUUGAUUGACCGAAAAUAAGUAUUGUUGCAUGUUUGCUAUAGCAUUUUGCUUUAAUAACAUUUAUUUAGAUUCAUUAUUCUGGUUGACCACUUAUUUAAUGAUACAAGUUAAGAAAGAGCCGCAAAAUGACCUAUUUUAGUGGAACAUAUUAGAGCAAUACUUAGUUUUAGAUUGAGUUUCCUAAAUUGAGUUUAACUUGAGUCCAAAAAGGGUCAUGCUUAAUCUAAAGAUUAGUGAUAAACCAGAUGUGGGGAUUCACCUUGUAGGGUAAAGAGAACAUGAACGUGUAAUGUUAUAUUUUAUGUUGACAUAACAAUUGGUCAUUAUUAGGUUGCAUAAAGAUAUAAGACAUCCAACAUGUUACUGCUGAGGAUAAAGAUGAAAUAUAAGUGUGCAACCCAAGAGGGGGGUGAAUUGGAAUUUUAAAAAUUAUCCUAGCAAAUCCACACAACAAGCAAUCUAAUGUCUUAAUAAAAAUUGAAAACAAUAAGUUCAAUAAAAGCACAAUAACAAAUGAGUAAGAGAGAAGAGAAACAAACACAUGAAUUUUUACGUGGUUCGGCAAUCCCCGCCUACGUCCACGCCUCCAAGCGAUCCAAACUUGAGGAUUUCACUAUCCAAACUUUUCUAAGGCUUCAACCGUUUACAAUUAACUUCAAGGUGUCAAUGAACCUUUACAACAAAGAGUUUAUCUCCCAAUCUCUUCAUUCAAGUGUCUCACACACUCAAACUUUUACAAUUAAGAUGAAGAAAUGAAAGUUACAAUAAAACUCACUCAAAGAGUAGAUAUUCAAAAAUGAAGAACAAGAGAUGAUUCAAUGUUUUGUGAUUUGCAAAUUGAAAGCUCAAGAUAUCUUGUGUGCUUUUUAUUUAUGCUUGCUAGAGAGAUUGAAAAUGAGUUGGAUUUGAGUUUAUAUAGUUUGAUCUCAAAAACUAGCCGUUAUGCACAUUUUGGUCAUAAUCGGCUUGCCAUUUAGGAAUCUGGUAAAGCCGCUUUUAUGUUGCCAUUAAGGCAAAAAUUUGAAUUUCAGAAUAUCUGGCAUGCCGCUUUUCAUAUCCGGUAAGCCGCGUUUGAAAUCCGGAUUGCUGCUUUGCGAAAUUCGGAUAGCCGUUUAUGCUCUAGAAGCUUACUGUCCAAAAUCUAGUUUGCCGUUUACCAUAUCCGGUAAGCCGCUUGCUACAGUAACUGCUACAGUGAAAUAUUUUUUAAAUUUAUAGUUUGACCCCAAAACUUUAUAAAACUAUGUUAUGGCCCAAAAUGUUAUAUUAUUUUGAAAAUAGGUCCAAUUUCAGAAUCUCUAAAUAAUGCUUGCUAUUCCCAAAACUUUUUAAAAUUAUGAUAUGACCCAAAAUGUUAUGAAACUUUUCCAAUAAGUCCUCCAAAAUUUCGAGCAAUACUUGUUGAUUUCAAAGUUUUCAAAACUCUUUCAAUUAAAUCAUAAACUUGAAAAACAACUAAUUUCAUAAAAUCAUUUUUCCAUUAAAUAUAAAACCUUUAUAAUGUGAAAAUAAUGAUUUAUUUAAAAUAUAUAAAAAAUAAUUUGAGCUUAAAAGAUUAAUCAUUCUUAAUCUUGUUUGUUAUCAUCAAAAUCAACAUUAUGCAAACAUAUAUAUUAACAAAAGAUGGUUUCUGUCCAGUGUUGUAACAGAUGCUGCAGUAACUAUACUCAAUAUAAAUAAAAUAGUUAACACCAUUACAAGAGUUUAAUCACUCAACCACUCUAUUCCAAUUGAAUUUACUUUUGUGUCUAACAUGCAAUUUUCAUUCAUUGCAUUUUCUUUAUUAUCGCGGUUUAUUUUACAUAGUCUAUUAGUUGUAUUAGUUACAUUGAUUUUUAAUUGAGAACAUAGAUUACACUGUGAAAUUGUUGUAACAAGUCUGAUAGCAUCAAUCCCUAUGGAGACGAUCUUAGAUACUCACCCUUAUAUUACUUGUUGUGUACAUUUGCACAUUGACAUUACUAGCAAUUAAGUUAAAGAUUACAAUAGUACCCCUAUGUGCUUUGUCUUGAAAUGAAAUGCUGGAUUCCUUACAAUGUACAAGAUACUCUAAUUGUCACAAAACAAAAACAUUUUCUCUUGUUUGUACCCAAACUCCUCCAACAACCUUUGAAUCUAAAGAACCUCUUUGCAAGGUUAUGUAGCUACCAUUAUUAUGCUUCUGUUGUAGAUAAAGUCACAACGGUUUUCAGUUUUGAAACGCAGGUUACAGCUUUUCUUGCAAGUGUAAACACAUAGCCAGUAGUAAAUUUCCUUUAUCAAGGUCCCCUGCAAAAUAUGAAUCCUCAAGGUCUCUGACAGUAAAUUUUAAUCCUCCAUAACAUAAUGCAACAUCUAAGAUUCAUUUGAUGUAUCUGAGAAUCCUCUUUACAGUUUUCCAAUAUUCUUCACCAGGAUUCACUCUCUAUCAACUGACCACUCACACGACUUGUGCAAUAUCUAAUUUCGUAUAUAUCACAGUGAACAUUAAACUUCCUAUUGCUGAUACAGAAGGUAUUCGAGACAUCUCCUUCCUCUCUACUCUGUUGCUAGAAUAUUUACUUGAGGAUAACUUGAAAUUAACAAGAAGUGAGGUAGAAAUUAGCAUACAAUCUUGCAUGUUGAAGCGUCACAAGAUUUUCUUCAAGUAAUUCUUUUGAGAUAGCCAAAUCUUCUUGUUAUUUAUGUCUUAGUGAAUUUGCAUUCCUAUAUUCUUGUUUGUGUUAGAGUGCAAUUUACGCACUAGUUUUGUAUUGUUUACUUCCCUUAAUAUCGAUGUUAUAAUGAUUUACUUGUGUUUUACUUUUGUAGGUACAAUUCUAGUGAUUGGUGAUAAAAUUGAACUAAAAGAUGAUGUUUAAGGAGGAUUGUUCUCUUGGAGAAAUUAUGAGCGUCAGAAGAACUUUGUUGAUAAGGCGUGGGCGCGUGCUGUCAACUGCGGACCUGUAGUUUUUAGUUUAACGUGUUUUGUAUUUUUGGUUAUUUUUGUAAUUACGAAUUUAAUAUUUCAGAUAUUAGGAUUUUAUUUUAAAUAGAAUUCUAAAAGAGAAGAGAGAGAGAGUAUUUAAGGGAGGAAUCUUUUGUGGAAAAGGGGGAUUUUUGGAUGGGAGAAAAGAAAGAAACCCUAGAUUUAAUUUUUCUCUUCUCUCUAUGAAGAACUAAACUUAUUUUUCUGGUUGAAGGUUAAUGAAGCUUUGAUUCAUCACUACUGUGAGAUCUUUCUUGUGCUUUAAUUGUUUUAUUGCUUUUUGGGUAUUUGUUUAUUCUCUGAAUUAUUUUCAUGAUUAUGUUUGUUAAUUAGGUAAUUGGCCACUAUUUAAUUAUCAACUUAAUCUAUUGUCAAUUAAAGGAUUCAUCGUAUGAAGAAUUUAAUGUUUGUGACAAAUAACAUAGCAGAGAGUUGUGUUGUGAGAAUAAACAAUCUAAUUUAAAUGAAUCAUCAUAUGUGUUGAUUAGGAUUUGGGUCUCUCUGGUUUUUCAGGCUGUCAAUUGAUUAAAUCCUAUGAUCGUAUUUAGGGUUGUCUAUUGAUUGGGGAAAUAACCAACGGUCAUACCUUGGUUAUCGACUAGUUAAGGAGAGAUUGGCUAUUAGAGGGUCUCAGUAGCUAUAACUGGUCUAUUCAUGAGUAAUAAUAAUCUAUAUUUGAAUCAAUGAUCAGUAGUCGAAUCAAGCUGAGUUAAUUCCUUCAACCAGAGCUUUCUCCAAUUUGAAUUACAACUUUAAUUUGCAUUCUUGUUAUUUUAAUUUGAUUUUUAUUAUUGUCAACAAAACCGCCAUUUUAUGUUUUACGUUUUAAAAGGAUUUAAAUAACUACUGAUCUCUGUGGACACGACCCUGCUCAAUUACUAUACACAAUUUAUUUAGAGUAGGAAUUUAUUUUUUUUGGCUUCGACACCCACCAAAUUUUGGCGCCGUUUUGGCUUCGACACCCACCAAAUUUUGGCGCCGUUGCCGGGGAUUGGUGUCAUUUAUUUAAUCAUUUUUACGUUUUACUUGGUGUAUGGUUCGUUCUUCUCGUACAGGUACACUUUCGUUUGAUCCUGAAAUUGAGAAGACAACUCGCCAGCUGAGACAGCAGAUGAAGCGAGCUAAGCAACGAUCCUCGUUGCCUUUGCUUUCUGAAACAGAUACGGUGCCUGAUUUAGUUGAAUCAUCUAGCGAUUCAGAAGAACAAGUGAUGGAUAGACCUGCACCUGUAGAAAGAACUCUUAGAGAGUUAGCUGAACCAGACUUGAAUCAACAACCACUCUGCAUUCAAUAUGUAGACUUGGAGGUAAAUUUUGAAUUAAAGUCUGGUCUUAUUCAUUUAUUACCCAAGUUUCAUGAUUUUGCAGGUGAAGAUCCUCAUAAACAUCUUAAGGAGUUUCAUGUUGUGUGUUCAAGUAUGAGACCACAAGGUGUGACUGAAGAGCAGAUUAAGCUGCGUGCUUUUCCGUUCUCUGUAGAUGGGCUAGCUAAAGAUUGGUUGUACUACUUGCCUCCUGGAUCAAUUACAACGUGGAAUGGUUUGAAGAAGCAGUUCCUUGAGAAGUACUUUCCUGCUUCAAGAGCUGCCAACAUCAGAAAAGAUAUUUGUGGGAUCAGACAACUUCCUGGGAAGACUUUAUAUGAGUAUUGGGAGCGAUUCAAACAAUUGUGUGCCAGCUGUCCUCAGCAUCAAAUUUCUGAUCAACUUCUUAUUCAAUAUUUUUACGAAGGACUGUCAUUGAUGGAUAGGAGUAUGAUAGAUGCUGCUAGUGGAGGCGUGUUGGUGAACAAGACCCCUACUUAAGCAAGGGAGUUGAUAUCAAAUAUGGCUGCCAAUGCACAACAAUUUAGCAGCAGGCAAGAGCUCACUUCAAGGAAGGUGAAUGAGGUAAAUAUUUCUUCUAUUGAACAACGUUUAGAUAAACUUACUUCUCUUGUGGAAAAGUUUGUUGUAGGUAAUGUGCAGCAGGUGAAGACUUGUGGUAUAUGUUACAAUAUGGGUCAUUCAACUGAUAUGUGUCCUACACUUCAAGAAGAACCCAUUGAACAAGCCAAUGCAGUUGGAGGAUUUCCAGGCAUGCCUCAGAGGAGGUAUGAUCCUUAUGCACAAACAUACAAUCCGGAAUGGAAGGAUCAUCCCAACUUCAGCUAUGGAGUUAGGCCGUCAGGAUUCCCACAACAGUAUCCACCAAGACAACCAGCACCUCCACAGUCAAACUCCAAGUCGGGUAUAUCUCUUGAAGAAAUUGUUAAAUCACUUGUGACUAACACUCAACAAUUUCAGCAGGCAACUACAACAAGCAUUCAGAACUUGGAGAACCAAAUGAGUCAAUUGGCGACUACAGUGAGCCGUCUGGAGUCUCAAGUAUUAGGGAGAUUGCCUUCACAAUCUGAGGUGAAUCCAAAGCAAAACGUUAGUGCUGUCAUCCUUAGAAGUGGGACGGAGUUGCAAGAGCCUAGUAAGAAAGUAACAAAGCAUGUAGAAGAUGAGCUUGAGAAGAAUGAAUUGAUGCCUCAAUCUCAAGAUGCACAACCCACUAAAGCGAAACCCCUACCUAUUGUGAUACCUCCUCCUUUUCCAAGCCGAUUUGCAAAAUCCAAGAAGGAGGAACAAGAGAAAGACAUCCUUGAGACAUUUUGCAAGGUUGAGGUAAAUAUUCCUUUAUUAGAUGCUAUAAAACAAAUACCUCGAUAUGCUAAAGUCCUUAAGGAACUGUGCACCUCCAAGAGAAAAUUAAGAGAAGAUGAAAAAGUUCACAUGGGGGAGAAUGUUUCAGCAGUUCUUCAAAAGAAACUCCCUCCUAAGUGCAAGGAUCCAUGUAUGUUUACUAUCCCUUGUAAAAUUGGUAGUGUUAGAGUUGAAAAGGUUUUGUUAGAUCUAGGAGCUUCUAUUAAUGUCAUGCCUCGUUCCAUUUAUUCAUCUUUAAAUAUUGGUCCAUUAAAAGAAACUGGUGUGAUAAUUCAACUAGCUGAUAGGUCUAAUGCAUAUCCUGAUGGGGUAUUAGAAGAUGUCUUAGUACAAGUUAAUGAGUUGGUUUUUCCUACUGAUUUUUAUGUACUUGAUAUGGAAGAUGAUAACUCCUCUAAUUAUGUCCCAAUUUUGCUAGGAAGACAUUUUCUUAAGACUGCUAGGACUAAAAUGGAUAUACAUAAAGGGACUCUCACUAUGGAGUUUGAUGGAGAGGUUAUAGAAUUCAAUAUGAAUGAUGCCAUGAAAUAUCCUAGUGAGGAAGAUUCGGUAUUUUCUGUGGAUGUUAUUAACCCUAUAGCGUAGGAAAUUUUUUACAAAGAAAAGACGAAGACAUUUCAUGAUAGAAUGAUUUUGAGAAAGGAGUUCUCUGUUGGUCAAAAAGUUCUUCUUUUUCAUUCUAAGCUUAAACUUUUUCCGGGUAAAUUACGUUCUUGUUGGGUUGGACCUUUUAUUGUUACUAAUGUUUUUCCUCAUGGUGCAGUUAAGAUUCGGAGUCCGACCUCUGACUGAGUUCUUAAGGUUAAUGGUCAUCGCUUAAAACCUUUUUAUGAAGGUUUUUCGGUGAAUAUUGUGGAGGAUGUGGCUCUCGAGAGUCCAAAUUAUGGAGAUUGAUGCAUAAAUGUGUCUAGCCAAAGACAUAAAACAAAGGCGCUUUUUGGGAGGCAACCCAAGUGAUUUAUUUAUUUUGGUUUUUGUUAUAUCUUCUUUUAAUUUUGAUUCAUAUUUUUUUUUUAAAUAAUGUGUUUGCUUAUUUUGGUCAGAAUAAAAUUUUUGAUAAGGCGUGCCCACGUUUUAACUAAUAAGUACUUCUGUCAUUUUUAAAGUAAAAUAGUUUUAAGGCGUGCCCACGUGCUUAUUAGAAAAGUACUUCUGAAGUUUUUAGUGUCUCAAAGUGAUUCAUCACUAAAAAAAAAAAUUAAUUUUAAUUUAUUUUAUUUCAUUUUAUUUUAUUUAUUUAUUUCUUUUGUUCUUUCUUUUAUAUAUAUAUAUAUUUUUUAUUUAAAAAAAAAAAUUUUACUGUUCACAAAAUCCCUAAUUUUCCAGAAAUUGUUUUCUUCUCCAGCCGUUUGCAGCACGCCAGCAGCAAACCAGCCAGCCGAAGAAUACAGCAUCAGUCGUGCGCAACGCAAGCACCAGCAACGAGCACGCCCCGCAACGCAACUCAGAACCAGCUCUCGCGCGCAACAGUCCUGCAGCAACACAGCCACGCAGCAGCUCUCGAGCGCAACGCAGCCACGCAGCAGCUCUCGCGCGUAACCAGCAGUGCGCAACCAGCCCCAAGCCGCGCAGCAAGCUCCAGCCGAGCACGCAACGCAACAAGCGUCACCAGCGCGCACACCAGCAAUCCCCCAGCGCGCAGCAACAGCCGCAGCACGCAGAUCCAGCGUCACCAGUUCACAGCAUCAGUCCCAUCCGUGCGCAACUGAACCACCAGCCGCGCACCAGUAAUCCCCCAGCGAGCAGCAAUAGUCCGCAACCAGCCUACGACCUGCAUUCCAGCCGCGUGAAUCGAAAUCCGUGACAAGAUGGAGCAGAAUUUGGCCGCAUACUUCAAGAGUGUGGGAUUUAUCCCACCAUUCCCGCCAAGCCCAUAGACGUUAUGAGGAUCAAAGCUCACAAUUCAGGGAAGUUUUUGCCUUUAAUCUUUUAUCCUUACGCUUUAAUUUUUAUGUGAGCUUUGAUUAUCUUUCAUUGGGGACAAUGUAAGUUCUUGGUGUGGGGGAGGGAUUUUUGCAUUAUUGAUGUCUGGAAUUAUUGUUUUCACUCUACUUAUCUUUUUUUCACUCUACUCAUCCUUAAAUGAUUUUGGAGUUAGUAUGCUUUAUAUAUUAUUAAUUUUCUUUUCUUUUAUCUCUCACUACUUUUUUCCCAUCUAUCUCACAUUAUUUACAUCUAUUUUUAUUCUAUCAUACUCUUUCAUCACUCACAUUUUAUCUUUCACUUUUCAUAUUACUACAUACGUCUUUCUCACUUCUUAUCAUUUUUACCUUUUCUUUUAUAUAUCACUCAUGCCUUCUUCUCAUUCUACACCAUUAUUGAUGGUUGAUUCAUUUGAAGAGUGUACAUGAUUUGAUGGCAAAUUUACCAACUUUGUGAGGAUUUGAGCCUAUAAGCAACCACUUUGCUCUAAUAUUUUUGUUAUGUGAAUAUCAAUCUUAGUUUGUUUAUUCUAGAACUUGCUUUGUUAUGCAUGUUGAAGCCACAUUACGGGAUUUUAUGCAUUAAAAUGAUAAGGGCAAACCAUAUUCCAUUUUUCUAUUUUCGCAUUUUUUUUCUCUACCCGAAGACCUUUAUUUGUUACCUUUGUUUGAGCCUUAACCAUUACCCAUCUAAUUCUCUCCGUUGACUUAACCAUUUUUCUUCUUUUUGAGCCUCAAUUUAAGGAGAUUUUUGAACUCAUUGUGUGGUUAUAUUUUGUUGCUUUUUCUACCUUGUAUUAAAGUUUCUCAAUUAGAUCAACAAGCAUUAUGCUUGAAUUAAAUUGUGCAACGUUCGUUUCUUUUGUUUGAUUAAAAAAAAAAUCAAUAAAAAAAAACAAAAACAAAAACAAAAAGAAAAAAGAAAAAAGAAAAAAGAAAAAAAAAAAGAAAGAAAAAGAAAAAGAAAAAUCGAAAAAAAAAGUUUACAUUCUUGGUGACUUGAGUAGAAAUAAGCAUUUUGAUAUCAUAAGUUCAUUCAAUGAGUUCAUUCUUCUCAUUUUAUUUAUUUUUCUUUCAUAGACCUUUCUUUUUUAUUUCACCUAUUUAACCCCAUUACAACCCUUUUAAGACCCUUAGAUUUUUGCAUUUUAUUCAUGUUUUGUGGAUUGAGAUGUGAUAUAUGAGCAAGCUUAUGGUAAUAGCAUUCUUUGAUUUGAUUUGAGUGGAUAAAUGACACCCUAAACACUUUGAGUGCAUGGAGUGAAGUCAAUGAGAGGGCUAUUAAAUCUUGUUGCACUUGAAUUUUAAAUGGAUCUUCUUGGUGGUUGAAUGUUCUUAUUCUAUCUUAUGAAAUUCUAUGCUUUAAAAUCCUUGUCUCUCGAAUGUUGAUCGACUUAAUUUCUUGAGGUAUGCUUGCUUAAAAUUGUUUUUGGAUGAGUUGAGAUGAGAAUUGAGUGGAGAUUUGGAAUUAAUCUUGAGUUAUAUGCUUGAGGACAAGCAUCAUCUUGGUGUAGGGGAAUUUGUUAGAGUGCAAUUUACGCACUAGUUUUGCAUUGUUUACUUCCCUUAAUAUCGAUGUUUUGCACUUAAUAAUAAUGAUUUACUUGUGUUUUACUUUUGUAGGUACAAUUCUAGUGAUUGGUGAUAAAAUUGAGAUAAAAGAUGAUGUUUAAGGAGAAUUGUUCUCUUGGAGAAAUUAUGAGCGUCAGAAGAACUUUGUUGAUAAGGCGUGGGCGCGUGCUGUCAACUGCGGACCUGCAGUUUUUAGUUUAACGUGUUUUGUAUUUUUGGUUAUUUUUGUAAUUACGAAUUUAAUAUUUCAGAUAUUAGGAUUUUAUUUUAAAUAGAAUUCUAAAAGAGAAGAGAGAGAGAGUAUUUAAGGGAGGAAUCUAUUGUGGAAAAGGGGGAUUUUUGGAUGGGAGAAAAGAAAGAAACACUAGAUUUAAUUUUUCUCUUCUCUCUAUGAAGAACUAAACUUAUUUUUCUGGUUGAAGGUUAAUGAAGCUUUGAUUCAUCACUACUGUGAGAUCUUUCUUGUGCUUUAAUUGUUUUAUUGCUUUUUGGGUAUUUGUUUAUUCUCUGAAUUAUUUUCAUGAUUAUGUUUGUUAAUUAGGUAAUUGGCCACUAUUUAAUUAUCAACUUAAUCUAUUGUCAAUUAAAGGAUUCAUCGUAUGAAGAAUUUAAUGUUUGUGACAAAUAACAUAGCAGAGAGUUGUGUUGUGAGAAUAAACAAUCUAAUUUAAAUGAAUCAUCAUAUGUGUUGAUUAGGAUUUGGGUCUCUCUGGUUUUUCAGGCUGUCAAUUGAUUAAAUCCUAUGAUCGUAUUUAGGGUUGUCUAUUGAUUGGGGAAAUAACCAACGGUCAUACCUUGGUUAUCGACUAGUUAAGGAGAGAUUGGCUAUUAGAGGGUCUCAGUAGCUAUAACUGGUCUAUUCAUGAGUAAUAAUAAUCUAUAUUUGAAUCAAUGAUCAGUAGUCGAAUCAAGCUGAGUUAAUUCCUUCAACCAGAGCUUUCUCCAAUUUGAAUUACAACUUUAAUUUGCAUUCUUGUUAUUUUAAUUUGAUUUUUAUUAUUGUCAACAAAACCCCCAUUUUAUGUUUUACGUUUUAAAAGGAUUUAAAUAACUACCGAUCUCUGUGGACACGACCCUGCUCAAUUACUAUACACAAUUUAUUUAGAGUAGGAAUUUAUUUUUGUUGGCUUCGACACCCACCAGUUUGCUAGUCUUAAGUCCUUCAUUUUAAACUACCUAGCUAAUUGUGCCUUUAAUUCUUGGACCCAAUCUUUGUUUGAGCCUGCUACUAACAUGUUAUCCACAUACAAUAGUAUAAUGAUAAAAUUAUUAUCCUCAAACCACUUGUAAUAUGCACAGGUCUAAACCGAGUCUAUUGUAGCCAAGACUCAUGAUGAAGGAAUCAACUCUCUUAUACCAACAUCUCAAUGCCAGUUUAAGACUAUAUAGAGAUUUGUUUAACCUGCAAAAGAAGUUUUCUUUACCUGUUUAAGCAAAACCUUCUGGUUAGAGUAUAUACAUUUUUUCUUUAAGUUCUCUAUGAAAAAACACAGUUUUCACAUCUAAGUGCUCUAGGUUUAUGUUAAAUACAACACAUAUUGCAAGGACUAUUUUGAUUGUCGUGAGUCGAAUUACUCGGGAAAAUAUAUCGUUAAAGUUAAUACAUUCUUUCUGAGCAUAUCCUUUCACUACCAAUCUUACACGAUACCGCUCUACUUGGUCAUUGCCAUCACGCUUGAUCUUGUAAACAUAUUUUUUUCCUAUGAUUUUUCUUUCACGUGGUAGUGGUAUAAGUUCCCACGUCUUAAACCUAUGUAGAGCUUUAAUUUCUACCUGCAUUGUUGUCAUCCACAAAACAACAUUUAAGCCAUUUAAAGCUUUAUGGAAAGUUGAUGGCUCUGCAUCCUCUGUUAGAAGAUAGUAUACAACAUUGAUCCUAUAACAUACUCUAAGUGCCACACCGACGGUUGUCUCUCGCAAGUUGACCGAUGAACUUCUGUAGCCUCAGACUCCACUGGUUCUUGCUUCUCAUGCUUUAGUGGUGUUUCAGAAUAAUCUAAAUCUUCUUUUCCCGGAUUAUUUUCAUAUACAUUGGUACAAUCUCUGACUUGUUCUUCAAAGUGCUAUCAUUCUCAUUUUUCUUUUGUAGUCGAUCUUCUACAAAGAUAACAUUUCUACUUAUGACAAUCUUGUGGGCAAUGAGAUCCUACAGAUAAUCUUGAUGAGAAUCUUGUAGUCAAUCUUCUUUCUUGAGCAUUGUAAGUGCAUAGGGCAUCCAUAUGCAUGCAAAUGAGAAUAAUCAGCAGGUUUCCUAGUCUACAUCUCCAUUGGUGUCUUUAACUUAAUUAUUGUAUGUGGCGAUCAAUUUACUACAUAAUAGGUGGAUUUGGUUAUUUCUAACCAAAAUGAGUUGACUAGAGCAGUCUUCAAUAUAACUUGUAUUCAUUCUGUAAGAGUAUUGUUCAUUCGCUCUGUCACUUCAUUCCAUUGAGGAGUGUAUGCCACAAUGAAUUAUUUUUUAAUACCUUUUUGCUUAUAGUAUAUAAAAAACUAACUAUUUGUAUAUUCUCCACUAUUAUUUAUUCCCCAAACUCUUGAUAUUUUUCCUGAAUUUAAGUUCCACCCGUGCUUUGUAUUCUUUGAACACUGAAAAUGCUUUUGACUUUUUCUUAAUUAGAUAAGUUGAGUGUUAGAAAAUGUAUAUUUAUAAAGGAGAAAACCGUCAUUUUACAUUUCAAGUCUUACUAACAACCCUUACUUUUAUGUAUUUAACCUUCUUGUGAUUUAAUUACAUGUGUUUUAUUUUAAUUAAGUAUUUUAUUUAUUUUAGGGGCAUUAUAGUCAUUUCACAAUAAAGGAGAGAUCAGACGGCAAAACGAACAUCACUUUUGAACUCAGGACGGUCGAAAACCUUAGGAGGAGCAUAAAAGGAAAAAUGACACUAUUCACAUGUACGGUACUAUUCACGUGUACGGUACUGUUUACAUUACUGUUCACGACACUGUUCACAUAGACGGAUCGAUGACGUGGCAUUGACCGAUGAUGUGGCAUUGACUGAUGAGGUGUCACGAUCCUGUUGGGCUAAAAUUCUUAUGUACUGUUGAUGAUGACGUGGCAGUAUAUCAGUGGAUGAAAAAUCUUGCGUACGGUACAUGCAUCACACAGGAUUAUUUUCAACCAAACCGCAUUACUGUUCAUCCAGGUCAAACCGUGUUACUGUUCAUCCGCGUGGUCAAACCGCGUACUGUUGACUGAUGACGUGGCGCAAUCCUGAGCGUCCAAACUAUUUUUAAUCCGAUGGCCAUGAUUUACUCCAUGUAUCUAUAAAAAGGGGGCCUCUCCCCCCUAAUUUGAUAUCUCCGAAUCCAUUUUUGGGAUCCAUUUUCUGUAAUUCCUUUUCCAUCUUGUAUUUUCUUCAUAUUUUAAUAAAUUUCCAUUUUGCCCCUAGUUCAAUUAUGAGUGGCUAAUUUUCUUUCAAGCUUGGGUUGAAGGUGAAGUCUCAACAUGUGUCAUGGGCUUUAUUUGGUAAAUUUAUUUUCUCUUCCCCUCUAAUUUUUGUGGAUGUUUUGACUUCUCGUCGACAAAUAAUACUAAUCUUGUCUAGUACCGCCUUGGUUUCACCGGCCCUCUAGUACAAGGUUAUUAUUAUUUGGCACGAUAAGCCCUUAGCACCAUAUUGAUUAGAGAGUGGUUCAUGAGGUGUGGAUUCCCCCCUCAUGAUUUAAUUGGCAUUAAUAAGGAUUAUUUAGUCCAUGAUGCAUGUUGAUACGGAUCCAGAUACCCAAGUAUGUCAUUUCAAUAGCUUUCUAUUCAAUUUAUUCUCGCCAUUUCAAUUCCAAUUGUAGAAUUUAAUCUCGCCAUUUCAAUUCCAAUUUUUAGGAUAAUUUAAAUCACUUCCACCAUAAUUCCAACCACCCAUUUACAAAAUUAAUUCUAUACACAAUUAAAAUCCACCUCCUCGUGGGAUCGACACUCGUCACCAUUAGUCUAUACUACAAUAGAUUCGUGCGCUUGCGAGUACAUUAAAAUUUGCACAACAAGAUACACCUAACAUCUCUUGGAAUAAUCAUCUAUGAAAGUCAUAAUGUACGUUACACCUCCUAGGGACAUAUUCCGGUGAUUCCCAAACAUUAGAAUGAACCAAGUCUAGAAUGCAUUUACUUUUGGUAUCAGAUUUACUGAACUUCAAUCUAUGUUACUUACUGGUAACAUAAUACUCAUAAAACAGUAAGUUCACCAAUUUGAGCCCCGAAGCAAUUUUCGUUCUAAGAGAAUCUUCAAACCUUAUUUUGACAUGUGGUCAAGUUUGAGAUACCACAUCAUCAUCGACUUUUCUCCAUUUGACGAGACACAUACAUUAGCUUCUUGUAAUGUUUCCUCUUUAAGUAUGAACUGACUAGCACUAAUUUUUUCCCAUCUUUAUCAAUACAAGCAUAUCUCUUAAAAUCUUCAUGAUUUUAUUGUCCACAUGAGUUUUAUAGUUAAGACUAUCUAUUUAUCCUAAAAACAAUAGAUUUUUCUUCAAUCCUUUGAUAUGUUGUACCUUCUGAAUUGUACGAACUGUACCAUUAAAUAUUUUUAUUUUGACAGUAUCAAUACCAACGAUCUCCAAGACAUGAUCAUCACCUAUAUAUUCUCUUAAAAUGGGUUCAUUUCUAUGGAACCAUUCUCUUCGAGAGGUCAUGUGCCAAGUGGUUCAUAAGUCUAUAAGCCAUACAUCAAAUAAUUGUUUUGUCUUCUGCAACCAUUGCUGCCUUGCUGUAUAAAAUGUCACCAUCAACUGAGGUACUUGCUACACGUCCUUAAACAUUUCAUGACUCAUGAUUUUUACUCUCUUUUCUCUUUUAGUUACUCCAAAACUUUUUCUUAACAUGCCCCAUCUUACCACAUUUGUAGCACCUAAUUUUCUUCUUCUUGAUUUUGAUCUACCAUGCACUGGAACCACGUUCCACUAAUUUUCGUCUCACCAUUAUUAGUGUUUCUGCUUGCUGCAAACUUGCUUGCCUAUCUUUAUUGUUCUUGCGUCUACCCACUUCCUCUAAUACAGAGGCUAUAACAUCGUCAAAGACUAAAUACUCUGUGCGGAUAUUAUUUGUCAAGUUGAUGAUGAUUUGAUCAUACCAGUCAGGUGAACUUUGAAAUAGAAGCUUUGCAUGUUCAAUUUUCGCUAUUUUAUGACCUAACAUUGUAAGUUGUAAAAAAAAAGUUUUCAAAGUGUUGAUAUAGUGGGUCAUUGAUAUGGUUUCUACCAUUUGAACACUAUAAAGUCUUCUCUUUAAGAAGAUUUUGUUGUGUAGCGACUUGGCCUUGUUUACUUUUGCAAGGGUAUUCCAAAUACACUUCCCUGUCUUUUGCUUUGCCAUACUGGAUAAUAUCUUAUCUGCAAGUGCCAAGUGUAGAUCAAUAAUUGCAUUGUCGUCCAUUUAAUUCCACUUGUCAUCGGUGAUUUCUAUAAACCUUUCUGCAAUUACUUCUAAAUAAUUAUUUUUCCUCGGGAUUGCUCAUGUCUUUAUUUUUCACAAUGAGAGAUUGCUCAUAUUGAACUUCUCAAUUUCAAACUUUGUUGCCAUUUUGUUAAUAAAUACCAUACACAAGUUAGUGUACCACCUUGAGUAGUUAUGAGUGAUCGCACGUGUGAAAAUGCACAGCAGAAAAGUUUCCAGGAAUGACUGGAGGGAUUACAACGGUGCCAUUUAAAACCCAAACUCUCUAGGCUCUUAUCGCCUUUGUGACGGAACUAUCCUAGACAUGUACAAGACCACGUGAUUACUUCUACUCACACCAAUACUCCUUACUUUACAUUGUGGAAUUCUUCGAUCGCUCCCACUAUUUUAAGUAAACAGUAUCAUAUACAUGAAGAGUAUUGUAUACGUGAACAAUAGCUGACUCCAAAAACUAUAACUAAAUGGCUCUGAUACCACUAUUAGGAAAUUGAUGUGUGAAGCAGACACAUAAUUAAAUUGAAAUUGAGAAAUAAUGAUCACAGGAUGACACCAUAAUUUAAGUGGUUCUGCUUUUCACCUACAUCCACGGGCGAAGGCAGAAGGAAAUAUUUUACUAGUGAAAAGGAGUUACAAGUACUGGAGUAUUUUGUCUCACAACCCAAAAAACCCAAUGCACCCAAACUCUCAAGACACUAGAAUAAGAGCUUAAAACUCUCAACACACUCUCAAUCUCCAAAUCUUGGCUCUUUCACUUCUCAAUUAGAUUGAGAAUUGAAGAAAAUGAGAUGAAUGAAGAGGGCAAAUAAAGCCUCUAUUUAUAGGCCAGGCAAUGCCCUAAAAUCAACAACAGUGGGCUUUAAAAUAAUAUAUAUUUUCAUUUAACUUUCCCCUUUGGUGUCAAAAACAAAAGUUGUGUGCUAGCUAAAUGCUUUCCACUUACUCAUGUCUCCCACUUACUUAACAAAUUAUGCCAAAAGUCAAAAGUUGCAUGCGAGCCACAUGAAAUUGUUUGCCACAUGCAUGUGCUUGUUCAACAGUAAAAACCACAAGCAAGGAUUUAACUAGUUUAAACAAGGACUACAAAACCUUCAACGUUGGUGGAUUUCACUAGUUUAAACGAGGAUCACAAAUUUAUCUUUUCUCUAAACAGUAAGAGAGAACUUGAAAUACAAGAAUGCAACCCAAGAGGGGGGGGUGAAUUGGGAUUCUAAAAAAUUAUUCAAUUUAUUAAAGAAAAUCUUAAUGCAAUUAUAAAUCAAAUUCAAAGCAAUAACAAUUAAGAGAAUCACAAUAUAAAAAGAUAAGGGAAGAGGGAUUCAAACACCGAGAUUUUUACGUGGUUCGGCCAACCUCGCCUACGUCCACGCCUCCAAGCUUUCCGGGCUUGAGGAUUCCACUAAGCAAGCCUCCAAGGCUUCAAAUGCUUACACUUGACUUCCAAGGUGUCAAUGAACCUUUACAACAAGAGAUUAUCCCCAAUCUCUUAACCCAAGUGUAUCCCAACACUUACAAUCACUCAAAAUAAAAGAUUAUAAAUUGUUUUGCCUCUCACAAUAUAUAAGAUUACACAAUGAUGCUUAAUAUGUGAAUAGAUGAAGCAAGAAUAUGUUCUAAGCUCUAUGAAGAUUGUAUUCUCGAAUAUUAGCUCAAAUGGUCGUGUUGUGAUCAAUCUUCUUUGAAUUUGAAUGAGCUUAUUUAUAUUUGGAGCCGAAAAUCUAGCCGUUACAAACUGUCGGACAGAAAACGGUUCGCUGUUAACCAUAAACGGUUAACCGUUUAGGCUGGUCAAAGUUACCGUUGGGCCAGAUUUCAAAUAAACGGUUUGCCGUUUAGGGUUGCCCUUUCGCCGUUAACUUCCAGAGACCUGCAAAAUGAGUAUUUGUUAUCCGUUUACGCUAAACGGUUAAGGACUUGCGUGAAGUGGCUUCUCUGGACAUUAUCGGUUAACCGUUUGAUAUAAACGGUUCGCCGUUUGUCUCCAGUAACCUGCAAAACAAUUUAGCCUUAUCAGUUUUCGUUAAUCAGUGCCAGAGGAGGACAACCUUCAAUUCUGGACGUUAUCGGUUAACCGUUUAAAAUAAACGGUUCACCGUUAGGUUCCAGUAGCCUUCCCAUCUUGGGUGUUUUCCGGUAAGCAUAAACGGUUAGAGCUUAGGUAAUAUGUUGCUCUCUGGUGAUAAUCGGUUAACCGUUUAAAAUAAACGGUUCACCGUUAAGUUCCAGUAACCUUCCCAUCUUUUGUGUUUUCCGUUUUUCAUAAACGGUUAGAGGUUUAGGAAAUAUGUUGCUCUCUGGCUGUUAUCGGUUAACCGUUUAAUAAACGGUUCACCGUUUAUAACCAGAAUUACAUUUUAAACCAGUUUUUUAUUUUUGCAGAGAAUCUUUUUCUAAUUUUAAAGUCCAUCUUUUAUGAAGCAUGAAUUGAAUGAUUACUAAGGCUCUCGUUUAUUAAGAAAUAGCUCCAAUACUUUUAUAAAAAAUCAUUUAAAAUUUGUUAUCAUCAAAAUCAAUAUUAUUAACAUAUUUAUGUUAACAAUCUCCCCCUUUUUGAUGAUGACAAAUUCUAAUCAAUGUUUAGCUCCCCCUUAAUAUGUGCUCCCCCUAAAUGUAUGGCCAAAUUGAGAAAUGUGAAUAAAAGGAUAUUUGCUUUAAAUUGCCCCAUUUUAAAUCCAUCUUAAAACAAAUAUCUCCCCAUUUAAAAACCAUCUUAAAAAAAUAUCUCCCCAUUUAAAAAACUAUCUUAAAAACUUAAAAACCAUCUUAAAAACUUUAAUUAUCUCCCCCUUCAUCAUCAAAAAGAAAAGAGGAAAUAAGAAAUACGCAAAUCCAUGAAAGAAAGUGCCCGGUUUUGGCAAACAAAAAAAAAAUUUUGGCAGAGUUUCCCCUUAAAAAUGAGUAAAACCAUAAAUACAAAAUGAGAUAAAACACUUCCAAAAUUAGAUCAACAUUAACUUCUGCUUUCAACAAGCCAACAACUCCAUGAACAAGACAAAAUAACACUUCAAUAUCCACAAAUAUACCAACACUCCAAUAUCCACAAAUAAACCAUUUCUACAAUAUCCAACCAAUUAGGCAAUCACAAAGCAUCAAUAAGCUAAUCAUCAAGAACAUCACACACAUAUGCAUCAAAAUCAAAAUAAUAAUAAAAAUGCUAGCAACCAAAAUGUAAAAUGUAUGUGCGAAGACAAAGCUCAGAAACUACGGAGGCGGAGAAGAUGUGCUCCCUGGAUCAUAGCCGAAAUAGCCGAGAAUAGUGCGCUGUCCAGCGAUAAGCUCCAUCUGCUGAUCAAGGCUCUGCCGCUGGAAUAUCUGAAAGUCAGAACGCAGCUGCUGGUGGUCCCGGGAAAGAGUGUCCAACCGAUCAAGAAUCAGCUGCUGGCGCUCCGAAAUCCGCUGAACAUCAGUGAUCAGCUGCUGCACUGCGUCUGAAGCAGGGGGCUGAACUGGAGCUGGAGGCGGCAUAGAGGCAGAUGGCUGCUCGGGAACAGCAGAAGGCUCAGGAGCAAGAGGCGGCUCGGAAGAGGAGGGAAUAUCAGCAUCCAUCGCACGCUCCUCAGAGUCUGAGUCAGCUGGAGGCUGAGGAACAAAACGGCGACGCGGAGGAUGAGGAUGAGCGCCUAGUCUAAAGUCAGGAAGCUGGUCGGGACGAUAGACAUCAUUGAGCAUCCGAUCGUCCUCUGGAGCAAUCAAGGUAUCCCGGUUUUUGGAGUUGCUUGUCUUUAUCCACACUCCAUUCUUUCUAGAGAAUCCGAUACUGGUUACUGCCUCGGAACCAAUCCGUCGAGUCUCCAUAUGUCCAGUAUCAAGAAGUGGCACCUCAAAGCGUCGCAGUAUUUUAGUGAUGAUACUGCCGUAGGGAAGCAAGCGGUGGUUGACCACUGGAGUACUCAGCAUAUGUCGCACAAUAAUAUACCCGAGGUUAAUGGGACGGUCUGUAAGAAGGCUAUCCAAUAAGGCGACGUCUAACCUCGUAACCUCAUCCGAGUGACCCUUCCUAGGAGUCACUAUGUGCUGUAGAAUAGAGUGAAGAAUACGAACUUGGAGCGGUAAAAGUUGAGACCGAAAUGGAAGCUGACAGACAUCAUCCGAUAAGUCUCGACGACGACAUAUAUUACGGACGCCGUGAGUAUGAGAAAAAGUAUCAAAGGAGAGGGUUUUCCUAGAGGUGUAGAUGUCAAUCCCCUCACAAGAGAUACCUAGAAAGUCAGCUAAGUCCGCAUCAUCAAAUUCUAUGGGUACACGGCCGACUUGAGUGACUAUCCUAUUUGGACGAGUAUUGGAGAUUUCCAUGUUCGAAUAAAAGACUCGCACUAAGUUUGGAUAAACUCGGUCAUCAAAAUCAAUGCCAGACUCCCAAGGCCGAAGCAUAUCCCGAAUACUUCUACCACAUACAACCAAAUUAUGGAAUUCAUCAAUGUCAACAAAGAAGGAGUCAAGUACCUUUCGACCAUUGAAGCGUUCUUCGAAUCGCUUGGCCAAGGAAGGAGUGGGGAAGUGAAUCCUUGCAAAUUCCGAGACUUCCCGAGGUGGUAUGGGAUUCCUUGGAGGCACAGAUUUACGUCUGAGAUUUCUCCGAGGAGGUUCAGCCAUGGAAACACGUAAUGAGGAGUAGAAGAUGUGAGUAGGAUGUUUAAUUUGGUUGAAGAAAGUUGGAAAUCGGAUUAAGGACAAGGAAACCCGACCCGCGACAGUUAGGGUUUAGAUUUGGGAUUUUUGAAUUUUGGGUUCGAUUUGAAGUUUUGAAUCGGUAGAAAUGUUCUAAAGGUGAUAAGAAAUGAUUUUGAAGGUUUGAUUUGGCAAGGAAAGCAAGAAAAAUGAGGAUUUGAGGACAGAGAAACCUUCGGCUGCGCAACAAUGGUGGAAACGGUGAAAGGGUAACUGGAGAAGAAGAAGAAAACCUUUAAACAGUUUAUACACUUCGCGAAAACGGUUAACCGUUUAUUGAAACGGUUAAAGGGUAACGUCCAGAGGCUGAAGAAAGGGAAACGGUGAAAGCCUAAGCGCUUAACGGCUAAGGAGUAACUGUUAGAGGACUCUCUGUUGAAAAACGGUUCACCGAUUGUGGCAAACGGUGAAAGGGUAAACGGGCAGACACAUAAUCUCGUUUCUGGAAUUAAACGGUGAUCCGUUUAUAGGAAACGGCUAACCGUUUAUUCAAUCUGUAAUUUCGCACAUUUGAUUUAAUUUUUGGCCAGCAAAUAAUAUAUUCCAAGAUCAUUUAAUUGAUCUGAAAAUAUUUUAUGAGCCAAUUUUAAUGCAUGAUUCAUGGACAUGUUUUCAACCAAUCAAUUCAUAUAAUCAAGAGUUAUUAAUGCAAAUUCAUCAUUUGUCUACCAAGCUCAAACAUUUCAUAAAUAGUAAUCAAUCAAUUCAGUACACUCAAUAGCAUGAAUAGAGAUGUUAAUGCAAAAAUUUCAUCAUCCCAAGUUCAUGCCGAAUUUUUGAAAAUUGUUCUUCGCAAAGCGGUUUUGUGAAAAUAUCGGCAAGUUGUUUUUCCGUGGAAAUAAACUCUAAUGCAAUAUCUCCCUUUUGAACAUGAUCUCUCAAGAAAUGAUGUCUUAUUUCUAUAUGCUUGGUUCGAGAAUGUUGAAUGGGAUUCUUUGAAAGGUUUAUAGCACUAGUAUUAUCACACUUAAUAGGAAUUUGUUCAAGAUUAAUGCCAUAAUCUCUAAGUGUUUGUUUCAUCCAAAGUGCUUGUGCACAACAACUUCCGGCAGCUAUAUAUUCAGCCUCAGUAGUUGAAAGUGCAACAGAAUUUUGUUUCUUGCUAAACCAUGAAACAAGAGAGUGUCCUAGAAUAUAGCAAGUUCCACUAGUGCUCUUCCUAUCCACUUUAUAACCAGCAAAAUCCGCAUCCGAAAAACAUGUUAAAUCUAUAUGAGUUCCCCUAGGAUACCAAAGGCCAAUAUCUAUGGUUCCACUCAAAUAACGGAAAAUUCUUUUAACAGCGAGCAAAUGAGAUUCCUUGGGACAUGACUGAAAUCUUGCACACAAACAUACACUAAACAUGAUAUCGGGUCUACUUGCAGUCAAAUAGAGUAGGGAUCCGAUCAUACCUCGAUACAUUUUGAUAUCCACUUCUUUACCUUUUUCAUCUUUGUCCAGCUUGGUUGUUGUGCUCAUUGGUGUAUUCUUGGUCUUUGAAUCAUCAAUGCCGAAUCGUUUGAGUAGAUCCUUUACGUACUUGGCUUGAUUUAUGAAAAUUCCUUCCUCGCUUUGUUUGAUUUGAAGUCCAAGGAAGUAUUUCAACUCUCCCAUCAUACUCAUCUCAAAUUCUUUGCUCAUACACAAUGAAAAUUCUUUACACAACAACUCAUUAGUAGAACCAAAAAUAAUAUCAUCAACAUAAAUUUGAACAAUAAGUAUGUCUUGGUUCUUAUGCUUAACAAAAAGAGUAGUAUCCGCUUUACCCAUAGAGAAGUCAUUUUCUAGCAAGAAAUUUUUAAGUCUAUCAUACCAUGCUCUAGGUGCUUGUUUUAAUCCAUACAAGGCUUUGAGCAACUUAUACACAUGAUUUGGAAAUUUUUCAUUUUCAAAACCAGGAGGUUGUUUCACAUAAACUUCCUCCAAAAUAUAUCCAUUUAAGAAAGCACUCUUGACAUCCAUUUGAUAUAAAAUAAAAUCCUUAUGACAUGCAUAUGCUAACAACAUCCUAAUGGAUUCUAACCUUGCUACAGGUGCAAAGGUUUCAUCAAAAUCAAUUCCUUCCUCUUGGUUGUAACCUUGAGCCACUAAUCUAGCUUUGUUUCUUACAACCACACCGGAUUCAUCCAUCUUAUUUCUAAACACCCAUUUAGUACCUAUUAUAGAUUGAUGUUCAGGUUUAGGAACUAGUUCCCACACAUUGUUUCUUUCAAAUUGAUUUAACUCCUCUUGCAUUGCCAUAAUCCAAGAUUCAUCAUUUUCUGCAUCCUCAAAGGAUUUUGGUUCAAUUUGAGAGAUGAAUGCAUUAUGCUCACAAGUAUUUCUAAGUGAUGAUCUAGUUGUUAUACCUCGUGAGGGAUCUCCUAAAAUUACAUCUUUAGGGUGAGAAGAGACAUACCUCCACUCCUUGGGGAGUGUUUGAGAAGUACCUUCAUUUUGCUCCACAUUUGGUUCUUCAUGAUGUUCCUCUUGAAUUCCAUGUGGUGCAUCCUCUUGAUUGUCAUUUGAUGCUUCUUCUUCUUGUUCUUCUUCUCUUGCAUCAUCAUCAACAACGACUUUCUUCGUAGAGGAGGGGUUAGACUCAUCAAAUGUGACAUGCAUAGAUUCUUCCACAACUAAAGUUCUUUUGUUAUAAACUCUAUAAGCUUUGCUUGAAUUUGAAUAACCAAAAAAAAUACCAACAUCGGAUUUUGAAUCAAAUUUACCAAGAUUGUCUUUUGUGUUCAAAACAAAACAUUUGCAUCCAAAAACUUUAAAAUAGCCAAUGUUGGGUUUUCUAUCUUUCCAAAGCUCAUAUGGAGUUUUAUUAAGAUUAGGUCUAAUCAACACCCGAUUUAAAACAUAACAAGCGGUGUUGACGGCUUCGGCCCAAAAAUAUUUUGGUAAUGCAUUUUCAUUUAACAUGGUCCUAGCCAUUUCUUGAAUAGACUUAUUCUUUCUCUCAACAACUCCAUUUUGUUGUGGAGUUCUAGGUGAAGAAAAUUGAUGCUCAAUGCCUAGAUUAUUGCAAAAACUCUCAAAUGCAUGAUUUUCAAAUUCUCCUCCAUGAUCACUCCUAAUGCAUACAAUACCAUGCCCUUUUUCAUUUUGUAAUUUCUUACAAAGCACUUUAAAUGCAUCAAGAGCAUCAUCCUUAUUGGCUAAGAAUAAUACCCAUGUAUAUCUAGAAUAAUCAUCCACUAUCACAAAAGCAUAAUAUUUGCCAUUUAGACUUGCAUAUCUAGAUGGCCCAAAAAGAUCUAUGUGAAGAAGUUCAAGUGGUUUUGAAGUAGAAAUAUGGUUUUUAUUCUUGAAAGAAGUUUUAAUUUGUUUUCCAAAUUGACAAGCUUCACAAAUCUUAUCCUUUUGAAAACCAAUUUUCGGAAGACCUUUAACUAAAUCAUCUUUCGAAAUUUUUGAAAUCAAAUCCAUACUUGCAUGUCCUAACCUUCUAUGCCACAACCAACAAUCAUCAUGCAAUGCCGAAAAAUAUUUAUCAAGAGUAGAUGCACAUUCUAUGUCAAUGAUAUAAACAUUACCACAUCUAUUUCCAACAAAUAAGGUUUUGCCAUCACAUGAGUUCUCAAUAACACAACUAAAUUUAUCAAAGAUAACUUUAUAACCUUUGUCACAUAAUUGACUAAUGCUAAUUAAGUUGUGUUUCAAGUUUUCAACCAAACAUACAUUCUCAAUUAGAGUUGAAGAAACUUUACCAACAUUUCCAAUUCCAAGGAUUUUUCCUUUUGAGUUGUCUCCAAAGGAUACGUCUCCACCAUUUUCAAUUUUGGUAAAGCUUGAGAACCAUGCAUAGUUUCCGGUCAUGUGCCUUGAACAACCGCUGUCCAAGUACCAUUUAUUCUUCUUCUUCUUCAAGCCCUACAAGAAAAAGUCUCAAGUUUUAGGUACCCAAAGCUUUUUGGGUCCUUGAGAGUUAGCAACGGUUCCUUUUGGAACCCAAAUGCACUUGACACCAUAAUAUGCAUUCCUUUUCACGGGACAUUUAAAUUUCAUGUGACCAUUUUGAUUACAAUAAUGACAUACAAUCUUAUGAUCAUUUGUGGAGGUAGCUUUAACAAAAUAAUUCUUAUAAUACUUUUGCUUCAAAUUUGGCUUAUAUCCAAGUCCUCCUUUAUCAAAAACACAUUUUUGUGAGUUAAGCAUAUUAUCCAACAUCUUUUGCCUAUUUGUAAAUUUCAAAACAAUUUCAUUUAAUUCAUUAUUCUUUUUCUUGAGCAAUUCGUUCUCAUUUUUCAACUCAUCUAUGUGUGAUUUCAAAUGCUCAUGUAAGAUGCUAGGUUUCUCAUUUGAUAAUGCAAUUUCAUCAUGCAAUGUUUUGUUUCCUACUUCUAGGCAUACAAUUCUUGCAUUUAGAGAUUCAUUUUCAUUUUUAAGCUUUGCCAUUUCCUUUUUAAGACAUACAUUCUUUUUACUAAUUUUCAUCAACUCAUUAUGCAAAUCUUGAAAAGCAUCAUAUAAUUCAUCAUAGGUAGGAUCACUUACCUCAUUGAGAUCAUCAUCUCCUCCUAUUGCCAUGAGUGUUAGGUUUGAUACUUCUUGCGAUCCUUCUUCAUCAUUUGAUUCUUCCUCACUAUCAUCCCAAGUUGCAACCAUUGCUUUCUUCUUGAGUUUGUUGAUAAGUGGGCACUCCGAUCUUAUAUGUCCAGGCUUCUUGCAUUCAUAGCAAGUGAUUGCCUCCUUCUUCUCCCUAUAGUUCUUGAAGUUUCUGAAAUUUCUUCGCUCUCCGGUUUUCUUGAAGAAUUUUCUGAACCUCCUUGCUAGCAUGGCUAGUUCUUCAUCAUCCGGUUCACUCUCCUCAUCACUCUCAUAUUUUGAAGCUUUGAGAGCAAUGCUUUUCUUCUUCUCCUCAUGUCCUCUUUCUGCAGCUAAAUCCUCUUCAUACGAAAUAAGAGAACCAAUUAAAUCAUCAAGAGGUAAAGUAUUUAAAUCUUUGGCCUCUUCAAUAGCGGUUCGUUUAGGUCUCCAUUCUUUUGGAAGAGACCUAAUGAUUUUCUUAACUUUCUCACUAUUUGAGAAGGUUUUCCCUAAGGCACCUAGGGUGUUCACUAUGUCCGUGAAUCUAGUAUACAUAGAAUACACAUUUUCAUUUUGUUCCAUUUGGAACAACUCAUAUUGACGAGUGUAUCUACUGAUUUUAGACUCUUUCACUUGAUUUGUCCCUUCAUAGACAACUUCAAGUUUGUUCCAUAUCUCUUGUGCACUUUCACAACUAGAUACUCUAUGGAAUUCUUUCUUAUCAAGGGCACAAAACAAAGCAUUCAUAGCCUUGGAGUUUAGAGACAUCUUUCUCUUUUCUAACUCACUCCAUUGACUCGAUGGUUUAGGAAUAUCAUCUCCUACUUCAUCUUUGAACGUAGGCAUGAAUGGACCAUCACAAACAACUUCCCAAAUUUCAUAAUCUAAGGCUUGCAAAUAAAUUCACAUUCUAGUUUUCCAAUAAGCAUAGUCAUUACCAUCGAAAAAUGGUGGUCUAGUUGUGGAUUGCCCUUCUCUAAAGGUUGAGUCAUUUAGGGUUGCCAUGGAUCUUUUACUCUAGACGAUUAAGUCUUAACAAGAGAACGAGGCUCUGAUACCAAUUGAAAUACAAGAAUGCAACCCAAGAGGGGGGGUGAAUUGGGAUUCUAAAAAAUUAUUCAAUUUAUUAAAGAAAAUCUUAAUGCAAUUAUAAAUCAAAUUCAAAGCAAUAACAAUUAAGAGAAUCACAAUAUAAAAAGAUAAGGGAAGAGGGAUUCAAACACCGAGAUUUUUACGUGGUUCGGCCAACCUCGCCUACGUCCACGCCUCCAAGCUUUCCGGGCUUGAGGAUUCCACUAAGCAAGCCUCCAAGGCUUCAAAUGCUUACACUUGACUUCCAAGGUGUCAAUGAACCUUUACAACAAGAGAUUAUCCCCAAUCUCUUAACCCAAGUGUAUCCCAACACUUACAAUCACUCAAAAUAAAAGAUUAUAAAUUGUUUUGCCUCUCACAAUAUAUAAGAUUACACAAUGAUGCUUAAUAUGUGAAUAGAUGAAGCAAGAAUAUGUUCUAAGCUCUAUGAAGAUUGUAUUCUCGAAUAUUAGCUCAAAUGGUCGUGUUGUGAUCAAUCUUCUUUGAAUUUGAAUGAGCUUAUUUAUAUUUGGAGCCGAAAAUCUAGCCGUUACAAACUGUCGGACAGAAAACGGUUCGCUGUUAACCAUAAACGGUUAACCGUUUAGGCUGGUCAAAGUUACCGUUGGGCCAGAUUUCAAAUAAACGGUUUGCCGUUUAGGGUUGCCCUUUCGCCGUUAACUUCCAGAGACCUGCAAAAUGAGUAUUUGUUAUCCGUUUACGCUAAACGGUUAAGGACUUGCGUGAAGUGGCUUCUCUGGACAUUAUCGGUUAACCGUUUGAUAUAAACGGUUCGCCGUUUGUCUCCAGUAACCUGCAAAACAAUUUAGCCUUAUCAGUUUUCGUUAAUCAGUGCCAGAGGAGGACAACCUUCAAUUCUGGACGUUAUCGGUUAACCGUUUAAAAUAAACGGUUCACCGUUAGGUUCCAGUAGCCUUCCCAUCUUGGGUGUUUUCCGGUAAGCAUAAACGGUUAGAGCUUAGGUAAUAUGUUGCUCUCUGGUGAUAAUCGGUUAACCGUUUAAAAUAAACGGUUCACCGUUAAGUUCCAGUAACCUUCCCAUCUUUUGUGUUUUCCGUUUUUCAUAAACGGUUAGAGGUUUAGGAAAUAUGUUGCUCUCUGGCUGUUAUCGGUUAACCGUUUAAUAAACGGUUCACCGUUUAUAACCAGAAUUACAUUUUAAACCAGUUUUUUAUUUUUGCAGAGAAUCUUUUUCUAAUUUUAAAGUCCAUCUUUUAUGAAGCAUGAAUUGAAUGAUUACUAAGGCUCUCGUUUAUUAAGAAAUAGCUCCAAUACUUUUAUAAAAAAUCAUUUAAAAUUUGUUAUCAUCAAAAUCAAUAUUAUUAACAUAUUUAUGUUAACAGAACUAUUACUCAUUUUCGUAAUAGUUGGGGGCUUAGGCCUAAGAUGCAAAGGUAUGCAUCCAACUUAAAUGACUAGUUUUUCACUAGUGAAUUUGGGACACACAACUCAAUAGAGAGAACACAGCACUCUCUCACAAAGCUUAGGCCCUGUUUGGCAUUAUUUUCUAAAUGAUGUUUUCAUGAAACAAAAAUGAGAAUGGAAAUGACGUUUUCAAAUUUGUUUUUAAAAUUUAAAGUGUGUUUUGUAUCAUUUUAAAAAAUAAUCUUGAAAAUGAAAAAAGUUAAAUACUUUCGAUAAGAAAAUCUUCAAGAAUUAUUAUUAGAAUAAUUUUCCUAAACUUAAAAUUGAGUAAUGAAUAAUUAUUUUUAUUAUUUAAUCAGUUUAUUUUUUUAAUUUUAAGAAUAAAUUAGGUGAUCCCAUUAUUAUUUUUUGUUUAAAGAAAAGUUAUAAACUCUACAUAUUUGAUUUAAUUAAUAUAUAAAAACAUAAAUAUUAUAAUGUAUAUAAAAAGAAAAGAUUAUUGUGGAGGAGGGAAAUCAAUUUUUUGGGAAUAAUAAUAAUAAUAAUGUUGAAAUUAUUAAUAUUUUUUGAGGUGUUGGAAGAAAAUUGUUCAUUUUGAAACUUAAUACUGUAUUGGAAAAUAAGGAAAACAAUAAAAAGCUGUUUUCCUAUUUCUUUUGUUAAAAAUGUAGAAUGAAUUUUAUAUUUUCAAAAAUAUGUUCAAAAAUGAUCUACCGAACAAGUAUUUAGUGUUUUCUGAAUGCAAAAAACAAGAAGCAGGAUUUGGAAACAAUACUAACGUACCUUUACUUGCUCUCAAACAAUGAUCUUGCAGAUACUUUAUUUUAUCGAAAUGAACCUCAAACAACUUUAUUUGCUUCUGGCUGUCAUUGACUCAUUGACCAUUAGCAAUAUAGCAUUAGGUAGUGCCCUCUCUUUUCUUUUUUGUCUUUGUCUUCUCCAAUUCGGGCUACAAAUGUUGCGAAGAAUUCCUUUUCCAUCUCCUCUCCAUUGUUUGGCUUCAAUAUUUUGGAGUUGAAUGGAAUCACAAUUUCUCACCUAUUGUCACACAAAGUUUCGAAUACAUUAUUAUAUAAAAGUGUAAGUUAAAAAAAAUUAGAAUAAAAUUUAAUAAUAUCAUAAAAAAAUUUAUAUUUUACAUCAUCCAAUUUUUGAUAAAAACUCAAGUAGAUAUCACAAGUAACGCAGCACCAACAUUUGAUUUUUUUCUACUUUUGUACCCAAUUUUGAGCCAGAGUUAAAGUAAAUAACUUUUAAUUAAUUAUGAAAAAAUAAUAAUAAUAUGAGAUCGACGGGUCCCAUCGAGAUUUUCUUAUCUCUUUAGUAAAUUUCCUGCAUAUUUAUUUUGCAUCAACCUUAACAUUGUAUGUGAAAAAUUUCUGCAUAUUUAUUUUGUCCUACGGAGACAAUAUUUUGAGAUUCAUAUACAAUUAACAUAAGGAAGCUUCCAAGAAAUUUCUGGGUGGACUUCAAAAUGAGAAAAGAAAUUAAAUUUGUUGGACCACCAUCAUGAAAUUUUAAAUUUUUUGGACCCCAAUCUGCCUUUGUCUUUUCAUCUGAUUGGAAGCCACUUGAUGACAGUGACUGAUCAUUGACCAUUUGGUGCUCUCUUCUCUUCGUCUUCUAAUUCAACUUACCCUCAUCAAAUUAAACGAUCAUUCUAGGCAUCUUCUUUGAAAUUAUUUGUUGCGACAAUCCCAUAAUAUACGGCAAAUAUCAAUCGCAUAAAGCAUACAAGGAUAAGUCAAUGUUUACGGGGAAAUAUAAAAAAAAAAAAUAUUUCACUAUAAAAAUAUAUAGUGAAAUAUUUGAUCAUUUCUCUAUCUACUCUAAAUAAAGACAAUCUGCCUUUGUCUUUUCAUCUGAUUGGAAGCCACUCGAUGACAUUGACUGAUCAUUGACCAUUUGGUGCUCUCUUCUCUUCGUCUUCUAAUUCAACUUACCCUCAUCAAAUUAAACGAUCAUUCUAGGCAUCUUCUUUGAAAUUAUUUGUUCCGACUAUCCCAUAAUAUACGGCAAAUAUCAAUCGCAUAAAGCAUACAAGGAUAAGUCAAUGUUUACGGGGAAAUAUAAAAAAAAAAAAAAAAAAAAAAAAUUCACUAUAAAAAUAUAUAGGGAAUACAAAUAUUGAAAUAUUUAUCACAUAAACCAAAUUCUUAAUAAAAUCAAGUUCUUAGAUCACUCGAAAACAUUUUAGUUAUCUCAAAGCUAAAGAAUUGCUUCUCAUAGAACACACGUUAAGUUUUCAAAUUGUUGGAGACUUUUCUAACACUGGCUCAUGGAUUCUGCAUCCAAUUUAUAGGCAAAUCUAGAUUUCAAAUGUCAAGAAUAACGGAAUCUAAUAGCUCGCAAUUAGAGCAUGCAAAUCUUGACUUUUAGAAUGCGAAAUCUCUGACUUUUAGGCCUGGUGAAAAAGUGAACAACGAACAUGGCUUGUUUCCAAUUGCACGAUAAAAAAAUUCUAGUGGACGGUAAUUAUUGAAACAUGAAUAACGAGAAAUAUUUUAGAUGGUGUAUUAAUUUAAAGAAAAAAACGUACUAAAAAAUCUAAGUCGUGUAUUGAUGCGCAUGGGAGUUGUUAAUAGACCCAAUUGUUGUAGUUAAUUAGAUGACUCAAUGUAUCGGCUUUGACUGUGAUCUGAGAGAUGAAAUUACAAAUAUAAAUGUGGGUAAUAAAAGAAAUUUUCUUGUCAAAAUCUUUAAAAAAUACGCUGAAAUGUCCGGGGAAAAUUUUUGUUUUUUUUUUCCCCUCAGACGUGUAGUUUGGGGCAAGCAAAGUUUUUUCUCUUCUAAUAUAAAUAGGAAAAUUAUGAUUUUUUGUCCUUCACAUCCAGAAAGGCUCAAGGAAAGUAAGUAAUCGUGAGUAUGAGUUUAUUGAAAAAUAUGCUGUGAGAUUAAUUGGUCUUUUAUUUUAUUUUUAUUUUUAUUAUUUUCUUUAGUGACGGUGGCGAAUAGUAUUUACACCUUUUUUUAAUAUUAAUUUUUAACCAUCAUUCACUAUUUCUUUUGUUUUUUUGGAGAAACGCGGUUCAACAGUAACCAUAAAGCUGCAUUUAAUUGUGGAGGGUGCACAAGAGUAAUAUAGAGUGUUUUAGUCUAUUCAGUGUGCAAAUAACCCAAUGUUAUAAGAGUUAUGAAUAUAUGUUGUAUGUAUUUGUAAUAUUUUUGUUUUGGGAGGGGCUUAUAUUAAUUUAAGAAUUCAACUUCAAUCUAGACAUCAAAAUAUGACCAUUUAUUUCGUUCAAUCAAUUAACCCACGAAUUUAUGGUCAGACCCUUGGAUUGUUUGUUGAUUGGAGAGGCUAAAAUUGAGUGGGAAAGUAAAGCAAUGAGGAAUAGAAAAGAUCUAUGGCAAAGAUCGAUGAACAGUGGGCAUGAUUUAAUAAUGAAUUACAGAUAUGUUGGCGUUACGGAAUAUGUUGUUGACAAAAUUAUGGAGUCUUGAUUUCUUGGGGAUGAAUUUUUUUUGUUUUUUCAAUUUAGGUUAGGAAUUGUUAUUUACUAGUAUAAUCGUUGAGGAAUGAGGGAAAAGAGUCGGUAUUCUUUCUCUCUUUCUUUAUUAAGUUUUAAUAUGUCAUCUAUGCUUUUUGUUUUCUGAAUCUUAUUUUAUUAAAGUUUUAUUAUCACAUAAUCAAUUAUCUCAUACCGUGGAUUGAAUUAAAUAAAUUUUCAAGUUUUCAUGCUUAGAUUACAAUCAAAUUCUUAAGUUAAAAUCCCCCUCCCGUUUGUUUUGUCUCUAAAAAAAAAACAUUGGUACUAAAAAAUAAAUAAUCUUAUUUUUAAUGAAAAUAUAAUAUUUUUAGUCUUCUAAUUUGUUUAUUUUAAAAGUAACUCAUUCACUGCUUUGUAAAAUCAAAAUCUCAUGUGGCAAUGAAUUUAUUUUACAAGAAGUAAUUUUAAAAAGUUUUUAUCAAACACUUAAAUUAAUCAUUAGCUUUUCAAUAUCACUUUUGAACAUCCCAACAACAAUCUCAAAUUGGUCAUAAAUUAUUUCGUUUUCUAGAUAAUAAAUGUAAAUUGAUGGAAAUAAUUUUUAUAUCAUAAAAGUAAAAAUAAUUUUAUUAUUUGUAUCAAAUUAAUAUUAUUUAGAUAUAUUUAUAUUUAAUUAUUAUGUUAGUAAAUUAUCAAAUAAUAUUUUUAUUCAUAAUAAGACAAAUUUAUGGUGUGUUUACUUCAUGGAAUGAGAAAUGGGAAUGAAGGAAUGAGAAUGAAACCCAUGUUUACUUGGCAAAAUGUAAGUUGGGAAUGGAAAUAAAAUGUGUGGGUCUCACAUAAUUUGGGAAUAAGGAAUGGGAAUCCCAUUUCCAUGGGGGGGUUGUGAAUGAAAAUGAGGGAAUAUGAAUGAAAUAUAUGUUUACUUUUGUAUCUCUCUAAUUUUUUCAUAUUUCCCAAAUUACCCUCAUUCAAAUCACAAUUAAUUUUAUUAUUUUAAAUGUCAUUAAUAAUAAUAAUUAUUAUUAUUAAAUUUUAUUAACUUUAUUAUUUUAGUUAUUAUUAAUUAUUUUUAUUAAUAUUAUCUAUAUUAACAAUAAAAAAUGAUAAAAAUAAUAAUUAAUAAAAAUAAUUAAUUUAUCAUUAUUAACAAUAUUAUCAUUAUUGUUGUUAUUAUUAAUAAUAAAAAUAAUAAUAACAAUAAUUAAUAAUAUCUAAAAUAAUAAAGUUAAUAAAAUUUAAUAAUAAUAAUGUAAUUUUCAUUAUCUAGAUACAUGUAUAAAUUAUAUUAUAAAAAUGAUAUUAAUUAAAAUAAUAAUAAAUGUUAAUAAUGAUAAUAUUAAUAAAAAUAAUAAUAACAAUAAUUAAUAGUAACUAAAAUAAUAAAUUUAAUAAAAUUUAAUAAUAAUAACAAUAAUAAUAAAUGUUAAUAAUGAUAAUAUUAAUAAAAAUAACAUUAAGAGUAAUUAAUAAUAACUAAAAUAAUAAAUUUAUUAAAAUAUAAUAAUAAUAAUAAAUAUUAAUAAUGAUAAUAUUAACAAAAAUAAUAAUAACAAUAAUUAAUAACAACUAAAAUAUUAUUAAUAUUAUUUUUAUUAAUAAUAAUAAUAACAACAAUAAUAAUGGUAAUUUUGUUAAUAAUUAUAAAUUAAUUAUUUUUAUUAAUUAUUAAUAUUAUGAAUAAUUUGGUAAAUUGAUUCUCAUUCUCAUUUAUUAUUCUAAUUUAUUUUGCCAAAUAAACAUAUCAAUGACAUUCCAGCACAUUUUUAUUUCUAUUUAUUUUUGUCAAAUAAACAUUAAAAUUUCAUUCUCAUUUCUUAUUUUCAUUCGAGUCCAUUCUUAUUUUUAUUUCUUAAAGUAAACGCACCAUUCGAGAAAAAUUAGAAGGUGUUUGCUAGGAAACUUAAGAGAAAAAUUAAUAUGGAACUGUCCCACCACUUGGGAUUCUUUCACGUAUUGUUUCAGUGGAUCUGAUUGAAUUUUAUUUUGAAAAAUCAAUUGAUAAUACUCGGAUGGUAUAGCCUGGUAGGGUGAUACUCUAAGCGGUCCCUUUAACCUUUUUAGUUGUCGUACACGAAUUAUUUCUUCACUUGAAAUAAAAGUCAACAAAGCUGCAUCUUCACUGAAAUUAUUGUCCACAGUGCUUCCUGGAAAAUGAGAUAAAGAUAAUUUUAAAGAAACUUUUAGGAAAUUUUCCGGGAAAUUUUUGCUUUUUCUCUUCAAACGUAAAGUUUGGGGGCAGAAAUGUUAAAGGUUUAAAGGUGGGUACAAUUAUUCUUCUUCUUGUUAUUUAAGCAUUUCCUUCCAUUCACAUUAGUCGGUCUUCAAUUAAUUUUAGAUAAGGAGAUGAAACUACCACAAAAUUAACUCCAAGUGAAGGACUACUAAAGUAGCCAUAUAUUCCACGCACAUUUUAUUCAAUUAAUUAAUUUAUGAUCACAUCCCACAUCAUAUUAUUAUUGUAUCAACUUGCACGGUCGUAACAAUUAACAUAAAUUUUCAUUAAAAUUAUUACAUUAAUUUUUAAAUAGAAAUAAGAAAAAAAUUCUUAAUACUGAAAAAACAUAAGAUGAAAUCGUGUGUCGUUUGUCACGAGUCAAACUUUUGAGAAAAAUACACGAAUGAAUGUGGCGCGUAAAAGGUGUUGAUGUACUAUCAACAUUUUCAUUUUAUUUUUAUUGAACUUUCAUAUAUUUUUUUUAUAAGCUGUCAUCAAUUAUUUGUUUCUUGCUCUGCGCGUGCACGACAAGACCUACUAUUUGCACCCUUUUAACCCUUUUAGUUGUCAUGCACUAUUUUCCUUCUUCACUUGAAAUGAAACAGUCUGUAAAGCUGCAUCUUCAGUGGAAUUCUUAUCCGCAGUGCUUGGAAAAUAAGACGAAAUUGAUUAUUAGUUGGGUCUUCCUAAGCUACAACUCAUGUAAUUUGAACUUUACAUGUUUCGCAUGAGUUGUAAAUUACAUAUUUUUACAUGUUUUGCAUGGAUUGUAAAUUAUAUGAAUUGUAAAUUAGCAAAACCCUUAUCACGAAACUUAAGUCUCAGGAAGAUUCCCCCUUCCAAGCAUAAUGUGUUCUUGAUUUCAUCUCGUCGAAAUUUCGAAGUUGGUAACUGCUUUUGGUAAUUAUAUCUUCAUCACUUGCAAUCUUUUAUUGCUUUUCCAAGUUAAUUUUUAGGGUAAGUAUCAUAAACCUCUGCUAGAUUUGAUUUAUUCACAGUUUCAUAGAUUGUAUUCGUAUAUUCUCAAAUACCUCCCUUAACGUUAGUAUAAUGUUUCUUUGAUUGUUUGUUGCAUAAUAAAUUAUCAAAAUACUCCAGCAAAAAUUAUUUUAUACUGAAAAUAAAGAAUUCUGUACCAACAUGUUUGAUUUGGCGCCAAGGGAUGUAAAUAUAAUUAAAAUACCAAAUCACCCCCCACUACUUUUUAAAAUGACUUUGAUGGAUGAAACAAACAAAAGAUUUGACUUAUGUCAAAUAUCAGCGAAUUCGAAAGGAAGCUUUUUUGCACUUUGCCUCAUUGCUCUGCUUUCUACAUCAAAUUUCUUUAAUCUUGGUGAAGAUUUUGGUGUCCCGAUUUGUGUCUCUCUCUCUAAUUUUCUAUUUUUCAUUUCAUGAGCACAUCUUCCCUUAAAAUUGUAGAGAUACUAUAUGAAAUCACCAAACCAUGAAAAUAUUAUAUUAGAGAAAAAAAACAAUUAUAACUUAAACAAUAUUUGUAAUCAGCAUUUGCACUUUCAUUCAUGGUUAAUUUCUUUUAUACAUAACGAAAGCUUGAUUAGGGAGAGAGAAUUUUAGUCGAUCCCAAAAGAUAUUCAUAAGAAGAAAAAAUUAUUGGCUAAAUUCAAGCCUUGAGCAAUAAUAAAUUUUUGGCCAAAUCGAAAUAUAUAACAACUUCAUGCAAUUUUAAUUCAGUUGAAUAAUAUAUGGGUUUUCAUGAUCACGUAUAAAUUUUCUCGCGCUAUCAAUUAUCGCGUCGCAGUCAGCUUUCUAUUAUCCAUUCUGCAUUCAAUCAACCUAUCAUAUUCUAUCUCUUCAAUUAAUUUAUUUCGUGAGCUUUGUCAAACUAAUCAAAUUAAUUCAUUAAUGGAGCAAAACCGUGAAGGAUUAUUUUUCAAACUUUUUAAGAAAAUAAACAUGUUAGCAACCAAUCAGGGGCAUGAAAAUGGUUGUGCAUAUAUAUCUUUGUUGACAAUUCCUCUUUGAAAUUAAUUGUCUUGUUUAGGUUAUAAUAGUAUUUUAUGUUAGAGUUAUUUUAUUAAUAAAAAAUUUAGUUAAAAAAGGGUCUAAUGAAUAUUUUGGAGGGUUUAAAUAACCUCACCUUUUUUUUUUUAUCAUUAAUAGAUGCUCUUAUGAUUUUAUCCUCACCAACCUAAUUUAUAUGAAAUAGUAUACUAUCGCUAGGGGAGAUAUUUAAAAAUAUGUGAAUAUAAUUUAUAAAUAGAGAAUACGCCAAAAAUUAGGGGAGGUUUCCGAUAAUUACCCUUUCAGUUACUCCUCCUCAAUCCGUCCUGGUGCAUGAACUUGAGGGAAGGGUCAGGUUCUGUGGUGGUGUUAAUAAAAAGAUAAAUUAUAUUGGAAAGUAAAUGGUGUUUGUUGGGAAAUUCACACCCUUUAACCUUUUUAGCUGUCAUUCGCUGUUUUCUGAUCAAAAUGAGUCAACAAAGUGAUUCAACUUCCAAGCACCGACAUAUUCCACAGUUCUGUGAUUCAAUUAAUGUUUUAUCUGAUCAAAAUCUAUCUAAUCAAUUGAACUGUUUCUGCUAUGGCUUCAGGUACCAGUACCACAAUUAACAUGUAAAUUAGAAGGAUCAUGCUAAGUUACGAUUUAUAAAAUGGGAUGUCCGAUAUACUUAGAUCCCACCAGUUAAUUCAUUGGGUUUAUUUUAGAGCAUCUCUAAAAAUUUUUAUAAAUUUUAUUUUUUAAAUAUUUAUUUACUUAUUUAUGUAGUAAAUAGAAGGGUGAAAAAAUAUGAUAUUUUUAAAAAAAAUUUUUUUAAAUAAAAUAAAAUAAAUAUUAUUUUAAUUAAAUAAUUAUUUUUUUUAAAAAAAAGUCAAUAGUAAUUAAAGUAUUUCUUUCUCUUUCUCUAAUAAAAAAUAAUAAAAUAUAAAUUGAUGAAAGAGAAAUCAACUCUCUAAAUUUAAAAAGUGAAAAUCAUUUCUUAUUUAAAAAACUUAAUUAGAAUAUCUUUUGAAACCUUAAAUAUUGAUGUGUCUCUUCAAAUAAAUAAUAAAAUCUUAUUUGAAAUUUUUUUUAAUGAUGCUCUUAAUUUUGCCUAACAUAAUUUGUACGGUAGGCGAGCCGAAGGUUUAAUAAAUCACGUGUUCAAUAAGAAGCGAUAAAAAAUUGUUAAACAUAAUUCUAUAUAUUAUGGAAGUGGUGUAAAUCGCGUAUUUAUAGAAAAAAGUCAUAUAUUGAUCUACAAGUGAGUGGUCAAUAGACACUCUGUAAUUAAUUAGAGGAGCUGUGAUUUGAGAUAUGAAUUUACAAAUGUAAAUUUCGGAGGAAAAAAAAAAUUUCUAGUCAAAAUCUUUGAAUACUGUAGUGAAUUGAAUGAAACUCGUCGCUUUUUCUGGGAAAUAUUUUAGUUUUUUGUCAUUGCCUCACAUUAGUCGGUCUUCAGUGGUCGUGAAGCAUCCAUAUGUCUCACGUGCAUUUCAUUCAAUUAAUUAAGUAUUAUCACAUCCCACAUUAUUGUUUCACCUUGCACCGUUAGAAUAACUAACAAGAAUCUUUAUUGAAAUUAUUGUGUCACUUUUAGAAAAGAGAUAGGAAAAAAGUUGAAUUCACAAGCCCAACUUAAUUAAAGUUUUACUGUCAUAUAAUCAAUUAUCUCAUACCUUAGAUUGAAUUAAAUAAAUUUUCAAAAUUUGAUGCUUAGAUUACAAUCAAAUUCUUAAGUUAAAAUAUCCCUUCCCGUUUGUAUUUUAUUUAAAAAAAUCGUUGGUACUGAAAAAUAAAUAAUCUUAUUAUUACUGAAAUAUAAUAGUUUUAGUCUUUUAAUUUGUUUAUUUUAAAAGUAACUCAUUCACUACUUUGCAAAAUUAAAAUCUCCUGUGGCAAUGAAUUUAUUUUACAAGAAGUAACUUUAAAAUUUUUACCAAACACUUAUAUUAAUCAUUAGCUUUUCAAUAUCACUUUUGAACAUCCCAAUAAGCAUAAACAACUAUUUCAUUUUUUAAAUAAUAAAUGCAAAAUGAUUGAAAUACUUUUUAUAUCGUAAAAGUAAAAAUAAUUUUAUUGUUUGUAUCAAAUUAAUAUUACUUAGAUAUAUUUAUAUUUAAUUAAAUUAUUAUAAAAUUAUUAAAUAAUAAAAUAAUCUUUUUAUUCAUAAUAAGACAAAUUUAGAGAAAAAUUAGAUGGUAUUCGUUAGGAAACUUUAGAGAAAAAUGAAUAUGGAACUGUCCCACCACUUGGGAUUCUUUCACAUAAUCUUUCAGUGGAUCUCAUUAAAUUUUAUUUUGAAAAAGGGUAAUUUUUAAAAACUCUCCUGAAGUUUGAGCUUGUUGUAAGUAGAUGGCGAGAAUUUGUUUAUUUGUAAAAAACCCCAUACCAUCAGUUAACUUUAACAUUGACCGUUAGUUGACUGUGCAAAGAUAAUAUUACCCUUAACAACAGUUUGUAGAUGGAAAUAACAAAAAAAAAAAUUAAAAUUGUUGGCUAUUUUACCCUCUUUAAAUUAUUGAUAUUUUCUUAAAGUUCCUACAAGAAAGAUAAAAUUAAAAAUUUGAAAAAUUCUCUUUAAAUUAUUGAUAUUUUCUUAAAGUUCCUACAAAAAAGAUAACAUUAAAAACUUGAAAAUGAAAUAAUUAUAAUUUUUACCUAUGAUAUUGUAAAUCUUUGGAAUUGACAAGGAUAAAAUUGUCAAAAAAUAGGAUUUGUUCUUUUCGCACCAAUAAUUUUAAUUUUUUUUAGUUAUUUUCGUUUACAAACUAUUAUUAAGGGUAAUAUUGUCUUUACAUAGUCAACUAACGGUCAAUGUUAAAGUUAACUGACGGUAGGGGGUUUUUUACAAAUAAACAGAUUUUCACCAUCUACUUGCAACAAGCCCAAACCUCAAUUGAUGGUAUAGCCUGGUAGGGUAAUACUCUAGGUGGUCCCUUUAGCGUUUUUAGUUGUCGUACACUUCACUUGAAAUAAUAGUCAAUAAAGCUGCAUCUUCACUGGAAUUAUUGUCUACAGUUCUUCCUGAAAAAUGAGAUAAAAAAUAAUUUUAUGAUAAAUUAUUUAAAUAUACUCAUAAGAAAUUAUUUUUUAUAAAAAAUGAGUGCUUAAAAUAACUGUUUAGAGUGCAAAUAAUAUCGUCUAAUUAAUUGAUAAUACUCCCAGCACAAAUACAAUUUCUUAAUAGGACACGUGUCAGUAGAAUUGAGCACAGAAGCGUGAUUGGAAAAGUCUAUGGUGGAUUGUUGGGAAACUUAUACCAUCUCCACCUUUUUAUAAGAAAUUAUUUUUAAUAAUAAUAAUAAUUUAUAUCAUGAGUAUUUUUAUGAUAAAUUUUUUAUAAAAAAUGAGUGCUUAAAAUAACUGUUUAGAGUGCAAAUAAUAUCGUCUAAUUAAUUGAUAAUACUCCCAGCACAAAUACAAUUUCUUAAUAGGACACGUGUCAGUAGAAUUGAGCACAGAAGCGUGAUUGGAAAAGUCUAUGGUGGAUUGUUGGGAAACUUAUACCCUCUCCACCUUUUUAUAAGAAAUUAUUUUUAAUAAUAAUAAUAAUUUAUAUCAUGAGUAUUUUUAUGAUAAAUUUUUUAUAAAAAAUGAGUGCUUAAAAUAACUGUUUAGAGUGCAAAUAAUAUCGUCUAAUUAAUUGAUAAUACUCCCAGCACAAAUACAAUUUCUUAAUAGGACACGUGUCAGUAGAAUUGAGCACAGAAGCGUGAUUGGAAAAGUCUAUGGUGGAUUGUUGGGAAACUUAUACCCUCUCCACCUUUUUAUAAGAAAUUAUUUUUAAUAAUAAUAAUAAUUUAUAUCAUGAGUAUUUUUAUGAUAAAUUUUUUAUAAAAAAUGAGUGCUUAAAAUAACUGUUUAGAGUGCAAAUAAUAUCGUCUAAUUAAUUGAUAAUACUCCCAGCACAAAUACAAUUUCUUAAUAGGACACAUGUCAGUAGAAUUGAGCACAGAAGCGUGAUUGGAAAAGUCUAUGGUGGAUUGUUGGGAAACUUAUACCCUCUCCACCUUUUUAUAAGAAAUUAUUUUUAAUAAUAAUAAUAAUUUAUAUCAUGAGUAUUUUUAUGAUAAAUUUUUUAUAAAAAAUGAGUGCUUAAAAUAACUGUUUAGAGUGCAAAUAAUAUCGUCUAAUUAAUUGAUAAUACUCCCAGCACAAAUACAAUUUCUUAAUAGGACACGUGUCAGUAGAAUUGAGCACAGAAGCGUGAUUGGAAAAGUCUAUGGUGGAUUGUUGGGAAACUUAUACCAUCUCCACCUUUUUAUAAGAAAUUAUUUUUAAUAAUAAUAAUAAUUUAUAUCAUGAGUAUUUUUAUGAUAAAUUUUUUAUAAAAAAUGAGUGCUUAAAAUAACUGUUUAGAGUGCAAAUAAUAUCGUCUAAUUAAUUGAUAAUACUCCCAGCACAAAUACAAUUUCUUAAUAGGACACGUGUCAGUAGAAUUGAGCACAGAAGCGUGAUUGGAAAAGUCUAUGGUGGAUUGUUGGGAAACUUAUACCCUCUCCACCUUUUUAUAAGAAAUUAUUUUUAAUAAUAAUAAUAAUUUAUAUCAUGAGUAUUUUUAUGAUAAAUUUUUUAUAAAAAAUGAGUGCUUAAAAUAACUGUUUAGAGUGCAAAUAAUAUCGUCUAAUUAAUUGAUAAUCCUCCCUGCACAAAUACAAUUUCUUAAUAGGGCAGAAUUGAACAUAGAAGCAUGAUUGGAAAAGUCUAUGGUGGAUUGUUGGGAAAUUUACACCCUCUCUACCUUUUUGGCUGCAUUCACUGUUUUCGUAUUUCUUCACUGGAUAUGAAAGUCAGGAAGAAAGCUGCACCUUCAGUGAAAUUAAUUUGUCCACAGUGCCUCGAAAAUGAGAUGAAAUUAAUAAUUAUUCCCGAAACUUUUUUGUAGGGGGGGUAGGAGGGAUAUAUUUUAUUUCAUAUAUUUACUUCUCCGUUUAAGAUCCUUCCACUACAAUCAAUGAUGCAACUUUUUGAACCAUUUCUCAAAUGGAAGGAUUUCAAAUAUCCCUUUCUUUUUUUUUUUUGGGACAGUUCAAUUGCUGUCUUAUUAAUUAUUAUUAUUAUAUAUCUCUCCUUUGAUUGUCUCACGUCUUUAUGAAAUAUUUUUAGAAAAGUAAAUACUAAAUAGCUUUUGUUCACAAAUUAUUUUUGUUAGAGCUCAUAAUUUAACCAAAACAAAAAAAGAGGACAAAAGCAGGACACUAUUGCCAAUAGUUAUGGUCCGACAAAUUUGAGCAUCGAUCAAGAAAGCAAAGGGUAGCCGGUAGCGUAUGAAAUUGCGCGUUGAAAUUAGGGUGCUUUUGGGGAAUUCUUUGACCUUUUUAACAUUUUUCUUUCAACACUUGAAUAGCGCGGAAUAAUUUCAAUUAAAAGUGAACAAAGCUGCAUUUUAAGUGAAAGUAUUGUCCACAGUGCUAAGGAAAUCAAAUGAGAUGAAAUUAUCAAGAAACUCCCUGGAGGGUUCCAAGCAUCGUUUUACUCUUGACAGAUACUACAGUCACUAACAUUUGCUCGAGAAAACUACGCCGAAUUUUCCGGGAAAUUUUUUGCAUUUUCUCUUCAAACGUAAAGUUUGGGGGCAGAAAAGUUAAAAAGUUUAAAGGCGGGUACAAUUAUUCUUCUUCUUGUUAUUUACGCAUGGCAUCCCAUUUAGAUUAGUCGGACUUCAAUUAAUUUUAGGAGAUGAAACUACCACGAAAUUAACUCCAAGUGAGGGCCUAGUAAUGCAGCCAUGUAUUCCAUGCGUACUUUUUGUAUUGUAAGCCCCUUGUAUUCUGUUUUAUUUUAUUAAAACUCUUACAGUACCAAUUCGUCCUUAUAAUUUUAAAUUCCCAAAAUACCCUCCAUUUAAUUAAAAAAUAUAAUAAUUAUUAAAUAAAUUAUAAUUAUAAUAAUUAUUUUAUUAUAACUAUAACUAUAAUUAUAAUUUUAAAUAUAUCAUUAUUAUUAUUAUUAGUAACAAGAAUAAAAAAUAUUAUAAUUAAUUAAUCUAUUAAUAAUAAUUAAUAAUAAAUUUUUCGUUAAAUUGUUAAUAAUAAUAAUUAAUGAUAAUUAUUAUUAUUAAUGAUUCAUUUUUUAAUAAUAAUAAUAAAAAUAAUAACAAUAAUUAAAAUACAAAAUAAUAAUUAUGAUAAAAAUUAAUUAAGGAUUUUAUAGUAAUUUUUUACAAUUUAACUCAUUCUGAUUUUCAUUAUAAGACAAAUAAAACACAUAAAUGCUAAUACGGCUCAUUAUAAUUACGAUUCAUGCAGUUGAAGUAAAUAAAUUUUUCUAAUUUCAAUUCCUCAUUUUGAUUCUAGCUAUUUCGAUUAUAACUCAUUAUGUUUCCAACUAAUUUCAAUUUCUGUUUAGUGAACGCACUAUAAAAUUAUAAGCUACUCUAUAAAAUUCAUAAUACUUAUGAAUAAAUUGUAAAUAAUAUAGAGUGGUCUAAUUACAAUAAUAAAAUGUAAAUAAUAUAAAAUUCUAAUUGAAUGAUAUCAUUAUUCAAAAAUUAAUUAUUAAUAAUAAUGAUCUAUUAUUAUUAUUAUUAACAAUUUAACGAAAAAAUUCUUAUUAAUUAUUGUUAAUAGAUUAAUUAAUUAUAAUACUUUUUAUUCUUGUUAAUAAUAAUAGUAAUAAUCUAUUUAAAAAUCAUAAUUAUAUUUAUAGUUAUAACAAAAUAAUAAUAAUAAUUAUAAUUCAUUUAAUAAUUGUUCUAUUUUUUAAUUAAAUGGAGGGUAUUUUGGGAAUUUAAAAUUAUAAGGGGCGAAUUGGUACUCUAAGGGUUUCAAUGAAAUAAAACAGAGUGCAAGGGGCUUAAAGAAAGUUUACAAUACAGAAAGUUGUAUAAUACUUAUGAAUAAAGUGUAUAUAAUAUAAAGUAUAGGGGCUGAAUGAAAUUUGACAGGGCAGCUGUAACUUACCUCAGCUGUAAGUUAGCCAAAACAAUGGAGUUAACUAAAGUGCAUUUGAAGUCCAUUAGGGAUAUUCUUCUAAUCUUCUCUUCAUUAUUUUGUUUUUGCUCUUUUUUUUUUAAUCCCAUUUUUAGACGAUAUAGAUGUAUAUGUUUGAUUAGUCCUUGUCGAUUAUAUAUACAUAUGUACUUUUGGACUGUCAUGGGACUGUACCAUUUGGAAAUAUCACAUUUUAUUUCCCGAUGCGAUAAAUUUUCUUCUCCAUUGAACGUUCUCUGGAUGCUAUUAACCAAAAAAUGCAACAUUUUGUUCUGUUUAUAAAUUGGGAUUAUUUGCUUCUGACUGUCAUUGACUCAUUGACCAUUUAGCAAUAUAGCGUUAGGUAGUAGUACCAGCUCUUUUUCUUCUUUUGUCUUUCUCUUCUCUUAUGUUAAACCAUUAUUCUAGGCAUCUUCAUUGGGAUUAUUCCAUCUGUACUUUACCAAAGGGGAAAAAAAAUUGUCACGAAACAGCGUGGAAGGUUCAGAGAAAAAUUUGCUUGUGUUUUCUUUUUGUUAAAUUCAAUUGGUUGAAUUUAUUUUUUAUUUUUUUAAAAUAGAAAACUAUAUUACAAAACUUCCCGGUAGGUUCCAAGGAACUAUCUAAUAAAGCAUCUUUAUAUAACCUCCAUAGACUCAGUCGCAUUAAAUUAUUUUCACAUCCCAAAUUUUCUCAUCUGAUCAAUUUUCUCAUCCACUGAACUGUCAUGGCUUCUUCUUCUUUUUGUCCACCUCGAAACGCUAAGAAGAUGUAUGAUGUUUUUCUGAGUUUCAGAGGAGAGGACACCCGUGACAACUUUACUAGCAUUCUUUACUAUGUUUUGUCUCUGAAAAGUAUCAAAACUUUCAUUGAUGACCAACUUAUCAGAGGAGAGAACAUUUCUCAUUCUCUUCUUGAUACAAUUGAAGCAUCGAGCAUCUCAAUUAUCAUUUUCUCACAAAGGUAUGCUUCUUCUAGAUGGUGUCUCGAUGAACUUUUGAAGAUCCUCGAAUGCAAGCAUAAUUAUGGACAGAUUGUGAUUCCAGUUUUCUAUCACGUUGAUCCAUCACAUGUGAGAUCGCAAAGCCAGGAUUCUUCUUUUGGGAAGUAUUUUAGUGAGCUUGAAAAAUGUUAUCCAGAGAAGAUGCAAAGAUGGAAGAAUGCUUUGACCGAAGCAGCCAACCUCUCGUUUACAUAUAUUGAACUAUAUAAUUGCUGUUAUUUUUUUACCAGGUCUGAAUCUAAACUUAUUGAGGAAAUUGCCAAUGACGUUUUGAAGAGGCUAGAUGCGACUUUUCAAAGUAAAAACAAAGGCUUGGUUGGAGUUGAAUGCCCCAUUGAAGAAAUUGAAUCAUUAUUACGCGUUGGGUCUGAGGGUGUUUGCAAACUAGGGAUUUGGGGCAUCGGUGGUAUAGGCAAGACAACAAUCGCUGGUGCUGUUUUUAACAAAAUCUCUAGACAUUUUGAAGGUUCUUACUUUGCGCUUAAUGUUAGAGAUGCAGAAGAAACUGGCGGAAUAAAGGACUUACAAAAGGAACUUCUGUCCAAGUUAUUGAAUGAUGGAAAUGUGAGGAACAUCGAGUUUGAACUCUACAGACUUGCUCGCAAGAAGGUUCUAAUUGUUUUUGAUGAUGUGACUCAUCCAGGACAAAUAGAAUCAUUAAUUGGAUGCCUUGAUCAGUUAGCUUCAGGGAGUCGAGUGAUGAUAACAACAAGGGAUAAACAAGUUCUUGAAAAUUGUUGGGUCAAUCAAAUAUAUCCGAUGAAGGAAUUAGUAGAUGCUGAUGCUCAUAAGCUUUUCUAUCAGUGUGCUUUUAGAGGAGGCUAUCUCGACGCAAGUUACACAGAGGUCACAGCCAAGGCAAUAAAAUAUGCGCACGGAGUUCCUUUAGCUCUUAAAGUUUUGGGUCGCCAUCUAUGCGGAAGGAGCAAAGAGGUAUGGGAAAGUGCAAUGAGAAAACUGGAAAUAGUUCCUCACAUGGAUAUCCAAAAGGUGUUAAAAAUCAGUUAUGAUAGCUUGGAUGACUCUCAGAAGAAUGUUUUUCUAGAUAUUGCAUGUUUCUUCGAAGGAGAGCAUAGAGAUGUGGUGAUAAGCUUUUUUGAUGCCAGUGGCUUCCAAGCUCAAAUAGAGUUAAGUGUUCUUGAAGAUAAGUCCCUCAUAACUUUAGACAACUUUCACCGGAUAAGAAUGCAUGACUUGCUACGAGAUAUGGGAAGAGAAAUUGUUCGAAAUGAAUCUUUCGAUCAUCCAGGAAAGCGCAGUAGGUUGUGCAAUCAUAAUGAUAUUUAUGAAGUUUUGAAGAAAAAUACGGUAAGCAAUAAUAACUUUUCAAUUGUAUCUUGUUUAUGUUACAUUUAUAUUAGUAGUUUGUCUGAAUUUUUCUUUUUGAAUAAGAAUAGCAUUAAUACAGCUUAAAAUUAAUUGAAAAAUAAUAUUAAAAAAUUGGUAAAAUAAAAUAGAUAGAUCCGAUGUUUCCCCAUCUCAGUUUGAAACAUGCCUCUAAAAUCCCCAGCAAACUAGCGCCUUCGGAGAGAGACACCCCCCCUCCAAAAAAAAAAAACACUUCAAUCUUAUUGCAUUUCCUUUUCAACUCUGCCCCUUUCCUUAUUUGUCACUAAAAAAAAUUGAUUGAAUUAAUUUUACAGUUUACAUAUUAAGCAUUUUCUUGAAUUUUCUAUUUUACACGUCCUAAAAGCCUUACCCAAAUAGUUUAUUAUAAAGUGAUUGUAAUAUCUCUAUUUGGGUUUGACGGCUUAAAAAUAAUUGUUCAUUUGUUUGCUUCAAUUAUAUACCAACUUAUGAUCUCUUAUUUGAUUGUUAGGGAACUGAAGCAAUCAAGGGCAUCUCUUUAGAUAUGGAUAAAGUCAAUAGUGAGAUACAAAUAAAUACUUGUACUUUCUCAAAGAUGACUAGAUUGAGAGUCUUAAAAUUCUAUGGAUAUGAGAACAAAUGUACGGUGUCUUCUUUAGUGGGUGUGCCAUUUACUGAGGUGAGGUAUUUCGAGUGGCAUCAAUUUCCAUUGAAAACGUUGAAUAUAUUACAUUGGAAGAAUCUUGUUUCACUUAUCAUGCCAGGCAGCAAAGUUAAACAACUUUGGGAUGACGUUCAGGUAUAUAUUUAUUUGAAAUUCUUUUAGUAAUAAAUUCUAAAUACAAUUGAUGCUAUAAUAAAUAUAUGUGAUGGCAUCUCUUUAUUUAUAGAGAUAACAACAACAACAACAAUAAUAAUAAUAAUAAUAAUAAUUUAUUUUGGGGCGCAGGAUCUUGUUAACUUAAAAGAAAUAGACAUCAGUGGAUCCGAGUCAUUAACGAAACUCCCGGACUUGUCACGGGCCAAAAAUCUUGAGAUUCUGGAGUUAGAAGGCUGUUUAAGUUUGAUGGAGACUCACCCAUCUAUUCAAUAUCUAAAUAAACUUGAAUUUCUUGGUCUAGGUAAUUGCAAAAGCCUGACGAGUCUUCCAACUAGCAUUCAUUCGAAAUAUAUCAAGGAAAUUAGUCUUUGGGGUUGCUCAAAUUUGAAGAACUUCCCAGAGAUCACAUCUUGUCAAACUUCUUUUUUAGAUUUAGGAGAAGUUGGAAUCAAAGAACUGCCCUCAUCCAUUGAGUGCCAGUCCAAUCUGAAACGACUACUUAUUACGGAUUGUUCAGAGCUUGAGAGCAUCUCGAGUAGCAUAAUUAAGUUGAAGUCUCUUAAAUCUAUUGAAAUCUGUAAUUGUUCAAAUUUUAAGAGGUUUCUAGAGAUCCCAUCUUGUAAUGUAGAUGGAGGUGCUGGAAUUGAGCAACUACACUUAUGUGUGUUGGUAUUGAAAGAAUGUCCAAAUAUUGAGAGUCUCCCAAGCAGCCUGUGUAUUCUCAAAUCUCUGACGUCUCUUUGAAUCAUUGAUUGCCAAAACUUCAAGAGAUUGCCUGAUGAGCUUGGAAAUUUAGAAGCCUUGAAGAAGUUGAUCGUUAAUGGAACUGCCAUAAGAGAAGUACCAGAAAGCCUCGGUCAGUUAGCCAUAUUACAGCGGUUGAAAUUGACUAACUGUUCAGAGCUUGAGAGCAUCUCGAGUAGCAUAUUUAAGUUGAAGUCUCUUCAAUUUAUUGAAAUCUCUAAUUGUUCAAAUUUUAAGAGGUUUCUAGAGAUCCCAUCUUGUAAUGUAGAUGGAGGUGCUGGAAUUGAGCAACUACACUCAUGUGUGUUGGUAUUGAAAGAAUGUCCAAAUAUUGAGAGUCUCCCAAGCAGCCUGUGUAUGCUCAAAUCUCUGACAUCUCUUGAAAUCAUUGAUUGCCAAAACUUAAAGAGAUUGCCUGGUGAGCUUGGAAAUUUCGAAGCCUUGAAGAUGUUGAUCGUUAAUGGAACUGCUAUAAGAGAAGUACCAGAAAGCCUUAGUUACUCCUAUUAGUAAAAUUGGACCUAUCUAGCAAUAAUUUGCAGUGAAUACCAGAAAGCCUUGGUCGGUUAUCCUCGCUAAAACGUUUGGUACUGUCUAAUAACAAUUUGGGUAGAUUACCAGAAAGCCUCAAUCAGUUAUCUUCACUAGAAUAUUUGCAACUAUCCGAAAACAGUUUGGAGGGAAUACCAGAAUACCUGAGGAGUCUUCCAAGUAAGUUGACAUCACUCAAUUUAUCUGUUGAGUUGAGAAAUUGUUUGAAAUUGGACCCGAAUGAGCUCAGUGAAAUCGUCAAAGAUCAGUGGAUGAAGCAGGUGUGUCUCUCAACUCACUCCUUUCAUUCUAUUUUCUUUUUCUUUUUACUUUAAAUCAAGUUAUCAUUAUUUUUCAAAAAUUAAUAAUUUUUUAUUUUUGUGUUGCAGUCGUUUGAUGGUAACAUUGGGAUUACUAAAAGUAUGUAUUUCCCUGGGAAUGAAAUUCCAAAGUGGUUUAGGUAUCAAAGUAUGGGAUCUUCUGUAACCUUGAAAACGCCACCAGCAGAUUUCUUCAAUAAUAAAAUAUCAGUAGGCUUUGCUUUUUGUGCUGUUGUGGCAUUUCCUGCCUCAGAGUGGUUUGAGGAUCAAAGAGUGAAGUCUGCAGUGUGCUGUGGUUGGAAACGCAAAUCCAAAUACUAUCCCUACCGUCAGUCUUUGGGGACAAUUAGUUAUGUUGAGUCAGAUCACGUGUUUUUGGGAUCUUAUUUAUUCUGUAGUGAGGAUUUAAGUAAGAGAGAUGACGAGGUCUAUAUUGAUGAGGUCUCUUUCGACAUUUCGCCUAGUUUUGGUUGUAAAGUGAAACAAUGUGGGAUUCAUUUUGUGCACGCUCAAGAUUCUACGGAAUCAAGAGAAGAGGAAGAGGAACCACACACCAAAAGACUGAAAUGUUCUUGAACUCCAAAGCAGCUGGUACUCUUUGGCACGAAAAUCAAUCUGUAGACCUUGUUUUUGUCUUCAUUUUAUAUAUGCGUUUUUCAAAUACGUUCGUUUAUGUAAAAUUUAUUAAUUGUUUGUUGUUGGAUGGAUGAAUCAAUAAAUUCAAAAUAAAUGGUAAUUAACCGAGGAUGUAGAUCUAUGAGUUCUCUCUUUGUUUUAUCUUUAAUUUGUGUUCGGUUCAUGUCUGGAAUAUCCCAAAAAUUACAUAUCCAAUUACUAACUAAAAAUGCGCUGAUUAGAUUAAAGAUUAUUUUAGUUAUUCUUACUUUUUCAGUUUUCAAACUUUAUAAGAAUAAAAUCGUUUUAUUAAGUUUUGAGAUUUGAAUUUAAACCAAAAUACAAAUUUACUCUUGAGGAUUAAAUUUACCAUAUUUUAAAUUAAUGACAAGAUGUAUGAUGUGAAAAUUACUAUUCCUAUGAGUAGUGAUCUCAGCAAGACAGUAAAGUACAUAUUUACUGAGUCAUCAUAUAGUACCGCGCUGUAUGUAAUACAGCAGCUUCAACAGUGAAAAAAAAAUUUGAACAACCGGUAUUUUACCGGUUGUUCAUCUAAAAUUUGUAAAAAAAUUAUUUCUAAUGUGAAAAAAAUGAGGAAAUUUAUAAACAAUUAAUAUUAAAAAGAUUUGAGUGAGAAAAAUAUUUUUAAUUUAAAAGAAAGUUAAAAAAAGAGUAAAAUAAUCAUGUUCCAAUUUUUUUGGUUAAAUAUCAAUAUAUUAGGUGGACGUUUCAAAUUAAUUUUACAUGUCCCUAAUUUUCGUUAAACUUUCUCACUAAUUGGUUUAUUUGUUUCCACUUCUCAAUCCACUAGUUUUAUGUAUAGUAUUCCUACUAAAUUCGUUAAAUGCAAAUUUUUUAGGUUAGAUUCCAAGUAAAUUAAUUUCUCGUUGAAUUAGUUCCUAAAUUUGGUUACACUUUCUCCCUUUUUGGUUUAUAUGUUUCAACUAUUAUUUCACAAAUUUUACUUUCAAUAUUCCAAUUUGCUUGGUAAGAUUUCAUUUAUUUGGGUUAAAUACCGAAAUGAUUUUUUUUUGUUAAACAAGUUCCCAAUUUUGGUUAAACUUUUUCAUAUUUAGUUUCACAUGUUUCAAAUUAUUAGUCCACUAGUUUUGUGUUAGGUAUUCCUACUAAGUUCGUUCAAUACUAAUAUUUUGGGUUAGAUUCCAAGUAAUUUUCAUUUCCCGUUGGAUGAGUUACUAAUUUUCGUUAGAUUUUCUCGCAUAUUGGUUCAAAUGUUUCAUCUAAUUAUUCCUCUAGUUUUGCAUUGAAUAUUCCUAUUAACUUGGACAGAUUCCAAUUAUUUGGGUUAAGUACCGAAUUUAUUUUUCGUAAUUUUAUUUUUGGUUAAAUAAGUCCCUAAUUUUGGUUAUAUUUUCUCCCUUGUGGGGUUAUAUUUUCACUAGUUUUGUGUUCAAUAUUCCAAUUAACUUGGUAAGAUUUCAUUUAUUUGGGUUAAAUACUGAAAUAAUUUUUUUUUGUUAAAUUAGUUCCCAAUUUUGGUUAAGCUUUUUCGUAUUUAGGUUCACAUGUUUCAAAUUAUUAGUCCACUAGUUUUGUGUUAGGUAUUUCCACUAAGUUCGUUUAAUACCAAUAUUUUGGGUUAGAUUCCAAGUAAUUUUCAUUUCCCGUUGGAUGAGUUCCUAAUUUUCAUUAGAUUUUCUCGUUUAUUGGUUCAAAUGUUUCAUCUAAUUAUUCCUCUAGUUUUGUGUUGAAUAUUCUCAUUAACUUGGACAGAUUCCAAUUAUUUGGGUUAAGUACUGAAUUUAUUUUUCGUAAUUUUAUUUUUGGUUAAGUAGGUUCCUAAUUUUAGUUAUACUUUCUUCCUUGUGGGUUUAUACGUUUCAAUUAUUAUUCCACUAGUUUUGUGUUCAAUAUUCCAAUUAAUUUGAUAAGAUUUCAUUUAUUUGGGUUAAAUACCGAAAUAAAUUUUUUUUGUAAAUUAGUUCCCAAUUUUGGUUAAGUUUUUUCAUAUUUAGGUUCAUAUGUUUCAAAUUAUUAGUCCACUAGUUUUGUGUUAGGUAUUCCUACUAAGUUCAUUCAAUACCAAUAUUUUGGGUUAGAUUCUAAGUAAUUUUCAUUUCCCGUUGGAUGAGUUCCUAAUUUUCGUUAGAUUUUCUCGCUUAUUGGUUCAAAUGUUUCAUCUAAUUAUUCCUCUAGUUUUGCGUUGAAUAUUCCCAUUAACUUGAACAGAUUCCAAUUAUUUGGGUUAAGUACCGAAUUUAUUUUUUGUAAUUUUAUUUUUGGUUAAAUAAGUCCCUAAUUUUGGUUAUAUUUUCUCCCUUGUGGAGUUAUAUGUUUCAAUUAUAAUUUCACUAGUUUUGUGUUCAAUAUUCCAAUUAACUUGGUAAGAUUUCAUUUAUUUGGGUUAAAUACCGAAAUAAUUUUUUUUGUUAAAUUAGUUCCCAAUUUUGGUUAAGCUUUUUCAUAUUUAGGUUCAUAUGUUUCAAAUUAUUAGUCCAUUAGUUUUAUGUUAGGUAUUCCUACAAAGUUCGUUAAAUACCAAUAUUUUGGAUUAGAUUCCAAUUAAUUUUCAUUUCCCGUUGGAUAAGUUCCUAAUUUUCGUUUGAUUUUCUCGCUUAUUGGUUCAAAUGUUUCAUCUAAUUAUUCCUCUAGUUUUGUGUUGAACAUUCCCAUUAACUUGGACAAAUUCCAAUUAUUUGGGUUAAGUACCGAAUUUAUUUUUCAUAAUUUUAUUUUUGGUUAAGUAGGUUCCUAAUUUGGGUUAUAUUUUCUCAUAUUUGGUUUUAUAUGUUUCAACUAUUAUUUCACUAGUUUUGCGUUCAAUAUUCCAAUUAAUUUGGUGAAAUUUCAGUUAUUUAUGUUAAAUAUCAAAAUUACUUGUAUUACCGGAAACAAUAAUUUUAAUAAGUUGAAUUAUGUUUGAACCCUUACUAUUUUGUAAAAUAUCAACUUACCAUAUAAUACUAAAAAAAUUUCAUUGUAACACUUAAUCUUUUCCAAUAUUUUGGGUCCUUAACCUAAUUCCCUUUUAUAUAUAUCAUGAGAUCUCUUGAACUUGAUUGUAUAUAUACUUGAGCUUUUAGUCUCUAUACAUAUUUAUUCUCAUUUUAUCAUUUUAGUUGAUUAUUUUUAGUUAUUGUUAAAAUAAAUUAAUGCUUUUAUUUUCAUCUCUCUUUACUUUUUAAAAUAAUUUUUUAAUUUUUCAAAACUUCGACAGCAAAUAAAAAAUAACAUGUAAGAGCGCAUGGAAUUGCUAUGCUUCUCCAAAAAAUUAUUUUUAAAAAUUAUGACGGCAUAAGUUAUAAAAAAUAUUUAAGCUAACAAAAAUUGAAACUUUCUUAAUCUAUUUGUGUUGAAUUUUUUUUUUUUUUUUUGGAAUCAAUUGACUUCAGGAGAUUUCUUGAACUUGAAAUUAUUUAUACUUAACCUUUGAUCUUUAUAAAUGUUAUGCCCAUUUUAUAAUUCAAUUAAUUAUAUUUAUUUAUCUUUAAACUAAAAUAAAUCAAGAAUUAAGAUUUUUUUAUUCAAAUUAAAUUUUUACCACUAUGUUUUCUUUUCAAAUUAUUUUUCUUAAUUUCUUAUUACUUCAACCAAAAAUUUAUGCUAUUAAUUAUAAAUAUUAAUAUAUUAUACUUGUAUUAUUAUCACUAUUAUUAUUUUUUUUACUAUUACUAAAAGCUUAAUAUUUUUACUAUCUUGCCCCAUGAGAUUUGUUAACAAUUUUUUUUUUAAUAAUGAGUAUCCUUCUUUUUUGUUUUUAAGUAUGGAUAUAAUUUUUAAUUUAUAUAAUAAGUUCUUAAAUUUUCAAGACUUAACUAAAAUAAUUUUUAAGAGUUUGUUAUGACUAAUAUGGUUAUGAAAAUUUAUUACUAUGGUAGCAACACUUUAUACCAUACCAUUUUAUAUUUAUUACUAUACCAAAAUUUGUUUAUUUAUUUUAUGAUUAUCCCAUGAACUGUGAAAAUUAACUUUUAUAUUAAAAUUGAAAAUUUUUAAAUUAGUAUUACAUUGAUCCAAUUCUACUAAGCCACAAUUUAUUUAUCUUUAACGAAUGCUUUAAACACAGUAAACGCAAUUCAAAUUCAAAAAUAUUUUGUAAAAUAAAAAAAUAAAAAUCAAUGCAAUCAAGAAAGAAGAAAAUAUAUUAAACAUUAAUUUUUCUUCCUAAAUUAAAUAUUGAAAAGAUAUUUUUCUCUAGUAGGUAAAUUCAACACCGUAAUUUAACAAUAAUGUCGACUUUUAUUUUUAAACUAUUUUUUUAUUACUCCGAAUUGCAAUACAUUUUUAUAGGUCAUAAAAAUUAAUAACCAAUAAUGAAAGUAUCUUUAUUUAUUCAAUAUCAAUAUUCAUUACUUCAGGAGAUAUGAUCAUAAAUUUGAUUAUCCCUAGUACAAACAAAAUAAGUUAAUCAUUUUUCACGACUUAAACAAAAAUUAUCUUAGUAGCUAAAAUUAUUUUUAAAAGCUUAAUAUUUGGAUGGAUAUUCCAACUAAUAUGGUGUUACAACAUAACACUGUGAUAUAAGAAACAACAUUCACUUAUAUGAUUUUGGUCUGCACUUAAUAAUGGAGUUUCACAUUAAUAAUUUCACUCAAAUUCGAAGAGUACAAUUGAACCUUUAGAUAUACUAAAAAGUAAAAAAAAUAAUACACAAAAAUCUCUCAUUUCAACUUUUCAAUGCUUGCUUGCUCUUUAAAGAUGGAGAAAUCAUAGAGUACCUGUAGAAUAAGAACUCAAUUUAUAGAUUAAAAGAAGUUAAAGAGAAUUGCUCAAUUGGAGGAUGAAUUAAACAAAAAUUAAGUUCAUUUACAACUGAAUUAGAUGGUAGCCAAUUCUUGUUCAUGACUCAACUAUAUAGCAUUAGUUCAUUCAAAAACUUAUAAUUUUUAACAUUAUUUUUUUUAAUUAAGUAUCAUUCUCGUUUAAAUAUCCCUAUAAUUUUUCAUUUACCAAAAUAAGUUAUUCAAUUUUUAGGACUUAACUAGAAAUACAAUUAUUUAGGACUCAACUAAAAGAGUUCUUCAAUUUUUAUCAUGACUAAUAUGGCAUUAAAAAAAUAUCUUGUUGCAAUGCCUGCCCAUAUUUUUAACUCUGGUUAGUGAGAGUAAAACAAUUUCAAAUAAUAAAAUUCUUAUUUUUACACCUAUGAAUAAAGAAAUAAAACCGCACCUGCUCAGCUGUAAAUUCCUCGGGCGCAUCUGAGUCAAAUGAAAAUUUAUAUUGUAAGCAUGCGAGUCAGUCGGGCGUCAGCGGCUUUAUUGUGAUGGGUGUGGCGGCAGCCAGCAGCUUCAAAUUUGCGAGAGAAGGAACCCAGAUGAAUGGGUUAGGCUGUGGCUAUGUUAAAAGUGUUAGGGUCUGUUCUGUUUUGUGGCUUUAGAAAAUUGGGAAUUUAGGGAUCGGGUUUGGGUUUGGGUGUUUGGCUUUGAACAAUUUAUGCUUUUUUCUUUCAAUUAUAAGGUAUAACCCGAUUAGCUUCAGUAAAUUCAAUCUCCAACCUUCUUCGUGCUUUGGUAGCGCAAGAGAUGAUGACUCUUUUAAACGGUCAACGACAGCCUUUGAUUGACCUCCACUUGAUUUAGCUCACAGGUCUAGGAUUUGCGUGCAGAGAAAGUGAGAUACGGAAACAGCUAGUGGCUGAUACAUAGGACCGUAAUGGGCGUAGGAAUGAAGACGGCGGCAACUGCUCGCUUGUUGGCUUGUGAGGGUUUGACGUGAGUGAGCGUCUUUGAUGGUUUAAGGAGAGCGGCUAGGGUUUCCAAAGAAAUGUCAUAAUGUGAGUAUUUAUAUUAUCAGUAGAAAUUGGAAAAAAAAAUAUGAAAGUUUUCAAAUUAAUAAAAAAGAUAAUAAAAGUUUGAUGAAUAAUAAAACUUCCAUAGAUAGAUUUGUUGUGACCAUUCAAAAUCUCAAAAUUCAUUUUUGUAAUUUGGUAAAUAAUAUUUUCAUUUUUACCUGCCAAGAUAAAACUUUUUUAUGUGAAAAUUUUACAUAAUACAUACAUACAUACAUACAUACAUACAUAUAUAUAUAUAUAUAUAUGUGUGUGUGUGUGUGUGUGUGUGUGUGUGUGUGUGUGUGUGUGUGUGUGUGUGUGUCUAUAUGUAUAUAUAUGUAUAUAUUUUGUUGAUAUAAAAUUAAUUAUUUACAACUAUAUUAAUAAUUUAAUAUAGAUGAGAUACACUACUAUGUAAAUAUAUUAAUAAUCAAAUUAUGGCUAUUAGUUAAUUUAGUUGUAAAUCAUUUGAGUUCAAAACAAAACAAUUGAGGUUUGAAUCUAUGGGCACAAAUUUAGUUGUUAUUAAGCUAUAUUGAAAAACAAUCAUAUUCAAAUUCAAUUCCUUUUACCACUAGAAUAAAAUUAUAUAUAUAUAAUUUAGUUAGAAGUAUAACGAAAACAUUUUUCACUGCACAUAAGAUAAUAUUAUAACAAGUUCAACAUGCAUAAAUAAAAAUAGAUUCAUAAGAUUAUAUUUCUCUCCAAUAGAAUAGAGAGUUUCAAAAGUAAAUUUAGUCAAACAUACUACUUAAUAUGAAAAUGGAUAUAUAAUUUUUAUAUUUUUAUAUGGUUUUAUAUAAUUUUAUUAUUUUUAGUUGUUAUAUAAAUUAACUUAAUUUUAGAAAAAUAUGGAUAUAAAUGUAAGAUUGAACAAAUUUUGUGAUAAUUGUGCAUCAUUCAAUAUAAAAAAUUACAAAUCAUGUAACUAUCUAGUGAGUGCAGUAUUACUCAAAUAAUUUGAUUUAAUUUAGAAAUAUAUUUGCCAUGCUUAAAUUAUUAUAUUGUAAGUACAAUAUAAUAUAACAUUAUUCAAUAUUAGUUGCAUUUAAAUUGUAAUUACCCAUGUCAUGUACCAAUAUGAAUUUGAUUAAUGUUUAACAAAAAAAUUAUUAUAGCAAAAAAGAUUAAAUAAAGUAAUUAAUUUACAUAAGUUUGUAUGAAUUAAUUUGCAUAAGAGAUUGUUUGUGAGUUUUAUUUAAAAAUAUCAAAUAUUAGAUGCUUUAUAUUUGUGGUAUAUAUAAAACAUAUUAAUGUUAGCCUCUAAUAAUAACAACAAUAUUUGAGGGGUAAUUACAUGUUUGGAAUCAUAAUAAUUCGAUAGUUGGAUGAACAUUACCAUCAUUUUAGUAGGUAGAGAUUUAAAUCCCUAUAUGUGUAUCAUGAGAUAGUAAGAUUGAUUUCUUCCAAAUAUUUAGAAAUAAAUUGAUUUCAUUAUGUGUUUAGAUAUUUAGAUUGUAAUGCAAUUAAAGAUGAUAAAAUUGUUUUGAUAGUUUCUUAAGAAAAAUAUCAUUACAUUUAUAACAUAAUAAUAAAAAUAGCUUAAUUAAUAUAUAAUUUAUUUUAAUUUAUUAUAUUUAAAUAUUAUUCUCAUUAGUACAUAAGUUACGUUUUUUAAAGCAAAAUAUCAUUUAAUUUAUAACAUAAUAUUAAAAAAUAAUAUAAUUAUAGUUUUAAAUAUAGUAGUUUAAUUAAUUUUAUUUAAUUAUAUUUUUUCAUUAGUACAUAGCUUAAAUAUAUUAACUAUAUUUUCCAUGAAUUAAAAGAAAAAAGAAGUAUUUUCAUUUUUUAAAGUUGAGGGGUUCUUUGAUAGUUUAAUAGUUUUGAAUUGCUUUUCUUAAUAUUUACCUAAAAUGAGGGAUCUGUGUGAUAGUUACCUUUUAAUUUUGACCUCUUUAACCAAUUAAAACGAUGGUACCGGUGGCCGGUUACCUGCUGAAUUAAAAAAAUAAAAAAAUGCGGCUGUACGAGAUACAGCGGCUGUAUUUUAAGCGGACCCAUACUACUUGUGAUAAAUUACAGGCUCUGUUUAACAUAUAAAAAUAACAAAUUUUAAAUAUUACAAACAAUAACAGAAUCAUAUGCUGUUAUUGUAAAUAAACCCCACCAUUCCGUUUCAAGUUUCCACAGUCAGUUCCAUUGAUCAUAUGCUGAAGCUACGGUGGAAUGAUAGAUCUUCUUUUAGUUUCCUGCACAUCGAAACUCUCUAAUUGGUGUGUUGUUUUUUCGUGAAAUUUCUAAUAUCUAUUAAUAAUUUCUUAAUGUAAAUGAGAAGUUAGUAGAUCAUGGGAUGAGAGCCGAAGACUUUUUGGCUGAUCUAACUCCUAUUACAAUCAAGUUGGUAACUGCAUUUGGUAAUUACAUCUUCAGUACUUGCAAUCUUUUAUCGCCUUUAGUAAGAAAUCAGAAAAAGGAUGUUUGGAAGCUGAGAAAAUUUAAGAACUGAAAGCUUUUAGCUCACACGAUUUUAUUCAUCUAAAACUUACUUAUGAAACUGUACACAGAGAUGCUUAUAUACACAACUGAUGCUCAGCUCAAUUAGUUAACUAAUUACAAAACUAAUUCUAGCUAGCUAUAACAACUUCAACUAAUUAUCACGUGAACAAGUGAUUACAUAACCACCAGGUGCCAGCUGGCAUGCCAUGUCAUCAACUCUUAACUGUAAGCUGGAGCUGCUGCUAUCCUCUGCUUUACAGUCUAUGCUACUGAUGUGUGCUUCCUUAACAUCCCCUCUCAAGCUCAAAGGUCUACUAACGACAUUGAGCUUGGAUCUAAAAAAGCUGAAUUUAGAAAAAGAUAAGGGCUUAGUCAGAACAUCAGCUACUUGUUCUUCAGUAGGAAUGUAUCUAACCUCCAAUUCUUUUCCAAGCACUUUGUCUCUAACAUAAUGAACAUCCAACUCUAUGUGCUUAGAUUUUGAGUGAAACACAGGGUUGCGAGCUAGCUCCCCUGCACUUUGGUUAUCACACCAAAGAACUGGAGUAGGUAGUUUAGCAAUGUUGAGUUCUGAAAAUAAAGACUGCAACCAAGAAAUUUCUGAGCAUGCUGCUGACAGGGCUCGAUAUUCACUUUCUGUGCUUGACUUUGCUACAAUUGCUUGCUUUUUGGAAGACCAUGAAAUCAGAUUGUUACCCAAGUAUAUACAAUAGGCUCCAAUUGAUUUUCUGUCGUCAAGAUCACAAGCCCAGUCAGCAUCUGUAUAGCCUGUUAUUCCAAUUUCCAGAGUUGCUUCCUUUCUAAGAUAGAGACCAUAGGUGAUGGUUGACUGGAGAUAUCGAAGAACUCUUUUGCAGGCUAACCAGUGCUGAACAGUAGGAGAACUGAGGUAUUGACUGAGCUUAUGAACUGAAUAAGCUAUAUCCGGCCUGGUGAGAAUUAGAUAUUGUAACCCUCCAACUAUGCUUCUGUAUUGUGUUGGAUUUUCGAACUCCUGACCCAAAGGACCCCUGACAUUUCUUUCUAGCUUCAAACCAGUACUAAGAGGAGUAUCAGACCCUUUGCAAUUCUCCAUAGAUGCUUUACUCAGCAAGUCUUUAAUAUACUUUGUUUGAGAUAGAUGCAUACCUUCAUCAAAGUAACUAACUUCAACACCUAGGAAGUAAGCAACUAAUCCCAGAUCUUUCAAGGCAAAUGUCUGACUGAGUUUAACAAUAAAAUCCUCUAGUAAAGCAGAAUCUGGUCCAGUGACUAGAAUAUCAUCCACAUAGAUCAAUACUAUGAUUAAGCCCCUUGUAUCAUGUUUAAUGAAUAGAGAUGUAUCAGCCUUUGAAUUAAGAAAUUGCCAAGUAGUUAGACAACCCUUCAAUUUUUCAUACCAGGCUCGUGGAGCUUGUUUUAGACCAUAGAGAGCUUUAUUGAGUUUGCAGAUGUACCCUUCCUUAGUUACAAAGCCUUCUGGUUGUGUCAUAUAUACGUUCUCAGAAAGAUCUCCAUUAAGGAAUGCAUUAUUUACAUCAAUUUGUCUGACUUUCCACCCUUUUAUAACUGCCAAGCUGAGUAUGACUCUAACUGUUGAAGACUUCACCACUGGACUGAAAGUUUCUGAAUAAUCUACCCCUGCUGUUUGGUGAAAUCCCUUUGCAACCAAUCUAGCUUUAUACUUGCUGACAGUUCCAUCUGUGUUAUACUUUGUUCUGAAUACCCACUUACAACCAACUAGCUUGUAUGUAGAAGACAUUGGCACAAGAGUCCAAGUGUUGUUGUGAAUAAGAGCAUCAUACUCAGUUUGCAUUGCAUCUUUCCAUUUAGGAUCUGAUAAUGCCUCAGGGACAGUGGAUGGUUCUAAGCUGUUGUGAGUUGUUAGAAAGGUCUUUGGUUUGAAAAUACCAGCUCUAGCUCUGGUUAUCAUAUGAUGGGUGGAAGUAGAAGGUUUAGGCUGAGAUGUUUGUGUUGUGCAGGGUAUUUGUGGUGCUGGUGACUGGGGUGCAGGUGAAGGCAAAGAUGUAGAGGUCUGAUUUGUGGGUGACUGAGAUUGAGGUGAAUUUGAUGAUAAAGAAUGAUUGACAGGGAAUUGAUCUGCUGCAGUAGCUUCAAGACUGUUCAGAUUGCUAUUAGGAACUGACAGAGUAAACCUUUGAAAAAGAUUAUAUUGAAAAUCAGAGGAAGUGUGUUUAGAAGAGGAAGAAAAAUUUGGAUCUGAAAUGUAAGGGAAAGUGGUUUCAUCAAACAAUACAUGACUGGCAAUAUAAAUUUUGCCUGAUGAAUGUAGACACUUAUAGCCCUUAUGUGAAGGACUAUAUCCUAAGAAGACACACUUUGAAGUAUGGAAAUGGAAUUUAUGGUUAUUGUAUUCUCUGAGAAAAGGAAAACAAGAACAUCCAAAUGUUCUUAGAAAGUUAUAGUCUGGUUGAUGAUGAAAGAUUGAUUCAUAUGGAGUUUUCAUUGCUAGAAUAGGUGUUGGUAAUCUGUUAAUGAGAUAGGCUGCUGUAUGAAAAGAAUCCCACCAGAAUUUGAUAGGUAAUUUAGCUUGUGCAAGAAGAGUAAGACCUGAUUCAGUAAUGUGUCUGUGUUUCCUUUCUACCAAACCAUUUUGGUUAUGUGUAUAAGGACAAGAGUGUCUAAAUUCUAUCCCUUCUUCUUGAAGAUAUUUGCUAAAGGAUCUGAAUUCCCCUCCCCAGUCAGAUUGAAGACAUUUAAUGGGCUGUUCUAAUUGUUUUUCAACUUGAGCUUUGAAAAUUUUGAACACAUGAAGAGUUUCAUCUUUGGUUUUCAGGGGAAAUAUCCAAGUGAAUCUGGUAAAAUCAUCCACAAAGCUCACAUAAUAUUUAUAACCUUGUGUGGAAACCACUGGAGCUGGUCCCCAUAAAUCAGUAUGUAAAAUGGCUAAAGGUUGUUUUGUUUUUGUUUCAGUUGCUGGAAAGUGUAAUCUAUGCAUUUUCCCAAAUUUACAAGCAUCACAUGAAUCAAACUCUUUAUUUCCAUUGAUAGGUUUGAAAGAGGAACAAGAUUGUAUUACAUGGUUUAAGAUCUUAGAGUUAGGAUGACCUAGCCUCUGAUGUAAUACAGAAGUGCUUAAAAGACACUUAGAGUUCAUACAAGGUUCUGCUGCCACAUUUUGCAAGCAGUGAUUAUUUGACUGACUGAGAUUGACAGUUGAUAGCAUUGACAAAGGAACAAAUGACUGAAAAGAAGACUCAAUAUUGGCAACAUGACCUUGAAAGGAAGACUGAGCAGAAGUUUUAUUUGAGGACACUAAUAGCAAUCUGUACAAGCCUUUUUCAGCCUUGCCCUGCAGUAUGAUCAAAUUCUUCACCUUGUCCUUCACAAAACAAGAUUUGUCAGUAAACUCAACUGUGAUAUUGUUGUCUUUGGUUAGCUGAGAAAUGCUUAUAAGGUUCUUGGUUAUUUGUGGAACUAAAAGUAUAUUGUUUAGUUUAAUCACAGUGGAAUCAGUGCAGUUGUGCAAUCUCAGAACAGCUUUUCCAAUAUUUGUAAUAUUCAAGCCAGUACCAUUACCAAUAAUGAGUUUAGAUGUACCUGUAAAUGAUUCAGAAAUCUGCAUAUUGUUCAUGUCAUUUGUGAGAUGGUGAGUGGCACCACUGUCAAGGUACCAAUUUGUAUCAGAUGAUCCUUCCAUGUUUGCCAGAUAUGCAGAUUUCGGAUUCCUGUUUGGAGGUGGUCUAUAAGCUCCUGAAGCAAUAAAUUCUUCCAGCUUCCAGCAUACAUUAGCUGUGUGGCCUAUUUUGAGACAAACUUGACAUGUAGGCUUAGAAGGAUUCCACUGAGAUUUAGGAUUUCCAGGUGUUUUGCCAUUAUUGACAGCAUUAUUAUUAUUCCAGUUUCCUCCUCCUCCUCCUCCAUAGUUUCCUCUGUAACCAUUAUUUCCAGCACUUCCAACAGCAAAACCAGAUGAUCCAUAAUUUCCUCUGUAACCACUAUUUCCAGAAUUUCCAGCAUUAUUGUAGCCUGUAUUAUAUCCAAGACUACCAAAACCUUUUCCUCCUGAGAAGUUUCCUCUCUUAGGUCCUCUAUUUUGUGCAAAGUUAGCUUCUAAAUUGUGUUUAACAUCCAUAUUAGCAAGUGUUGUGCAAAUUUUAAUGAACUCGCAAGCGCACGAAUCUAUUGUAGUGUAGAUCAAUGGUGACGAGUGUCGAUCCCACGAGGAGGUGGAUUUUAAUUGUGUAUAGAAUUAAUUUUGCAAAAUGGGUGGUUGGAAUUGUGGUGGAAGUGAUUUAAAAUAUGCUAAAAUUGGAAUUGCAAUGGCGAGAAUAAAUUGUAGAGAAAAUCGAUUAAAUUGACGUACUUGGGUAUCUGGAUCCGUAUCAACAUGCAUCAUGGGCUAAAUAAUCCGUAUUAAUGCCAAUUAAAUCAUGAUGGGGGAAUCCACACAUCAUGAACCACGCUCUAAUCAAUAUGGUGCUAAGGGCUUAUCGUGCCAAAUAAUAAUAACCUUAUACUAGAGAGCCGGUGUAACCAAGGCGGUAUCUAGACAAGAUCAGUAUUAUUUGUCGACGAGAAGUCAAAACAUCCACAAAAACUAGAGGGGAAGAGAAAAUAAAUUUACCAAAUUAAGCCCAUGACACAUGUUGAGACUUCACCUUCAACCCAAGCUUGAAAGAAAAUUAGCCACUCAUAAUUGAACUAGGGGCAAAAUGGGAAUUUAUUAAAAUACAAAGAAAAUACAAGAUGGAGAGGGAAUUACAGAAAAUGGAUCCCAAAAAUGGAUUCAGAGAUAUCAAAUUAAGGGGGGAAGGCCCCCUUUUUAUAGAUACAUGGAGUAAAUCAUGGCCAUCGGAUUAAAAAUAGUUUGGACGCUCAGGAUUGCGCCACGUCAUCAGUCAACAGUCCACGGUUUGACCACGCGGAUGAACAGUAACACGGUUUGACCCGGAUGAACAGUAACGCGGUUUGGUUGAAAAUAAUCCUGUGUGAUGCAUGCACCGUACGCGAGAUUUUUCGUCCACUGAUAUGCUGCCACGUCACCAUCAACAGUACAUAAGAAUUUUAGUCCAACAGGAUCGUGACACCUCAUCAGUCAAUGCCACAUCAUCGGUCAAUGCCACGUCAUCGAUCCGUCUAUGUGAACAGUGCCGUGAACAGUAACAUAUACAGUACCGUAUACGUGAAUAGUACCGUACAUGUGAAUAGUGCCAUUUUUCCUUUUAUGCCCCUCCUAAGGUUUUCGACCGUCCUGAGUUCAAAAGUGAUGUCUGUUUUGCCAUCUGAUCUCUCCUUUAUUGUGAAAUGACUAUAAUGCCCCUAAAAUACAUAAAAUACUUAAUUAAAAUAAAACACAUGUAAUUAAAUCACAAGAAGGUUAAAUACAUAAAAGUAAGGGUUGUUAAUAAGACUUGAAACGUAAAAUGACAGUUUUCUCCUUUAUAAAUAUGCAUUUUCUAACACUCAACACACCCCCCAACCAGCUUAUUGCUAGUCCCUAGCAAAUAAAGCGAAAACAAAAUUCAAAUUCAAAAUGAUUUUUUUUUUUUUUUUUUUUUUUUGAAACACUCGUGUUUAUUCAAUCAGAUUAAUGAUAGCAAUCAAAUAAAAAUAUAAGCAUUAUCUCCAGUCUAAAGCAACAUCACACCCACAUCAACCAUCCACAUGAAUUAGCCCAGUAGACUUUGUUAUAGCUACUUUCAAGAAUGACAUGUCAAACCCCAAAAUCUCACUGGAAGUAGUGACACUCUCACAAAGAAAUUAAAACCCAAUAAACAUAGUCACUCCAAUGAAUGGUAAUUGAGAGAGAAAAUAAUAAAGAAAUGAUAUCACAUGCUCUCACCAAGAUGAAAUAAAUAUGCCCUCAGCUUAGAAAUAAUACGAUCUCAAGUCAAAUAAAAUGUUAGUCAACCCACUUUAUUUAUCUUUUUUUUUUUUUUUUUUAUUAUGCAUCACUACAUCUUUUUAGCCCAUAUAACUAGCUUCUACUUCAAACUAUAGUUCCCUAAAAUCAAGAAGGACUUUUAUUAGGACGUAACGUAGGCUAGGGAUAUGGCUAACAAAGAAAGGAAAUAAGGAAAACAAAGUGUAUGUUUGAGAAAAAUGCAGAAUUUUUUUUUUUUUUUUUUUGGAACUUGCAAGGUGGAUUUCACCUAUUAUUGUUAUUUUUAUUCUUUUGAAACAACAACUUUUGUUUUUGUUUUUUUUUUUUUUUUUUUUUGCUUUUAUUUGGCAUAACUUCACUGAACAACAUAAUUAUUUACAUUUUCUCAAACAUAAAUAGGUGAUGGAACUUAAAAGACAUUGGGUAAUACUCCAAAUCGGAGUGGGUCAAGAUGAUAAGUUGACAAAGAAAAGGUUUUUGUUCUUUUUUUUUUUUUUUAAAGGCUCAAAAGGGGUAACUAUGGAUAUUUAAUAAAAGGGAUGGCUAGAAAGGCUCAAACGGAUCAAAGAUGGCCUUUCCAUCGUCUUUUAGGGCUCUAAAUAAUCAUCCAUAUCUACUAGUUAGAUGGGCCUCCCAAUGUAGCAACACACAUUUUUUUUUUUUAAUUUUACCAUUUUUUUUUUUUAAGGGUUAACUCAAAAGAAAUCUAGAGAUCGUGUAUAAAAUAAUAAACUACUAAGCUGUAUAGAGAAUGGGCAAAAGGGUUACUCUCCAAGAAAAUAAUAGGCUCAACUACUCACUUGGCACUUAUUUAUGACAUGUUCAUUCCUUCAAGCAACUCAUAUUUGUCUCCGACAUCAACAUGUAAAGUAGCAAACAUAGCGUAACAUCACUUAAGACCAAAGAUAAUACAAAUACUAAAAUUUGAAAUUAAUCAUGUCAUCCAAUGUUAAAACAAAUAACACAAAUUUUUUUUUUUUUUUUUAAACAACAUUCUACCCCCCAACCUAUUCUAAACAUGAAAGGAAAAUAUGCAUGCGGAAAUGUGAAAAUGAUGUAGAAAAAUUAAUUAGAAAAAGAAUUUUUUUUUUUUUUUUUAAACUAAGAAGAUGCGUUUCUAGAGGCACUACACUCCAUAUUCAGCCAUCUUCGACUCAAAAAUUUGAAACUACAUAUUUAUAAAGGAGAAAGAGGAAGAAAACAGGUUUUUUUUUUUUUUUUUUUUUUUUUUUUUUAAAACGAUGAAGAUGCGUUUCUAGAGUAACUACACUCCAUAUUCAGCCAUCUUCAACAUAAAAUGUUAGCAACUGUUAGUUUCUACAACAAAAAAUCAGUAAAAACUUAACCAAGAUUCCACAAUUGUCGACUAUUCCCUCCCCCCAACCAGAACGAAACAUUGUCCUCAAUGUUUUAAAGGAAAGAAGUAGAGUUUAGAAGACAUCACCUGGGUGGUGCAACACAGAAGAAAAUAUUUACAGGCGGAGAGUUAAAUCUAAUUUGUACUUCUUACUGCGGCUACUGUUACCAUCAUUAUUUGGUCGCUCCAACACAAAGGUCCAGGGGUCUGGCUCCGGUUUAUAAGCUUGUAACAUAUCAAGUAGCUCAUUAGCAGUGUGAGCACAAAUAAAGAGUUUUUUCACAUUAGAAGGAAUGAAAUAGUUUUUUAUUGCAUGGUUAAGAAAUGCGAUAAAGCCAUCAUAAAAGUUAUUGACAUUUAACAAACCGAUGGGUUUCUGGUGGAUGUGCAGAUGGGCCCAAGAUGCUAGUGUCAUAAGUGCCUCUAGUGUUGCAAGAUCUCCUGGAAGGAAAAUAAAAGCAUCAGCAUGAUUAAGCAUUUUAGUUAUUCUUUCUUGCAUACUUGAGACGACUAACUCUUCUCCUGUUGAUGAGUCAGACGAACUGCCCAAUGGUUUUAGGACUCUUGGGAUGAUGCCUAACACUUGACUUCCUCUGAUAAAAGCUGCUUCUGAGACCAUUUUUGAUAACCCUCGGUUACCUCCUCCAUACACCAAAUGUAAUUUUCUCGCUGCUAUGCUUCGACCAAGAUCUAUGGCUGCCUCAACGAACUCUUUAUGUUUGCCAUAGGUAAAUCCAGAAAGCACACAAAUGUUCUUGAAUUGUCUAUUGGGAGUGGCUGCCAUUGUGAUACUUCUCAAAAAUAAUUUGUGAGUGCUUGACAAAAAGUAAAUCACAUUUAAGAAUCUUGGUGACAGUGGAUCACAGCUGUGAAUGAGGUAACAUGUCAGUGUCAAAUAACGCGUAAAGCACGUGGCUCGCGAGUCAAAAAGAAAACAGUAAAAAGGAAAAAGCAAACAGUAAUAAAAUUAUUAAAGGCAAUAAUGCAAACGAUAAAACAAUAGUGAAAUAAAAUAACAGAAAGUAAAAGGAUAUUUACACGUAGUUGCGACUGUGGCUCACAUCUUCCUCUGGUUUUACGUCCAGAAACGGCUUGAACGCCCUCUAUGGGUCGAGGAUGGGCUUCCCAUCCAGUUUUCUUAUAAACUGGCAAACAGGGUCGUUUAUAGUCAGAUUCCCGAGACUAUAUCGUGCAUGCUCUUUCUGGAAUAAUGGCCAUAACCGGAGAAUCGCUCCUUGCACAUAUCCACUGGGAUGCGUUUCAAGAGACAAAAGGAUAUCAUCCAAUGACUCCUUAUUCAAGCCAUCCCUAAUGAAUUGAAUCUUAUCUUCCCUGUUAUCAGACACCAUUCCUAAAGAACAUGGGUUUCUAUCGCAACUCAUUCUGGCACACUUAUGACAAGCAACAGAAAUUCUUCGAGCUCGUCGUUUUCUUGCAUAAUUUCCUUUACCACAACCAGGCAUGUAUGCAAUAAAUUUAGGAGGUAACUCACCUGCCAAUCGUACUUUAGCCUCGAUUAACCAACGGAUGUCUGCAGGUAUGUUAUUCUUCAUGAGCAAUCGCAUGCGUUCAGACCGGGCUUUAUAGAUCGUAAGGAGGGCAUUCUGAGGAAGUGAAGGGAAUCGCUUGUGAAGCUUCGCUAGAAUCUCGUUUCUGUCCAUACCUUCGCCUCAGAAUGUCAGUUAUUAUGGGAAACUGAAGUUAACCGACUUGAUUGUCACGGAGUACCGUUAUCCGCCACUUCACCGGGGUAACAAACUAAAGCACACAAACAGAAAAACAAAUUAAAACACACAAAGAAAAUUAAAAUCGUCCUCUUAUUGAAUUUACCUCAAGCUCCAACUGGAUGUCGUAAACACUUCUCUCAAUGUCUCUGAGUUGGCGUUCUAAACCCUCAACAUAGGCUACUAACUCUGGUGGUUGUAGAGCCCAAAUGCGUUGUGUUUUACAAAAUUGAAUCUGCUUUUUGAGAUGAGUUUUGACACGUUGAAGUGGUUUAAGAAUGUUCAGAAGGAACGGUCUAAGUAUGGUACUCAUGAUUAACAAUGAUAAGAAAAAAAGAAAACUUAAUGGUAAAACAAACACACUUAUGCAAAAAUAAUUUCAAUUAGCAAAAGACUAAUAAAAAGAAAGAAAGAAAAAUCAAAUCAACAAAAAGAAAAAAUCAAUUCAAAUCUGGUGGGUCACUCAAAUUUAUUUCGGUGUCUUCUCCAUGUGGUUGGUACUCUAGAUAUGGCUUUAAUCUUUGACCAUUAACUUUAAACGUGACACCGUUCUUUGGGUCUUUAAUUUCAAUUGCCCCAUGUGGAAAAACAGUAUGAACAAUAAAGGGACCAGACCAUCGAGAGCGUAACUUACCUGGGAAUAGGUGCAAGCGAGAAUUGAAUAAAAGUACUUUCUGACCUGGAGUGAAAGAUUUUCUCAUAACGUGCUUGUCGUGGAAGACUUUCAUUCGUUGCUUGUAAAUCUUGGCAUUUUCGUAUGCAUCAUUGCGAAUUUCUUCAAGUUCUGCCAGCUGUAAUCUUCUUUCUGAGCUGGCUUGCUGCAUGUCAAAGUUGAAUUUCUUGAUGGCCCAAUAUGCACGAUGCUCGAGUUCCACAGGUAGGUGGCAAGCUUUUCCAUACACUAGCCUGUAGGGUGACAUCCCAAUCGGGGUCUUGAAAGCCGUUCUAUAUGCCCAUAAUGCAUCAUCAAGUCGUAAUGACCAAUCUUUCCUGUCUGGCCUCACCGUCUUUUCUAAUAUGUGCUUUAUUUCUCGAUUGGAGAUCUCAACUUGGCCACUGGUUUGCGGAUGAUACGGGGUCGCCACUUUGUGUGUGAUUGAAUACUUUGUCAAAAGAGUCUUGAAUGCUUUGUUACAAAAGUGGGCACCACCAUCACUGAUUAUCGCUCGAGGGAAUCCAAAGCGUGAAACAAUGUUGCUUUUCAAAAAUCCUAUCACCACUUUGUGAUCAUUGGUUCUGCAUGGAAUUGCUUCCACCCAUUUCGAUACGUAGUCAACAGCAACCAAGGUAAUACUUCCACAUUCAUUAAUUGUUCAUCUGGAAAUGACUCAUUUAAUAUUAAUGGCUCUGUAAUUGUGUCAAAAUGGAGACGAGAGAGGUGGUCCGCCACAACAUUUUCUGUGCCUUUCUUAUCCUUGAAUUCCAAGUCAAAUUCCUGCAAAAGUAACACCCAACGAAUUAGUCUAGCUUUUGCAUCUUUUUUUGUGAGAAGAUAUUUAAGAGCAGCAUGAUCUGUGAAUAUAAUUAUUUUACAACCAAUGAGAUAAGAUCGAAAUUUCUCUAAUGCAAACACUACUGCUAGCAUUUCUUUUUCAGUAGUUGAAUAGUUCAACUGUGCAUCAUUCAAUGUCAUACUAGCAUAGUAAAUAACAUGGGGAAUUCGAUCAACUCUUUGUCCUAAAACUGCUCCUACUGCAUAAUCAGAUGCAUCACACAUAAGCUCAAAUGGUAAGCUCCAGUUUGGGGCCUGAAUGAUGGGUGAUGAUGUCAACAAUUGCUUUAAUUUUUCAAAAGCCAUAAGACAUGAAUCAUUAAAGAUAAAAGGUACAUCCUUAGCAAGUAAAUUGCAUAAGGGUCUAGAAACUUUGCUAAAAUCUUUAAUGAAACGUCUAUAGAAACCAGCAUGCCCAAGGAAAGAUCUUACUUCUCUGACUGUUUUAGGUGGAGGAAGAUUAGAAAUGAGAUCCACCUUGGCUUUGUCAACCUCAAUACCUUUGCUCGAAAUGAUGUGACCGAGAACAAUACCUUGUUUUACCAUAAAAUGGCACUUCUCCCAAUUCAAGACUAAGUUCUUCUCGGUACAUCUCUGCAGAACUAGUGUUAGAUGAUGUAAACAUUGAUCAAACGAGUCACCAAAGACAGAAAAAUCAUCCAUAAAGACUUCAAGGAAUCGUUCAACCAUAUCAGAAAAAAUGCUCAACAUGCAUCGUUGAAAUGUAGCAGGUGCAUUACAUAAUCCAAAUGGCAUUCUCCUAUAUGCAAAUGUGCCAAAAGGGCAAGUGAAAGUAGUCUUCUCUUGAUCUUUUGGUGCUAUGGGAAUCUGAUUAUAUCCUGAGUAGCCAUCUAGAAAGCAAUAAAAUUCAUGGCCUGCUAAUCUAUCAAGCAUUUGAUCAAUAAAUGGUAAAGGAAAAUGGUCUUUACGUGUGACAGAAUUCAACUUUCUAUAAUCAAUGCAUACACGCCAUCCUGUAGUUACUCUAGUUGGUAUCAAUUCAUUAUCAGCAUUGGUAACUACUGUGACUCCUGACUUUUUGGGGACGACUUGUACAGGACUGACCCAUGAACUAUCAGAAAUUGGGUAAAUGAUACCUGCAUCUAAUAGCUUAAGGACUUCAGUUCUAACAACUUCUUUCAUGUUAGGAUUUAACCGACGUUGCAUCUCCCUAGUAGUUUUAGCAUUUUCAUCAAGGUGAAUGUAAUGCAUGCAGUCUACUGGGUUUAUACCUUUUAUGUCUGCUAUGGUCCAUCCUAAUGCCCCUUUGUGCUCUUUUAAAACAUCCAACAACUUACCUUUUUGUUCGUCAUUUAGGGAUGAUGAGAUGAUUACCGGCAGAGUACUUUCUUCUCCCAAAAAUGCAUAUUCCAGAGUGUUGGGUAAUGGUUUGAGCUCGAGUUUCGGUGGUGAUUCUGAUGAUGGGAUGAGUUUCUUCUCUGAUGGUGCUAGUUGUUCAACUCUUGACUUCCAUUUAUUAGUGUCCAUGGAUGGUGCUGAGUCAAGUAGGGCGUUGACCUCAUCGACCGAUCUGUCAAUAUCAAAAUCCAAACCAAAGUGAGUUAAACAUGUUUGUAAAGGAUCAUCACUAAUGUUUGAAAUAAAAGUAUUAUCGACUAUUGUUUCUAUUAAAUCCACAUCAACAAUUCCAUCAUCUGCACUGUGAGGUUGUUUGGCAAUGUUGAAAAUAUUUAGCUCCAUAGUCAUGUUGCCGAAGGACAAUUGCAUAUUUCCGGUCCUACAUUGAAUAUGAGCAUCUGCAGUUGCCAAGAAAGGUCGGCCUAGAAUAAUGGGGAUGUGCUUCUUUGAGUCCUGUAUUGGUUGAGUGUCAAUUACAAUGAAAUCAACAGGAAAAUAAAACUUGUCUACCUGAAUAAGCACGUCCUCCACAAUACCACGAGGUAUUUUCGUGGACCGAUCUGCAAGCUGUAACACCACUGGAGUUGGGUGUAAUUCUCCCAGUCCAAGUUUCACGAAAACAGAGUAAGGCAACAAAUUUACACUAGCUCCUAAAUCCAACAAAGCAUUCUCAAUUGUGUGGUUCCCUAUACUACAUGAGAUAGUGGGGGAGCCUGGGUCUUUGCAUUUUAAAUGAAUUUUGUGUUGGAGUAUAGAACUAACGUUUUCUGUUAAAAAUGCCUUCUUUUGAACAUGCAUAUUUCUCUUUUUAGUACAAAGGUCUUUAAGAAACUUGGCAUAAGAUGGAACUUGUUUAAUCGCAUCAAGUAAAGGGAUGUUAACACUUACCUGUUUGAAGAUUUCAAGAAUCUCACCUGUGGAUUUUCCCUUCUUUCCUUUCGCUAACCUAUGAGGAAAUGGAGCUUUCGGAACGUAUUCUCGUGGGUUGGUUUCUUCUUUCUCCUCCGGUGGUGAGUCUUCAACAUUCACAGGUACAAUUUGAUUUUCUUUUGUCACCGGCAUUUCCACUUUGUUGUCGACUUCUUUUCCUUUUCGCAAGGUCAUGACUGCUUUGACCUCUCCAUGCUGCUGUGGUGAACUGGUACUUGCUUCAUGCACUCCUUUAGGAUUAGGCACUGGUUGACUUGGAAACUUACCUUUCUCAACGGUUAUUGCCAAGGUCUGAACUGAAGAAGCGAGCUGUCCCACCAUCUUCUCGAGGCUUGAAACUGAUUGGGCUUGUGAAUUGAAGCCUGCUCUCAACUCAUUUCGUAGUCCAUCAAUAGUGCGGUUCUGUUGCUCAAUCGUAGAGUGAGUAACAUUCUUGAGAUUCUGGAAUGAAUCCUCCCACGGUCUGGGCUGAGUGUAGUUCUGGUUCUGAUUGUAUGGUCUGAAUGGGGGCUGAGAGGCUUGAGGAAUUGGUUGCAUUGGUGGAGCUGGAGUUGUUGGUCCAUUCUGUUGGAAUCCUUGAGACCAUGAAAAAUUGGGGUGGUCUCUCCAUCCAGGGUUAUAUGUGUUGGAGUAUGGGUUGUAAUUUGAUGGCUUUCUCAUUAUCCCUAUGGCAUUGGCUUCAUUUGAAUAUGAGUCAUGGUCAUGUGGUUCUGUUGAUUUAGCAGUCGAUAACGAUGCUAUUUGUCGAGCAAGACCUUCAACAAUCUCCUUGACUUCUUUAAUUCCCGAAGUUGACUCGCCAAUUUGAACCUCAUUUACUCCUUUAAUUCUUCUGGUAUUCCUGAGUGACCGACUCCGUUGUUGGGAAUUAUCCGCUUGUCGCUGGAAGAAUUCCCAAAUCUCUGAUGCACUUUUUGACAUUAGCUCCCCUCCACUUGUUGCCAUUAGCCAUUCUUGCACGUUCGACAAUAAUCCCUCCAAAAAGUAUUGGCAUUGGUGCCAUUUCUCGUACCCAUGAUGUGGACACUUCAAGAGUAGCCCAUUGAAUCGCUCCCAUGUUUCAAAAAACUGCUCGUCUUCUCUUUGAGUAAACUCUGAGAUUUCCCUGCGAAUAGCAUUGGUUUUAUGCACUGGGAAAUAUUUAUUUAGAAAUUUUGUUACCAUUUGUUCCCAUGAUGAAAUGCUAUUAGCAGGUAAUGUAUUAAGCCAUGAACGAGCUCUAUCCUUUAAAGAAAAUGGGAAUAAUCUGAGUUUAACAUCAUCGUCUGAAAAAUUUUCGUAUUUAAAAGUUUGACAAAUGGCAUGAAAAUCAUUCAAAUGAUUAUAUGGAUCCUCAUUUUCUAGGCCAUAAAAUGUGGGGAGACAAUUUAACACACUAGGUUUUAAUUCAAAACUCCUAGCAGCUACAUUUGGGUAUCUUAUGCAUGACGUGCUCAAAUUAGCUAAGGGACUAAAAUAGUCCUUAAAUGGCCUCUCCUGUGGUGCUUGUAAAUCCAUUUUAUUUUUAACGUGUUUGUGUGUGCGAAGUGUUUUUUCUAAUUCAAGGUCUAUAGGUUCAAGAUUUGGUAAUAAUGACCUACGACCAUGCAUGCAAAACAAAUAAAAUAAAAAUAAAGAUGCAAACAAAAUAAAAAUAAAGAUGGGAACAAAACAAAUAAAAAUAAAGAAGAGGGAGAAAUUACGAUACUAACCUUAUUGCGCUAUUACAACCUUUCUAUAAAAAUACACAAAAAUAAAUACGUGAAAUAAAUUAACUAAAAAUUAAAUUAAUAAAAUAAACAAAAAUUACAAAGAAAAAAAUAAAUUGAAAAUUAAAUUACAGAAUUUUAAAGAAGAGAGAGAGAAAAAAAUACUAACCUUUAAAUGCGGAUUUACUUUUUUUUUUUUUUUUAAUAAAAAAAAAAUACAAGAAAACAAAUAAAAGAAAUUAUUCACAAAAAUUAAUUCUAUGAAUUAAAAUUACUUACCUCCCCGGCAACGGCGCCAAAAACUUGUUGUGCAAAUUUUAAUGAACUCGCAAGCGCACGAAUCUAUUGUAGUGUAGAUCAAUGGUGACGAGUGUCGAUCCCACGAGGAGGUGGAUUUUAAUUGUGUAUAGAAUUAAUUUUGCAAAAUGGGUGGUUGGAAUUGUGGUGGAAGUGAUUUAAAAUAUGCUAAAAUUGGAAUUGCAAUGGCGAGAAUAAAUUGUAGAGAAAAUCGAUUAAAUUGACGUACUUGGGUAUCUGGAUCCGUAUCAACAUGCAUCAUGGGCUAAAUAAUCCGUAUUAAUGCCAAUUAAAUCAUGAUGGGGGAAUCCACACAUCAUGAACCACGCUCUAAUCAAUAUGGUGCUAAGGGCUUAUCGUGCCAAAUAAUAAUAACCUUAUACUAGAGAGCCGGUGUAACCAAGGCGGUAUCUAGACAAGAUCAGUAUUAUUUGUCGACGAGAAGUCAAAACAUCCACAAAAACUAGAGGGGAAGAGAAAAUAAAUUUACCAAAUUAAGCCCAUGACACAUGUUGAGACUUCACCUUCAACCCAAGCUUGAAAGAAAAUUAGCCACUCAUAAUUGAACUAGGGGCAAAAUGGGAAUUUAUUAAAAUACAAAGAAAAUACAAGAUGGAGAGGGAAUUACAGAAAAUGGAUCCCAAAAAUGGAUUCAGAGAUAUCAAAUUAAGGGGGGAAGGCCCCCUUUUUAUAGAUACAUGGAGUAAAUCAUGGCCAUCGGAUUAAAAAUAGUUUGGACGCUCAGGAUUGCGCCACGUCAUCAGUCAACAGUCCACGGUUUGACCACGCGGAUGAACAGUAACACGGUUUGACCCGGAUGAACAGUAACGCGGUUUGGUUGAAAAUAAUCCUGUGUGAUGCAUGCACCGUACGCGAGAUUUUUCGUCCACUGAUAUGCUGCCACGUCACCAUCAACAGUACAUAAGAAUUUUAGUCCAACAGGAUCGUGACACCUCAUCAGUCAAUGCCACAUCAUCGGUCAAUGCCACGUCAUCGAUCCGUCUAUGUGAACAGUGCCGUGAACAGUAACAUAUACAGUACCGUAUACGUGAAUAGUACCGUACAUGUGAAUAGUGCCAUUUUUCCUUUUAUGCCCCUCCUAAGGUUUUCGACCGUCCUGAGUUCAAAAGUGAUGUCCGUUUUGCCAUCUGAUCUCUCCUUUAUUGUGAAAUGACUAUAAUGCCCCUAAAAUACAUAAAAUACUUAAUUAAAAUAAAACACAUGUAAUUAAAUCACAAGAAGGUUAAAUACAUAAAAGUAAGGGUUGUUAAUAAGACUUGAAACGUAAAAUGACAGUUUUCUCCUUUAUAAAUAUGCAUUUUCUAACACUCAACAGCAAGCAUAUGAGUUUGUUGAUCAAUCCUAGCCUCUUGAGUUAACAGCAUAGCAUAAGCCUCAUUAACAUUCAUUUUUCCAGUUCCUACUUGUCCAGUGAUGUAAGUAGCAACAGAAUUAUAAUCAGGACCUAGACCAGAGAGUACAUGUAAAAUCAAAUCAUCAUUGCUUAAUGCACUUCCUGCUGCAGCCAUGUUAUCAGCAAUAGAUUUCAUUUUAAUGAAGUAUUCAGUCAUUUUAAGAUCAUCCUUUCUAGUGGAAUUCAUCAAAUAUCUCAAAUGUAAUAACCUAGACUUUGAUUGAGAUCCAAAUUGAGUUUCAACAGCUUUCCAUACCUCCAAUGAAGUCUCAAGAUUGAACACCAAACUGAUGAUACCUUCACUCAUGGAUGAAAGAAGCCAACCGAGAAGUAUUUGAUCUUGUGCUCUCCAGGUUGCAAAUUCUGGAUUCUCCACAGAUCUAAGCUCAUCAUCAUAUCUCUGAGCAAUAUGAGAAGGAGGUGGAGUGAUUGACUCAUCGAUAAAUUUCUCAAGUCUAUUUCCUCGAAUUGAAGCAAGCACUUGAGAUCUCCAGAUCAAAUAGUUUGAUUGAUCAAGUUUAACGGGAGUAUUGAAAGUGAAAUUGACUGUUGUUGAAUGUGCAGCGGUAUUAUGAACUUGAUUUAAGGAAGAGGCAAGAUUCACAGAUGCCAUUGUGGCUCUGAUACCAAGUAAGAAAUCAGAAAAAGGAUGUUUGGAAGCUGAGAAAAUUUAAGAACUGAAAGCUUUUAGCUCACACGAUUUUAUUCAUCUAAAACUUACUUAUGAAACUGUACACAGAGAUGCUUAUAUACACAACUGAUGCUCAGCUCAAUUAGUUAACUAAUUACAAAACUAAUUCUAGCUAGCUAUAACAACUUCAACUAAUUAUCACGUGAACAAGUGAUUACAUAACCACCAGGUGCCAGCUGGCAUGCCAUGUCAUCAACUCUUAACUGUAAGCUGGAGCUGCUGCUAUCCUCUGCUUUACAGUCUAUGCUACUGAUGUGUGCUUCCUUAACACCUUUCCAAGUUGAUUUUAGUUAUUUGUUCUUAAUAUGUCUAAGCGUAUGGACUUGAUGGAAGGUGGGGUUUAUUUACAGGUUCCGUCAUGAUAUUCUCCCGUGCCAUAUAAAUCAUCAUUGUUUUGCAAGUGCUCUACGGCAUUCUUUACUGGAUAGGCUAGCCAGGGUGCCUUAGAGGCAAGCGUCAAGACGGAAAUGAAAUAUAUCUAAAGCUACACACAAGCACAGGUUGGUCAUUUUAUCAUUUAUAAGUCUUCUAUCUCUUUUAACUUAGUCUAACAUCUUGUUGAACCCAAGCACGAUUCAUUUCACAUAGGCUUGACUGCUAUGUGGUCCAAACUUCAUUUGAAACAUUGGAAACUCCUUGGCAACGUUUUUUAUAUUGCAGAUUCUAUAGGUCAAUCCUGUUGCUGUGCAGUUAGGCACGAGUCAACAGCAAUGAUAGACUUGAAAGUAAUUUUUGCUGGGCAAGAGACUGAGGAAACAUUUUGUAUUUUGCUGGUCUGAUAGUGCUGUGCCAUAAAGCAAUUUACCAAGCAUAGCUUUACAAAUAGAUUGCAGAAUUAUUCAAGGUGUUCUGCAUUUUCCAUAAUUGGACCAACGAACUAUUCACGAGGCAGUAGUGAACGAGUGUUCUAUAUGGUGGUUUGCUUUAAAUACUGAACGAAAAAUGUGGUCCAUUGUGUUUUUUUUGUGUCGUUAUAGCUCUAAUCUUUUCUUAUGGCCCCUGUGUAGGUUAGUUAUAUGUUGAGCACAAUGAUGCUAUUUUAGUAGUCAUAAUUCCUGCAGCCAAGCACCCGAAACUGCUUCAUCUCAAGUUCUUACAUUUUGGAGCUGUAACCCAAGAUGUAUUAAAUAUAAUUUUCAUAAGCUUUAGUGAACCAGGGCAUUCUUUGCAGUUCUCUUCAAAUGACAAGACAUCUAUUGGGAUCUUACUUUUGUUGAUGAGAGGGUCUGAAACAGCUGGUGCAAUAAGUAAAAUUGAUUUUAUGUAGACUAGAAAGCUCUGCCCGCUGUGAAGGCUUUCCUGUUAAAUGAAGGUCCUCCAAAGCUGCACAGUCUGAAUCAGAGAGCUUCCUAGAAACUGCAUGGAGGGUAGAGUGCUGAGGGCACGAGAUAAGCUUUGCAAAUUUGCUGCAAAUUUGAGGAUAAGUUUCUGCAGCACAUUACAACUGCUGACUGCUGAGGUGAGUUUAAUUUGUUUUAGAUAUUUAUUAUUGUUCUUGCGAAUUUCCAAGUAGCAUAUUAAAAAGUUUGAUUUUUUAAUGACUUUGCUUAUAUUCUUUUCAUUCAUACAAUUUCAGAGUUGAAAAAGGAGAAAACCAAGACGUAAAUGAGAAUGUGAUAAUAUCCUCUCUUAAACUGAAGCCUUGAAGAAAAUUUCUUGAUUAGUAGCUGUCAUGAUGCGUGGUUCUGGUUGGAAAGCUGUUGCCAAUUUUGAGCGGUGUUUCUUUAACGAGAUCAAACAGCUCUCUUUGGACGGACAUUUUGAUUCGAUAAUGUCAAGAGGGAUUGUCUUGUGCCAAUUCCCUUCCUGAUCUUUUAAUCUUUUCAGGAUUUGCAAGUCAAGCAACCUUCUUGUAUUCAUUUUCUAUUCGAUUGUGUUAGAAGCUGAUGGCUAACAACUAUAUCUAUUAUACCCUGAGAUCUUUAAUAAUAGGUUUCCUCGAGCUUGCAAAAGACCUAUCACGGCUUUGUGUUGAUGAGGCAAUGGAACCAUCUGUAUCCGAAGCUCCUUACUUCUAAUUCUUAGAGACUUUUGCCCUUCUACCCUUUUCAUGAUGCUGGAUGUUCGAUUUUUUGUUUUGGUCAUAGUUUAGAUUCUUUACAUCAGAUAUAUUGAUGGGUCCUACAUGGAUAGUAUUGCUCUCUGUUUGGUGCAUGAUUUGAAUAUUCUUAUUCUACACUAAUAUAAUACCAAGGCAAUUCUUGUUUCUAUUUAUUGAUGAAGUUACUGGCUGACUUAUGAAACAGGUACGUAUAGUUCUGGUUAAGGUGGUUUGUGGUGCUGCAAACGCUACACCAAGCUUGGAAGAUAUCCUUUGUUCAAGAGAGAGGUGUGACUCUUAUUGUUAUGUCACAUAAUAUUGUUGUACGUACAUGCAUGAUUUGACCUGUAUGUGGUUCAAAUUUCCUUUUCUCCUUGUCACAAUAGUAUUGUUUGGAAAUGAGGCAGAGCAAGCUUGCUAUCAUGAACAGUGUCAUUUUCCUUUUGUUUAACAUUUUGGGAUCAAUGGUUGGAUCAAAACUGCUAAAUGGUUGCGAAGAUCUUUUCCCAAAUUCCUCUGAAAUCUGUUUGCUUUUACUAGAAUGGAAAUACAGUGCCAAGAAGAGGAGGUAAAGACUUGAUCUUCGAAGAAAGCAAAUGAGGCAGAGCAAGCUAGCGAUUCUGAACAGGGUAUACAUGCAGGACACGAUGGCUUGUACACUUGCUAGCAUUGAAGGAGAACUAUGAUGGAUGUGUGUCAAGAAGUAGGUAGUUAUAUCAUAGAGAAGAUUUCGACAGUUUGGCUGCUUUGCCAAUUAAAUUUUCACUUACAAGUUCUAAGACUUAUGUGACUGCUUGCAAUUGUUUUUUUUCCAAGUUGAAAAAGCAAAGGAAGAAAUGUUGAAUCAGUUAAAUAGCUGUGUCAGGUUGAUGCUCUCUGCAUCAAUUCUUGAAAGGGGAGGGAUGUAUUUUAUUUCAUAUACUUACUUCUUUAUCUAUUCUGUGCAUUGAUAAUAUUCCUGAAAUUUUCUUAUGAUAAUUUGCAUAGUGCACAAAGCAAAGCAGGGAUUAAAGAGCUUCUUCAGGAGGAGGGAUUGCUUUCAGAGACGGUCUGAACUCCUUUCUAAACUAACACGUACGCCAAUUUAGCACCCCAUGAUCUUUGCUGAUAAUUCAUAUUUUCACUGCAUAUUUUUAUUGGGUGAAAAGGUGCUUAACAACUCCAUGAUCCCACCAGCGCUUUGCUUAAACUUCACUUGAUUAUAAUCACUAGAAGAGGGUACGGGUUUGUGAUUGUGUACUUAGGACUAUGUAUAGUUUUCUGAAUGUUGUGAUUUUACGGUGUGUCCCUAUGUCAGAACAAUGGAUUUAAAGUGUAUUUGAAUUCCAUUUAUCAUAUUCUUCUAUUCAUCAUUUUGUUUUUGCUUUUUCGUUUUCAUUUUUCAAUCAUUGAUUGCCCAAAACUUGAGAGAUUGCCUGAUGAAAUAGGAAAUUUAAGAGCCUUGUCCUAUUUAAGAGUUGAAGGAGCUGUUAUAAGAGAAGUACCAGUAAGCCUUGGUCAAUUAACCUCGCUAGCAAAGUUUGAUUCUAAAUGACAAUCGCAACUUGGAGAGAAUACCGGAAAGCAUCAGACAUCUUUCUAAUUUGGAAUUUCUCGAAUUAAGCUGUUGCACGUCACUGGAAGCAUUAUCUGCAGGUUUACCAUCAAUUUCAUUCGAGUUAUCUGGAGGUUUAAUACUUAUGAUAAAUUUAGAUAGUAUUUCAGCAAAUUACAAGAUCUGUUUAACCUACCAAAUUUUAAAAAUUACAAAGAAUAACAAAACAGAACAGAGGUGUUCUACAUCAUUUUUAUUUCUAUUUUGGUGCCAUGUCUAGAGACUUUUUCUAGCAGCGAAUUUUAAACAAGUCAAGGUUGAGCGUUUGUUAAUGUUUCUAGAUCUCGAUCUGCUUUAAAAACUGAUGUGGCAUACAUAUUUUUUUUAUUUUUUAUUUGGUAAAGAAAUAGCUUCGUCAGUCAGUGUCAAUCGCUUGAAAAGUCUGAAUCUUUGAGAGCUCCUUAGAAACCUCACGACACUGUCAAGUUCGCACUGACUAGUGAUUCGCAGAACAAGUUUGGUAGAAUAGCUCUGCUAGAUGCUCUAGCUCCGCAGAUUCGCAAGUGUUUGAAAGUCCGGGUUCUAAAUCUGCUCCGCAGGUUACAAAUGAAAUCUCAAAUAUUUCAGGAUGAGUUAUUACAGCUGUUAAGGUUAAAGAGAAAAAGAUGGAUGAAAUUCUAAGCUUAAACCAAAGUACAAGAAUGAACAACAACCAAUCAAGAACUAGAGACUUAAAGAAUAGCACAAUACAACCAAUUUGAAGGAACAAUCAGUUCACUUUUAUUGAUAGAAUAACACAGAAAUUGACCAAGAAUAGAGUAGAAAAGCUUUACAAAGAAACAAAUUUUUCACAAAAUGGCUAAGUGAUUAUAGAGAACAAUGCGAAGAAACAGGGCCCAACGCUCAGCACAGAUUUUUGUAACAAACUCUUAUUAGAUUCUUAUUUUGUCGGUUAUGCACCUCAGUUUGGAUAAUGUAACAAAGGCCCCAAACUAUAUGCCUUUAUGACAUAGUCCAGCUGACUUUCAAUCUUUUGCAAAACAGCCCAGCAACAAUAGCUGGGUGAGUUGAUGGUCCGGAGCGCUGAGGGGACGAGAUCUCUGGCUUUGCAACUUUGCUGCAAAUUUGAGGAUAAGUUUCUAUAACACAAUACGACUGCCGAGGCGAGUUUAAUUUCUUUUUGUUAUUUCUUCUUGUGCUGGCAAAUUUUCAAGUAGCUUAUUAAAAAGUUUGAUUCUCUAAUGGUUUUGCUUACACUCUUUUCAUUUAUAUAACUGGAGAAAUGUGAAAGGCAAAACCUAAUACGUAAAUGAGAAUGUGAUAAUAUCCUCUCUAGAACUGAAGCCUUGUAGAAAGUUUCUUGAUUUCAAGAUAUAUAGUACUAGUUUUAAAUUUGUGAUACAGGGGAAUUUUCUGAGUAGGAUCUAACAGCUCCAUUCGCAUGCAACUGCAAUCAAAGAGCUGCCGUCAUCCAAUGAGAUCUUAUUAGUUAAAUUUGAGCUUAUUUACUGUUCAAGGAUUUAGAGGAUUUCGAGAAGCAUAUGAAAGUUGAAAUGUUUUUGAGAUAUUGCUCUUUCCGAUCGUUUAAAUCCGAAGAGGUUUCCAGAGAUCUCAUCUGGUAACACAAAAGGGUUUUAUUUUGAUGGAACUGCAAUCGAAGAACUGUCCUCAUCCUUAGUGUCUAUCCAGUUUAAAUUUAAUAUACAAGAUGACAUAUCUCGAGAAGCAUAUUUAAGCUUAAAUAUCUUGAAGAUCUUAAUCUCUCUAGUAGCAUAAAUCUAAAGUGGAUACCAGAUAUGUCAUCUUGUGUAUUAAAUUUUUAUAUUUAGAUGGAACAACAAUCAAAGAAUCGCAUGCCUUGAUGCACUGCAUGUCCCUCCAGACCAGUUACCUUGACUCUUUCAAAUUUUAAAAGGCUUAAGAGUCUCCCAAGCAGCCUAUACAUGUUGCAAUGUCUUUGAGAUCUUUAUUUCAAAUGGUUGUGAGCAAAUGGCUUCAUCAUUGCCAAUUUCACGGACUUACCUAAAAGUCUUGACCGGUUACUAUCUCUAUGGCAUUUGUAUCUAGAUGAAAACCAUUACAAGAGAAUAUCAGAAAGCAUUGAUGAAUUGGUUUAUGUGCCCUACGCCAAAGUCCUUGCUCAUUACGGGAGUUAAUUGUGCUCAUUAAGAUAUUCCUGUUACUAAAAUCUCUAUUUAUUCAAAUCUUCUUUGCCUCUGGCCAUUUUUUUUCUAAAUUUUUAUAGGAUUCAGGAACAUAUAUGAAUCAUUGUCAGUUCUUCGGAUUAGCUUCCUGUAUGCGUUGUCGUCCAUUUCCAAAUAAUAUACGACAGCUAAUUCCAAAACCACAGACCACAUUGUCUGUCGCUCUGUUUUGAGAUCACAGAUUCAACUUUUCAGUGUUAAAAAAUUUUGGAAAUGAUAUGUCUUUCCAUGGAAAAUAUGUGUUGCGUCGCGUUAUCAUUCAUUAUUUCACUAUUCUUUAGUGAAUUACUAUUUUGGUAUGGGGACGGCUACAGUAAAUGCAUGUAUGUGACACAUGCAAGCUAGGGGUAUUCGCGGAUCGGAUUUUACGGAUUGGACAUCAAUCCAUAUCCAAUCCAUGAUUUUGCGGAUUAUAAUUUUUCAAUCCAAUCCAAUCCACGGAUUGAUAAAAUUCAAUCCAAAUUCAAUCCAUACAUCUGCGGAUCGGAUACGGAUUUGACUCAAUCCAUAUCCAAUCCAUACGUCUACGGAUCGUAUGCGGAUUUGACUCAAUCCAUAUGCAAUUCAUCAUUUUGUGCAUUAGUUUUCGAAUUAAAAAUUUUUAGUUCUCUCCAACUAAUGAAAUAAAAAAAUCUAAUAUAAAAAUAAUUUUGCUACCAAUUAAAUUUAAAAUUGAAAAAAAUUUAAAUAAAUUAAUUGUUUAAAUAAAGCUAAAAUAAUACAUUUAAAGUUUUAAAAUAUAACACAUCGAGACUAAUUAUUCAAAUAAAGCUACAAUAAUACGUUCAAAGUUUCAAAAUAUAACACACCAAGUUUAAUUGUUCAAAUAAAGUUACAAUAAUACGUUAAUAUAACACCGAAAUUAAUUGUUCAAAUAAAGCCACAAUUAAUUGAAAUGACGAAGUUUCGGAAACCAAACACAAUCUGAUCAUUCACCAGGGCUGUUGUACCUAUUGAAAAGUGGUGAUUACGGAGCCAUCUACGAUGGGAACCAGGAGAAGCCGUACGGGUGGCGAUCUUGAAGGUUGUGAUAGUGAAAUUGUUCAGUUAGAACCAGUGAAUGUGAAGUGGCUCGAUGGACUUGGGAAAGAAGAUGGCUUGCUCUCGCCAGAAUCGCGUGGCCGAUAUCCUUUAAAUCUGUGUCGAGAGUGUAUCCAACCAGUAUUGAGUGUUGCUAGUGUGUGUGACGGCGGGGAAGCUUAGGGUUUUUUGUUUGUAAAUUGUUGGUCACUUGGUGUUAUGUUACUUUGCUUUUAUUUUAUUUUACAAUUUUUACAAGUUAUAUUUGUAUAUUUGAUUAUUUAAUUAUUUUUCAUUUUAUAUUAUUAUUGGGCAAUGGUUAAGAUAUGUUAUAAUGCUUAGUAACUAUGCAAUGUCACAUUUGUAAUUUUUUAAUUUUAUAUAUAUAUAUAUAUAUAGAUAUAUUUUUUUUUUUUUACGGAUUCACGGAUUUAUGCGGAUUUACAGAAGUAAAUCCAUAUCCAAUCCAUCGACUGCGGAUUUUUAAAUUUUCAAUUCAUAUCCAAUCCACCAAUCCACGGAUCGGAUUUAUACGGAUCGGAUUCAGCGGAUCGGACGGAUUGAGCGGAUCGGAUUGGAUUCUGAACACCCCUAAUGCAAGCAAUAAAAAAAGGAAAAGGGUUAUUAUCAAAAACCUCCCUUGAGGUUUAGCGUAUUCUCAGUUUGAGAGAUUGGAUUCACGUAUUAUCAGCCACCUCCCCUGACGUUAGUAUACCGUUUAGUAUAAUUUGAGUUGGUGAGGAUAAAAUGGUAAUAGAACUCAUUAAUAAUAAAAAAUUCUAACAAACUUUAAAUUAUCACAUUCGAAUCGAGAAUGAUUUGAAGUUUGUUCAAAUCCAUUGGGUUUAAAAUCGAAGCAAGCAUUUAACCAAAAGAUAUUACCACUCUACCAAAAAAAAAAAAAUGGUUUGAUGUUCGUUCAUAUCCAUUGAGUAAAAACCAGAAGCAAGCAUUUAACCAAAAGAUACUAUCAAUCCACCUAAAAAGAAAGAGAAAUGGGUAUCUCCUUGCUCAGCUCAAACCAAUGCUACCGAGAACAACAUUCCAUCCAUUUUCUCCAUCUCUGUUAUGCUUUAGUAGAGAAAGAGUGCCAUAAGCAAGAAACAAUGACGACAAACCUGAAGACGCCAACACCAGGAACAACUGAAUCACGACCGCCAGGUGAAAGAAGACUGACCAGUGAGUUUCGUCGUCGACCCACAAACAACCCCAACUCGUCUGAGCCACGAAAAGGGUAUGAAAAUAAGCACACAUUUUAUAAAAGCAAAACCCAUAACCUCACUUGUUCAUGCUUUGAAACGAUGAUGUAAUAAUUAUUGCUUCGUAUGUGUGCUGUUAAAGUGGCCAAAUUUUUUUUUUUUGAACUUCUUUCGAACAUUUAGUAACGAGAUUAUGGUUUCAGAUCCCCAGUUGAGCAAUUCCCUGUUUCGUUGGAUAAAGAGGCUGAAUUUGAGUGGUUUGACCUUGCUGAAGUGAAUGAAAUUAUAGUGCCUGACUUGAAUGAAGCCGUAAUAACUUCAGAAUUUGAGAGCAAUAGUGUUAUUGUAGAAGAUUCAUUCAAAAAGCGGCAGCCAAUUGAGAUUGUACGAGAUGGGUCAGCCAAGAAUAUAACUGUUGAUGACUAUGUAGGGUGUGAAGAAAUAGUGGACAGUGAUAGUGGGGAUGAUGCUGGAAAUAAUAAUACUUGGGAUGCUGGUUUAGAUGACUACGAAUCAGCAGAUUAUAGUGGUUCAAACUCAGAUAUGUUGUCAGAUGAUGAAGUUCAGGAUGCGUGUAAUAGAUAUGAGGCCAAUUCAGAGGGUUUUGAGUUCAAUAUAGAUGGGGAAAUGAUUAUGUUGAGGGUUGGAGCAGUGUAUAGGAACGUGGAUGAGUUUAGGAAUGUGGUGAAAGUUUUUGCGAUACAAAAUGGUUUUAGGCUAAAAAGGGUAAAAAUGAAAAGAGUAGAGUCACACUGGCAUGUGCAGCAGUAUGUUGUACUUGGAGGGUUCACGCAAGUCCAAAUUGGAAUGGUAAACACUUUCAAAUCAAAACAUUCCGGCCUGAACACAUUUGUGCUAGAGGUAAUGAUAACUACGAAGCAAAUUCAACUUAGAUUGCUGCAACAUUUCUUCAUCUAUUUAGAGCCAACCCUCAGCUAAACAUUGAAGUAAUAGCAAGUGAGCUGCUUAGGAGAUUUGGUAUUAAAUGCAGUAAUCAGCAGUUGUAUAGGGCUAACAACAAGGCAUUGGAGCUGUUAGGGCAGGAUCAUAAGGCCAGUUAUACCAAACUAUACAGGUAUAUGCAUGCAAUUCUCAUCUCUAAUCCUGGUUCAACUGUAACUAUAGAUAGAGAUUGGUUAGGUGGUGGGCAGAACCCUCAUUUUAAAAAGUUCUUUGUUAUGUUUGAUGCAAAUAGGAGGGGGUUCUUUGAGGGAUGUAGACAGUUUACAGGGCUUGAUGGUUGUCAUCUAAAGGGGUUAUAUAAAGGUGUAUUGUUGUCUGCAGUUAGUAUAGAUGCUAAUAAUGGUAUCUACCCACUAGCAAUGUGUGUUGUUGAGAGUGAAAAUACUAACUCUUGGGUGUACUUUAUGAAUAAAUUAUAUGAGCAAAUAGGCUGUAAUGAUGGUAGUGGGUUGUGUUUCAUGAGUGAUAGGCAGAAGGGAAUUUUAAAUGCUUUGGAGAUAGUGUUUCCUGAAUCUUUGAAAAGGUAUUGUUGUAGGCAUAUAUAUGCUAACUUCAAGCAGAAAUUUCCUGGUGUACUAUUACGUAAUUCAUUCUGGAAAGCUUGUAGAAGUUCAAACCUAGCAGACUUCAACACUCACAUGUCUGAGUUGAAUAAUAUUCAUUCUGCAGCACAUGAUUGGCUGAUGCAGAUUCUAGUUUAUUGCUGGGCUAAGCAUAAAUUUCCAACGCACACAAAAUGCUCCCAUGUGACUAACAACAUGUCAGAGUCAUUCAACAACUGGAUUAAUAAUUUUAGGGGAUUGCCUAUUGUUAGGAUGGUAGAAGAGAUAAGAAGAAAGGUGAUGAAUCUGAUUCAUAGAAGGUAUGAGCAGGCUGUCAUGUGUCAAGAUGAACUGCCACUACAAGUUAGGAGGAGAAUACUAGAUGGAAGGGUGAAGUCCAGGUCCAUGUCAGUUAUAUUUGGGCAUAAUGAUACCUUUGAAGUUAUGGAGGAUGUUUCCAAGAGAAAAGUUGUCAAUUUAAAGGCCAAGGAGUGUGAUUGUGUGGAGUGGCAAUUGUCUGGUUUGCCUUGUGCUCAUGCACUAUGUUGCAUUGAUGCUAUGAGGUACAACGUCAAUGAUUUUGUGCAUCCUUUAUUGAAAGAAUGAAGCAUUGAAGAAGACUUAUAAGCAUCAGUACUAUCCAGUGCCUGAUGAAAGUAGGUGGCCUCCUGAAUUGCAUGAUAACAUGCUUCCACCUAUAAUCAUUAGAACUACUGGCAGGUCUCAAACGAAAAGGAGAAGAGAGGCGGAUGAAAACAGGGCAUUCAAGAGGAGUUCCAAUGUUAGGUGCAGUAAUUGCGAAGAGUGGGGGCAUAAUGUGAGGACAUGCAAAGUUGAUAAAGGGUUUAAAAAAAAUGACAAAGAAGAAAAAUUUAAAGUCAACACAGGUUACUUUGUGUAAUUAUAAGUUUUGAAGUUCUCUUUAUUUAAAUUUCCAGCUUAUAUAUCUGUUUAAUAAUCUCAUGAUUUGUUUACACUUCAACUCAAGGGAAAUGGAUCGGGGAUCAAUAAUGAAAGAGGACAGAGCUCAGGAGCCUAGAAUCAACUUGAGGCAGCAGCUGUCAUUGAAUCUGGAACGCAAGAAUUUGUCCAUGAUGAUGGUUUGAAUUUACUGAUUCAGCAACUCACUUUUCUUAAUUUAUUUGUUUAUAAACUAUUUCAUACUUGCUAAUACAAAUUUUUAUUAUUGAAGGACAAUUAACCCAAUCAUAGAGAGCUUGUAGAUGAUAAAUCCUGCAGCAACAACUUUAGUGGUAAGAAAUUUUUUUGUAUAGUAAUGACAGAGCCUAGACUAAUCCCAUACUACAAAUUUUUUGGAGGGAUGAGAUGAUACUUCACCUUACCUAUAUAAGCUUUAAAUUGUAUAGAUGUUGUAUCAUCUUUUUGUUCUUUUUUUUUGUGAACUGUGUGAUAGUGAAAAUACUCACACCAUUAACAAAGCAUUUCAGUUAAGUCAAAACUUAACAAACUGUUGAAAGUUGAUUUUUUUGUAAAUAUGGGUUGCUGUUGAUGUUGUAUUGGCUGAUUGUUUCACAGCCAUUGGUGACAGUUAACACUUGUGUUGUUGCUGGAUUUUAUUAAUAUUGAAAUAUCAUAUUACUACAUUUGGUUGCUUGAUGUUUUUAAGUUCAGUUUUAUUUGUUGAUGGAUUGGUUACAAGUGAUAUUGGAAUAUCACAUGAUUAGAUGUGUGAAUGUUCUUUGACAGAUGCUCAGAAAUUAUUAUUGUUUACUUUGUAGUUACAAUUUCUUUUUUGCUCGAACACAUUUGGAUGCUGAUAAUAGGUCAACUCAGUUAGUUUUUUUAAAAAAAUAUAUGAGUGGCAUGAUUGACUUUGUGUUUCAUUGCAAAUUAGAUUUAUAAAUAUAUUUCACUUAGAAAACACUAUUGCAUUUGAGUUAUAAAGUAGCAAAAAAAAAUUUAGUCAUCACUGGAACAUUUAGUUUAAAAAGCAUUAGACUUGGUGACACACUACAUAAGGUACAUCACAACAUUUAAAAGAAAGAAUAACACAUUGAAUACAACUAUAACCUUAGCAACAGUUGCAACCUUCGUAGGUUUUCGUGAUUUCUCCACUAUGGUCUUCAUUGUCUUCACGUCAUUUUCAAUUCUAGAUAGUACCGCAUAACAUACAUCUGUUGACACACAUCCUUCAAAUAAAGCUUCAUUGUUAAAAUCAUCUCUAUUUGGUGCCCACCACUUAAAAUAUCCACAACCAUUUUUUUUGGCACAACGGUAGUAAAGCAUAUGUGGAUUGUCAUCGGAUUCUGAAAUCUUCAAAUCAGCUCUCAUAUAGCAUUUGCAUAUCUUGUUUGAGAACCUAAUGAGCUUGCCAUUGACUGUAUUCCUCCAAGCAGGCUCAUAAAAUGUGCUUGAUCGAACAGAAUUGUUUGAACUUUGUGACUCCAUUGAUGUGCAAGAAUGUUCCAGCUUUGAAUAAUGCUGAGUUUUUUAAUUGAUUGAUGAAUAUAUCAGAGAUGGUUGAUAAAGAGAUGAAGUGAUAUUGGUAGUGUUGGGUUGGUGCCUUUGAAGUGAAAUGAAAGCUAAUUUUUUUCUUCAGUUUGAGUUCAAAGUGUAUGCUGCUUAUUUAGCUUGUUUAUGGCAGGUUAUAUAGCCACUGGUAUUGGCAAUAUAACCAUUAAAGGCAACAGUAAUAAUGUCAGUAACAACUGCAGUUCAAUUUCAAGUAUUAACUUCAAUAUUUCACAUCCUGUCCAAUAAUUAAAAAAAAUUGUAAUUGUUUGUUUAAUUCAUCCAAGUCAUUUUAGAAAGUCCAAAAGAUGAUUUGGUAUUUUUAUUGACCAUUUUGGCACCAAAACAUACAUGUUAUUAUCAACGCACAAUUCUUUAAUUUGUGUACAGAAAGAUAUUUUCCCACAAUAGGGGUAUUUUCAUCAUUUUAUUAAUCAAUAAACGGUCAAACAAACAAGUUAUUAACGUCGGGGGAGGUGGCUGAUAAUAUGCGAAUACAAUCUCCCAAACUGAAAAAUACGCUAAACCUCAGGGGAGGUUUCUGAUAAUAACCCAAAAGAGCAGGCAGCCAAACACCAAAAAAAAAAAAUUGGGAGCAACCGGUUGCAAAUAAAUUAAAUAAUAAUAAAAAUAAUAAUAUUCAAUUAUAAGAAAUAAAAUAAUAAUAAAAUAAUCAUUAUUAAAGGACAUAACAAAAAAAUUAUUUUUAUAAUAAUAAAAAAGGAGUUUCAAGUUUAAUGGUAUAGGUAUCAAGUUAAUGGUCUUAAUUUCAUGUUUAUUGGUUCAUUAAUUUCAUUAUUUUUAUGGUUGCGAGUUAAUGAUCUCAUGGUUCAUGUUUAUUGCCCUAGGUUUCAAUUUCCUUCAAUUUCAAGUUUAAUGGUCAAGGUAUCAACUUAGUGGUCACGGUUUCAUAUUUAUUGGUCCAUUAAUUUAAUGAUUUUUAUGGUUGCAAGCUAAUGAUAACAUAUUUUAUGUUUAUUACCAUCCGUUUCAUGUUCCUUUGGUUUCAUAUUUAAUGGUUCGGGUAUCAAGUUAAUGAUUAUGAUUUCAUGUUUAUUGAUUCAUUAAUUAAAUAAUUUUUAUGGUUGCAAGUUAAUGAUCUCAUGUUUCACGUUUAUCUUUGCAUAUAUAUAUAUAUAUAUAUAUAUAUAUAUCUAAUCACCGUAAAAUUUUGACAUGUUUUUUGCACCACUUUUGUUUCUCAACUUGCAUCGGUCAACCACUUUGAUACUAAAAAUGACUAUUUUACCCCCAAAUAAAUUAAAAUAUUAUUUUAUUUUUUAAAAUUUUAAAAAAUAAAAAUAUAAUUACAAGAAUACCCCUAAAUUAAUAAAACAAAUAAAUCUCAAAAUCUAAGAUGUUAAUGUUUUAUAAUUAUAAUUUCAUUUAAUUUUUGUAAGUAAAUUAAGUAUGGCAAAGUUUACAAAAAUUAACAUGAAGAAAAGAGUACCUUAUAAUUAUUGUAAACUUCCCUAUAAUUAAAAUUAACAAAUUUUUCUAUACAAAUUGAAGAUUCUACUAUAAGAAUAACUAGUUUUGAAGUCCAACAAAAAUACACUCACUAGUUGUGUUCUUGGAAUAUCGGCUUACAAAGUAGGACUUGUUACAAAUAUAACAUAUACAAUCACCAACAUAUAGGUUUUCUAUUAACCAUCAGCAGCAGAUACAAAACUUCCAAACCCAUAAUUAGAUAGUGUUAUACAUGAUCAUAUUAGGCAAGGAUUUGUGACAAAUGUCAAAUAACCAAAGUUUAGAUAUAAGCAAUAAAAUGAAAAUAUUAUUAAAAUAGUUGUAAAGCUUACCUAUUGAAGGAAAAUUACAGCAAGAAACAAUCACAACAUAUUCAAGUUGGAGUUGGAUUGCACUUGGAGUGGUGAUACUUGACCCUCUCAUUAUAUUUCACUAACCCCUAUUUUUUUAGUAAACCCUAUUAAAAAUUUUAAACUAAUCUUUAUCUCUCAACAUAUCCCAUCUUAUAUCGAAUUUACCCUUAUUAUAAUUUUUAUCUUUUUUCCAUAACAUCGUAUAAAACUUACAAAAUCUAUUUUAAAAGAAAAAAAAUUUAGAGUUACUAUAAUCUCUCUCUUUCUUUUUAAAAGUUUUAUUCACCAUGACCAUAACCGUAAAAAAAAUUGAGUUUUCUUCAUCAUCCUCUAUUGAGUAUUGCAAAUUAACUUCUUUCAUGAUUACAAAAAUAGAGUAUACAAUAAUUGAGAAGAGAAAAUAAUUUAAAAAAAGUUAAAAUAAAUUAAGGUUAAAGAAAUUAGAUUAGCUAAAUUAGAUAUUAAUAGAAAUUAUCAUUAUGAGUACACUUAAAAACUAUUUAUCCUUUUAAGUCAUUUCAUAUAAGGAUAAAAUAGUUAUUAGUAUAAAAAUGAUUAGUGAAGGUUGGUGAAAUAUAAUGAGGGAGUCAAAUAUGACAACUCUUGCACUUAAAGAGCAUCCAAGCACACACAAAAAAAAAAAAAAAAAAAAAUUAAUAAUAAUAGUUAUGUUCUUUCCCAUAGCUUUUAUAAGUUUUCCUAGCCCAAGUAUCUCCUCAUUCUUGCUUAAUUCUUUCGGCCCUUUUAACCCUUCAAGUUAUUUGAGCCCACUCCAGCUUCAAUCACCAUUUCAUUUUCCCGCCUCUGUGUUUUGUGCUCCAGACACAUAUGGGUGCUUUAUUGCACUUUAAGAAAUUAGAUUAGCUAAAUUAGAUAUUAAUAGAAAUUAUCAUGUGGGUGUAUUUUAAAAGCUAUUUAUCCUUUUAAGUCAUUUUAUAUAAGGAUAAAAUAAUUAUUAGUAUAAAAAUAAUUAGUAGAGGCUGAUGAGAUAUAAAGAGGGAGUUAAAUAUGACAGCUCUUGCACUUAAAGAGCAUCCAAGCACACAAAAAAAGAAAAAAAUACUAGUAAUGUUUUUCCCGUAGUUUUUAUAAGUUUUCCUGGCCAUAGCAUCCCUUCCGUCUAGCUUAAUUCUUUCGGCCCUUUUUACCCUUCAAGUUGUUUGAGCCCAUUGAGCCCACUGCAGCUUCAAUCAUCAUUUCAUUUUCCCGCUUGUGUGUUCUGCUCGGCGGAUAUUGUCGGCCAUUAGUGUUCCUGAAUUAUUCCUUUUUUUCGUCAUUUACGCAUCUCACGGUCUUCAAUUAACUUUAGAAAAGUAGACAUAUCACAAAAUUGAACUCCUAGUGAAAAGAGUGUAGUAAUUAGUAAAGAGAAAAAUCAAUUUCUCCUUGCUUUUUUUUUUUUUCAAGUGAGAGAGUUGUUUUCUCUUUUUUUUUUUCAUUUUAUUAAAAAAAUUGUUUAAUCCUCUAUUCUUUUGUUUAUCGGUAAUUUUUUAACCCAAUAAGUUUAAAAAUUUCCCACAUAAAGUGCUUGUGUAUAAUUUUAUCUUCAAUAUUUUUUCAAAUUUCACUAUAAUUAUUGCAUGUCAUAAUUCCCUAACAAACACAAAAUUCCUCUGCAGCUAAUAUAAGGCAGCUUCUGAGAAAUUAUUGGGCGUACUUCAAAAAGGAAAAAGAAAUUAAAUUUUGAAAUUUUGUUUCAAAAUAAUUUUCAUAGAUAUUUAUCAUAAAUCUUUUUUUCUAAGUCUUCUAAUUCCAACUCACAGUCAGCAAGUUAAACUGUCAUUCUAGGCAUCGUCAUUGAAAUUACCGAAUCUUUAAUUCGAAGAGGGUGUUUGUGUACUUAGGAUUUUAUAGUUCCUGGACGUCAGGAUUUUAUGGCUUUCUUCAUGCCAAAACAAUGAAUUCAAAGUGUAUUUGAUCAUUCCCUUUUUAUCAUAUUCUUUAUUCAUUAUUUUGUUUUUGUUUUCACAGACGAGAUAGGGACUCAGCUAUCUUGCAACAGUUGCAAGGUACCACCAAAUUUUGUCUUUUUCUUGAUUUCAGUCAUUUGCCAUUAGAUUUAAUAAAAAUGUAGUUUCAAUGGUAGAGAUUUGUACAUUUAAAUAUUAACAUUACACUUCUUGAUAUUUAUUAAAAGCACAAACAAGUUAAAAAUAUAAAAAUUUUAGCACAUAAGUCCGGAUUGUUUACAAUUUAUAUUGUUUAAUUAGUAGUGAGUAUUAAAAAUAAAUUUUAUUUUUUAAUAUUAUAUAUUUUAUUUAAAAGAAUAAAUUUUUAAUAUUACAUUUUAAAGGUCACUAGCUAAACUAUAUAAACUUAUAAAUAAAAUGUAAAUAAGAAAAAAAAUAAGCGGUUAAAUGAAAUUUAACGUUACAUAAGAUAAAAAAUAGUGGCUAGCUGGACCCACGAGAUAGUUGUAUUUACUUGUAUUUAUAUGCGUACUUUCGGACUCAUGUCCCUGUGUGAGUGGGAGAAAUUUCUUGUUAGUGCAGAGAUAUAUUUUAUUUCGUAUAUUUACUUCUCUAUUGAAGGUUCUGCUAUUGUAACCAAAAAUGCAUUUUUUUGAACUACUUCUGAGUUGAUAUGAUACUAGAGCUUGUGGCGAUUAUUUAUUUUGACAGUUCAAUUGGUGUCUAAUUAUAAUUUUAUUGAAGAAAAGAUAAACAGAAUGUAGAAAAAGAUAAAAGAAAUAAAAUUUCUGGAUGAAUAAAAGUCUGAAAAAGAUAAAAGACAAAAUCAUCUGCUUUGGGAUUCCAAAUUUAAUUUCUGAUCAAAAUCUCUUAAUAUUGUCCGAAUUUAGUUUAAUUUCUCCUCAAAAGUAGAGUUUGGGCCGACAACAGAAUUUUAGAAAAAUUAAAGAAUUAUUUUCUUUCUUUCCUGCGGUCCAUGAAUCAUUCUUUUUCUCAUUUCAAUUUCUACCUGCGUUGUCACUACUUUACUCAUUGCCCAACCUCACAUUAGUCUUCAGUGAAAUUAUUUAAUAUCACCUUUUGAAAAGUAGACAAUUUAUACUUUACCGGAACAAUCAGAUGAAAUUAUCACGAAACUUGCUGGUAGAUUCGAGGGAGUAGCCUGCUAAAGGCAUCUAUUCUCCGAUUAAAGUAUCUUUUUGGCCUAUUGUGUUUGCCUCUGGUCUAUUACUGUCCAAGCAUUUAGAGAAGUAAUUAAUCCAAAGAGGUGCUAUAUCGUAGAGAUAAGAUGCUCGAUUCAGUAUGUUCCAUCAAACAAUUGCUCCACCAUUUGGCAUUUUUGUAGAUAAGCUAUCUUAAUCUGAUUAUUUUUUCUUUUGAAUUGGUGUGCACGUCAACGUGGGAUUGUUUUUAAGAGCACAAAUACAGAAUUUUAUUGCUAGCCAAUUGCGAUAUGGAACAAUUAUGUGGUGAAUUGUUUUAUGCUCUCUGACAAACUCUUUGUUACAAGAGUUGAUUUUGAACAUUCAGUUAAUCCUGUUAAAAGCUCUGUUCAGUCAUUCUUCUUUGCCUUUGGUCUACUGUGUUGCAUAUUUUUAAAGGAAUCAGUUCACAAAUAUUGGCCAUAUGGAACACUGUUGCUCUUCAUAUUAAGUUUUAACUUCACAGCUUCCAUAAAAUUUACUGCCACAUCAACUAAGUUAACUGCAUGUUUUAUUUUAUUGGUUCUUCCUUAUUGAAGUUUACUUGCUUUUGACUCUAAAGUCCAAGCACAAUUUGAACUUGGACCUUGGCUGUAUCUUUCACAGCAUGACAAUUUGAUUUUCCCCUCAAUCUUUUAUAAUGUCUCUGCCUUUUCCUACUUGAAAAAAGAUAGCCACUGGCAUCAUUAGACCAAGACUGCACUCAUAAGAUAUGAAAAAAGACACAGAUAUCCCAAUUAUAAACAAAGAAUUAGCAAAAUAGAUCAAGAAAAGAAGAUGAACACAUACAGAUUUUGAUGGUUCAGCCACCACGUGGCCUACUUCCAUGCAAGUGACAAAUCGAUUGAUUUAUUGAUUUAACGAUCUAAAGAUUACAAGAAUAUUAAAAACUUUACAUAGAACAAUUUAUAAUAGGAAAUAUCCCUGUAAUCGCUCUCUUAAGUCAAGAAACCGAUUUCAGAGAUUUGCCGCUCUUUCUAACACACUUGACAGAGGUUUGGCAAAAUUUAGGUCAGAACAAGCGACUAACGUGUGUAUCACAUGUGACCACAAUUUUGCUAUAAAACCAGACUUGCAUUGGACUUGAACGAUUAAAAUGUAAAACUUCAAUGUACAAAACUCAGUCGUUUUGCAGCCGUUUGAUUAACCAUCAACAACUUGUAAUCCUCUGACAGUUUGAAACCAGAACAUAAUUAGUAUAAGCACAUAAAUUUUAGGAUCGAUUUAGACAUGGUAUGGUUUGAGUAUUUCUAACACUUCCUAGUGAUGCAUCUAUAGGAGUUUCUUUUAGAAAAUAUAUCAUUAAAUUGACCAUCUUGACCAUUGACCAUCGUCUGAUUAUUAUUUUUUUUUAUCUCGCUUACCACGUUGAUAGUGCGGCAUUUUGGGUACUACAAAAAGCACAACAACGAUUAAAGAGCUGCUUCAAAUAAUUCAUCUUUCACUUUUGUUGGGUGAAGUGCCGCUUAACUACUCCAUGAUCCCCCCAGCACUUGAAGAGGGUACGUGUUUGUGUACUUAAGACUAUCUAUAGUUUCUAUUUGUUGGGACUGUACGGUCUGCCCUUCUGUCAUAACAAUGGAUUCAAAGUGUAUUUGAAUUCCACUUAUCAUAUUAAUUAUUCUGUUCAUUAUUUUGUUUUUGCUUUUUCGUUUUCAUUUUUCAUUAAUCCUCCCCUCAUUUUUUGAGGAUAUAAAUUACUUAUUUGAUCAGCUCUAGUGGUAUGUACAUAUACAUACAUACAUACAUACAUACAUACAUACAUAUAUAUAAAUUUUUACAAAAAGAUGAUUUUGUCUUUGUAAUGUAAGUUUAACAAAGGUUAUAUUUGUUGAUUUAUACAUAUAAUAGAUUGUUUGAAUCUCCUAACAAGAGGAACAAAAGUAAUUACAAAUGAUUUGUCAAAUUUUGUUAAGUUACAAAAUAGUAUAUUAUACACUCAAAUCUAACAUCAAAUACAUAGCAAACAACAACUUCAAAAGCAAAAUCCCUAGAAGCAACUCCCAUAUCUUCAUCAACCAACGGCUUCAAAAGCAUCCCAUGAUUUUUGUUAAAAAUUCAUAGUUUCAUGACUGCAUAUUUUUAUUGAGUGAAGCCUUGCUUAAAAAACCCAUUCCACGAUCCCAGUCCCACCACGCACUUUGUAUAAAAUUCAAUUUAUUAGAAUAAUUAAAAUCAUUAGUAGAGGAAUUCAACCAACAACUUCAAAAGCAUCCCAUGAUUUUUGUCGAUAAUUCAUAGUUUCAUGACUGCAUACUUUUAUUACGUGAAGCCUUGCUUAAACAACCCAUUCCAAGAUCCCAGUCCCACCAUGUACCAUUUGGAAAUAUCACAUUUUAUUCCCCAAUGCGACAUAUUUUCUUCUCCAUUGAAGGUUCUCUGAAUGCUAUUAACCAAAAAAUGCAACAUUCUGUUCUGUUUAUGAAUUGGGAUUAUUUGCUUCUGGCUGUCACUGACUCAUUGACCAUUAGCAAUAUAGCAUUAGGUAGUGCCAGCUCUUUUCUUUUUUGUCUUUGUCUUCUCUAAUUCGAGCUACAAAUCCAUGUUCCGAUGAAUUCCUUUUCCAUCUCCUCUCCAUUGUUUGGCUUCAAUAUUUUGGAUUUGAAGUAAAUUUUCCGCAUAUUUAUUUUGCAUCAACCUUAACAUCGUAUGUGAAAAAAUUCUGCAUAUUUAUUUUGUCCUACAGAGACGAUUUUUUUGAAAUUCACAUACAAUAACAUAAGGCAGCUUCAAAGAAAUUACUGGGUGGAGUUCAAAAUGAGAAAAGAAAUUAAAUUUUAUUGGACCACCGUCAUGAAAUUUUAAAUUUUUUGGACCACAAUCCGCCUUUGUCUUUUCAUGUGAUUGCAAGCUACUCGAUGACAUUGACUGAUCAUUGACCAUUUGGUGCUCUCUUCCCUUCGUCUUCUAAUUCAACUUACCGUCAUCAAAUUAAACUGUCAUUCACAUAAUAUACGGCAAAUAUCAAUCACAUAAAGCGUACACGGAUAAGUCAGUGUUUACGGGGAAAGAUAAAAAAAAAAAAUAUUCCACUAUUAAAAUGGGGAAUAUAAAUAUUGAAAUAUUUAUCUUACAAUCCAAAUUCUUAAUACAAUCAAGUUCUCAGAUCACUUGAGAACAUUUUAGUUAUCUCAGUUACUAAAGAAUUGCAUUUUAGUUAUCUCAGUUACUAAAGAUUGCUUUUCAUAAAACACACGUUAAGUUUUCAAAUUGUUGGAGAACUUUUCUCACACUGGCUCAUGAAUUUUGCAUCCAAUUUAUAAACAAAUCUAGAUUUCAAAUGUAAAAUUAUGAUUUUUUGUCCUUCACAUCCAGCAUCCAGGAAGGCUCAAGGAAAGUAAGUAAUCGUGAGUAUGAAUCUAUUAAAAAAUAUGCUCUGAGAUUAAUUGUUCUUUUAAAUUAAUUGGUCUUUUAUUUUAUUUUUAUUAUUUUCCUUAGUGACGGUGGUGAAUAGUAUUUACGCCUUUUUUUUUAUUAUUAAUUUUUAGCUAUCAUUCCCUAUUUCUUUCCUUUGGAAAAACGCGGUUCAACAGUAACCAUAAAGCUGCAUUUAAUUGUGGAGGGUGCACAAGAGUAAUAUAGAGUGUUUUAGUCUAUUCAGUGUGCAAAUAACCCAAUGUUAUAAGAGUUAUGAAUAUAUGUUGUAUGUAUUUGUAAUAUUUUUGUUUUGGGCGGGGGUUAUAUUAAUUUAAGAAUUUAAUUUAAAUCUAGACAUUAAAAUAUGACCAUUUAUUUCGUUCAAUCAAUUAACACACGAGGAUUGUUUGUUGAUUGGAGAGGCUAAAACUGAGUGGGAAAGUAAAGCAACAGAGGAAUAGAAAAGAUCUAUGACAAAGAUCGAUGAACAGAAGUGGAGAGGAACAACAGUGGGCAUGAUCUAAUAUUGAAUUACAAAUAUGUUGGCCUUACGGAAUAUGUCGUUGACAAAAUUAUGGAGUAUUGAUUUCUUGGGGAUGAAUAUGAUUUGUGAGAAUGGGGAUGAAUUUUGAUUCCCCCAAUUUAGGUUAGGAAUUGCUAUUACUAGUAUAAUCGUUGAGGAAUGAGGAAAAAGAGUCGGUAUUCUCUCUCUCUUCCUUUAUUAAGUUUUAAUAUGUCAUCUAUGCUUUUUGUUUUCUGAAUCUUAUUUAUUAAAGUUUUACUAUCACAUAAUCAAUCAUCUCAUACCUUAGAUUGAAUUAAAUAAAUUUUAAAGUUUUGAUGCUUAGAUUACAAUCAUAUUCUUAAGUUAAAAUAUCCCCUCCCGUUUGUUUUUUAUCUAAAAAAAGAAAAAAAACAUUGGUACUAAAAAAUAAAUAAUCUUAUUUUUACUAAAAAUACAAUAUUUUUAGUCUUCUAAUUUGUUUAUUUUAAAAGUAACUCAUUCACUGCUUUGCAAAAUCAAAAUCUCCUGUGGCAAUGAAUUGAUUUUACAAGAAGUAAUUUUAAUAGUUUUUACCAACCAUUUAAAUUCAUCAUUAGCUUCUCAAUAUCACUUUUGAAAAUCCCAACAACAAUCUCAAAUUGGUCAAUAAAUUACUUCAUUUUCUAAAUAGUAAACAUAAAAUGAUGGAAAUAAUUUUUAUAUCAUGAAAGUAAAAAUAAUUUUAUUAUUUGCAUCAAAUUAAUAUUAUUUAGAUAUAUUUAUAUUUAAUUAUUAUGUUAUUAAAUUAUCAAAUAAUAAAAAUAAUAUUUUUAUUCACAAUAAGACAAAUUUAGAGAAAAAUUAGAUGGUGUUUGCUAGGAAACUUAAGAGAAAAAUUAAUAUGGAACUGUCCCACCACUUGGGAUUCUUUCACGUAGCGUUUCAGUGGAUCUCAUUGAAUUUUAUUUUGAAAAAGGAUAUUAUCAUUUUCCCACCAAAGUUAUUCUGACACAUCAUGUCAAUACCACGGUUUGGUAAAACUAUCAAUUUACUACCAAACAUUUAAACUGUUAGCAUUUUCCUACCAUUCCGUUAAAACUCAGUUAAUAUGUAACGAAAUUUUUUUAAAAGGUCAAAUUUACCCUUGGAGCAUAAAAGAUCAUGUAAUUAAUCUUUUAUGAAUUUUGUAAUUAAAUCAUCAUUUGUUGUUCUUCCUUCUUAAAGGAUAAAAAUUACCCUUUAUGAAUUUUGUAAAAUUGACCGUGUGGUGUUAGGUACUUCAUAAAUUGAUUUAAUUUAUUUAAUUUUUAAAGGGCAAAUUUAUUUAUUUAAUUUUGUGUAAAAUUAUUAUCAUCAUAUCAAAGAUUAAAUUGCUUCUUUUGCACAUUCUUUUUUUUUUUCCCUUUCAUAAAUUGAUUUUUAGUAGUAGAAUAAAUUGUCUUUAGCUCGUCAAUUUAAUAAAUAAAUUUGCCCUUUAAAAAUUAAAUAAAUUAAAUCAAUUUAUGAAGUACCUAGCACCACACGGUCAAUUUUACAAAAUUUAUAAAGGGUAAUUUUUGUCCUUUAAGAAGGAAGAACAACAAAUGAUGAUUUAAUUACAAAAUUCAUAAAAGGUUAAUUACAUGGUCUUUUACGCUACAGGGGUAAAAUUGACCUUUUAUGAAUUUUCUAUUACAUAUUAACUGAGUUUUAACGGAAUUGUGGGAAAAUGCUAACAGUUUAAACGUUUGGUGGUAAAUUGAUAGUUUUACCAAACUGUGGUACUAACAUGAUGUGUCAGAAUACUUUUGGUGAGAAAAUGAUAAUAUCCCUUUUGAAAAAUCAAUUGAUAAUACUGGGAUGGUAUAGCCUGGUAGGGUGAUACUCUAAGCGGUCCCUUUAACCUUUUUAGUUGUCGUACACGAAUUAUUUCUUCAUUUGGAAUAAAAAUCAACAAAGCUGCAUCUUCACUGAAAUUAUUGUCCACAGUGCUUCCAGGAAAAUGAGAUAAAGAUAAUUUUAAAGAAACUUUUAGGAAGAUUCCAAGCAUUAAUAAUUAUUUAUAUUUAUUUAUAAUAAAUUACUUUUAAUAAUAAUAAUUUAUAUCAUGAGUAUUUUUAUUAUAAAAUUUUUAUAUGAAUGUAAGUGCAUAAAAUAAUUGUUUAGAGUGUAAAUAAUCUCGUCUAAUUGAUAAUCCUCGCUAAUCAAAUACAAUUUGUUAAUAGGGCACGAGUCACUGCCCCCUUGAGAAUUGAGCACAGAAGCAUUUACUAUUUUCUAUGGUGGAUUGUUGGGAAAUUUACACCCUUUCCACCUUUUUAGCUGCAUUUACUAUUUUCUUUCUUCACUUGAUUAUACAAUUUGAUUAUCAAGAAACAACCUGGAAGGUUCCAAGCAUCGUUUUACUCUGCACAGAUACUGCAGUCACCAACGUUUGCUCGAGAAAAAUACGACGAAUUUUCCGGGAAAUUUUUGCUUUUUCUCUUCAAACUUAAAGUUUGGGGGCAGAAAUGUUAAAGGUUUAAAGGUGGGUACAAUUAUUCUUCUUUUUGUUAUUUACGCAUUGCCUUCCAUUCACAUUAGUCGGUCUUCAAUUAAUUUUAGAUAAGGAGAUGAAACUACCAUAAAAUUAACUCCAAGUGAGGGACUACUGAAGCAGCCAUAUAUUUCCACGCGCAUUUUAUUCAAUUAAUUUACUUAUGAUCACAUCCCACAUCAUAUUAUUAUUGUAUCAACUUGCACGGCCGUAACAAUUAACAGAAAUUUUCAUUAAAAUUAUUACAUUAAUUUUUAAAUAGAAAUAAGAAAAAAAUUCUUAAUAGUGAAAAAACAUAAGAUGAAAUCGUGUGUCGUUUGUCACGAGUCAAACUUUUGAGAAAAAUACACGAAUGAAUGUGGCGCGUAAAAGGUGUUGAUGUACUAUCAACAUUUUCAUUUUAUUUUUAUUUUUCUUGAACUUUCAUAUUUUUUUUAUAAGCUGUCAUCAAUUAUUUGGGUCUUCCUAAGCUACAACUCAUGUAAUUUGAUUUUUACAUGUUUCGCAUGAGUUGUAAAUUACAUAUUUUUACAUGUUUUGCAUGGAUUGUAAAUUAUAUGAAUUGUAAAUUAGCAAAACCCUUAUCACGAAACUUAAGUCUCAGGAAGAUUCCCACUUCCAAGCAUAAUGUGUUCUUGAUUUCAUCUCGUCGAAAUUUCGAAGUUGGUAACUGCUUUUGGUAAUUAUAUCUUCAUCACUUGCAAUCUUUUAUUGCUUUUCCAAGUUAAUUUUUAGGGUAAGUAUCAUAAACCUCUGCUAGAUUUGAUUUAUUCACAGUUUCAUAGAUUGUAUUCGUAUAUUCUCAAAUACCUCCCUUAACGUUAGUAUAAUGUUUCUUUGAUUGUUUGUUGCACAAUAAAUGAUCAAAAUACUCCAGCAAAAAUUAUUUUAUACUGAAAAUAAAUAAUUCUGUACCAACAUGUUUGAUUUGGCGCCAAGGGAUGUAAAUAUAAAUAAAAUACCAAAUCACCCCCCACUACUUUUUAAAAUGACUUUGAUGGAUGAAACAAACAAAAGAUUUGACUUAUGUCAAAUAUCAGCGAAUUCGAAAGGAAGCUUUUUUGCACUUUGCCUCAUUGCUCUGCUUUCUACAUCAAAUUUCUUUAAUCUUGGUGAAGAUUUUGGUGUCCCGAUUUGUGUCUCUCUCUCUAAUUUUCUAUUUUUCAUUUCAUGAGCACAUCUUCCCUUAAAAUUGUAGAGAUACUAUAUGAAAUCACCAAACCCUGAAAAUAUUAUAUUAGAGAAAAAAAAACAAUUAUAACUUAAACAAUAUUUGUAAUCAGCAUUUGCACUUUCAUUCAUGGUUAAUUUCUUUUAUACAUAACGAAAGCUUGAUUAGGGAGAGAGAAUUUUAGUCGAUCCCAAAAGAUAUUCAUAAGAAAAAAAAUUAUUGGUUAAAUUCAAGCCUUGAGCAAUAAUAAAUUUUUGGCCAAAUCGAAAUAUAUAACAACUUCAUGCAAUUUUAAUUCAGUUGAAUAAUAAAUGGGUUUUCAUGAUCACGUAUAAAUUUUCUCGCGCAAUCAAUUAUCUCGUCGCAGUCAGCUUUCUAGUAUCCAUUCUGCAUUCAACUAACCUAUCCUGUUCUAUCUCUUCAAUUAAUUUAUUUCGUGAGCUUUGUCAAACUAAUCAAAUUCAUUAAUGGAGCAAAACCGUGAAGGAUUAUUUUUCAAACUUUUGAAGAAAAUAAACAUGUUAGCAACCAGUCAGGGGCAUGAAAAUGGUUGUGCAUAUAUAUCUUUGUUGACAAUUCCUCUUUGAAAUUAAUUGUCUUUUAUAUUAUCUAUCGAAAUGUAACAUAUCUGAUCGCAUGGAUUAAUUUAGAGGAUACAUAAUUUCAAUGAAAGACUACUAAUCGAGGGCAAUUUCGAUUCUGAUUGAAUGGUAGAUGUAUAUAUGAGCAUCAUUCUAAUCAUUAAAUUGAUAAAAUUAGGAAGUUAACUUCGAUCCAACAAUUAACUUUAAUGGAGCAGCAGGGAAUUGUUUUGUUUAUGUUAGAGUUAUUUUAUUAAUAAAAAAUUGGGUUAUUAUUAUUUCACUACUUCAAAAAUUGUGAAAUAUCAAAUGACUACAACAAGUAUUGUCUCUUAUCAUUUUUCUAUCAUAUCUGUAUAAAAUUAUCAUUUAACUACUUUUUUAUUAUAACCAUUAGUUGACCAGUUAAUUGACUAGUUAAUUGUUGAAUAAUUUUAACCAUUAGUUUAUAAAAUUAUCAAAAUUUUCUGGUCAAAAUCUUUGAACACUGUAGUUAAUUGAAUGAAACACGUCGCAUUUUCUGGGAAAUAUUUUAGCUUUUUGUCAUUGCCUCACAUUAGUCGGUCUUCAGUGGUAGUGAAGCAUCCAUAUCUCUUACGUGCAUUUCAUUCAAUUAAUUAAUUAUCAUCACAUCCCACAUUAUUGUUUCACCUUGCACCGUCCGAAUAACUAACAAGAAUCUUUAUUGAAAUUAUUGUGCCACUUUUAGAAAAGAGAUAGGGAAAAAGUUGAAUUCACAAGUCCAACUUUAAAAAGGCAGAAAAAAAAAAAAGGACUGGAGUAGAUGUCACAGGUAUUAAAUGCAUUGAUGAGGUUUCAACAUUUUUUAAAAAUAUUUUUAUAUAAUUUUUUACCAAAGUUCAAAUAACUAUUUUCAAUUAGUUUUAAAGUAAUAUAUAUAAGAUGAUGAUGAUAAUACGGGAUCAACAUCAACAUAAAAUUCAUUGGUGCUCCAUCAACAUUGAUUUUCCCAUCUCUUCAGUAAAUGUUUUACAUAUUUAUUUUGCAUCUAAUUUAAUAUUAUUGAAAGUUAAUAGACGUGAUUAGUAAUAAAUAGAAGACUAAAAAUAUUUAAAGAAAUAGAGCUAAGCGUGCUGCGUGCAUGAAAUUGCAUCUAUACUUUACCAAAGGGAAAAAAAAUUGCCACGCAACAGCGUGGAAGGUUCAGAGAAAAUAUUUGUUAGCGUUUUCUUUUUGUUAAAUAUAAUUGGUUGAAUUUUUUAUUUUUUAUUUUUUUAAAAUAGAAAACUAUAUUACAAAACUUCCCGGUAGGUUCCAAGGAACUAUCUAAUAAAGCAUCUUUAUAUAACCUCCAUAGACACAGCCGCAUUAAAUUAUUUUCACAUCCCAAAUUUUCACAUCUGAUCAAUUUUCUCAUCACUGAACUGUUAUGGCUUCUUCUUCUUCUUGUCCACCUCGAAACGCUAAGAAGAUGUAUGAUGUUUUUCUGAGUUUCAGAGGAGAGGACACCCGUGACAACUUUACUAGCAUUCUUCACUAUGUUUUGUCUCUGAAAAGUAUCAAAACUUUCAUUGAUGACCAACUUAUCAGAGGAGAGAACAUUUCACAUUCUCUUCUUGAUACAAUUGAAGCAUCGAGCAUUUCAAUUAUCAUUUUCUCAGAAAGGUAUGCUUCUUCUAGAUGGUGUCUCGAUGAACUUUUGAAGAUCCUCGAAUGCAAGCACGAAUAUGGACAGAUUGUGAUUCCAGUUUUCUAUCACGUUGAACCAUCACAUGUGAGAUCGCAAAGCCAGGAUUCUUCUUUUGGGAAGUAUUUUAGUGGGCUUGAAACACGUUAUCCAGAGAAGAUGCAAAGAUGGAAGAAUGCUUUGACCGAAGCAGCCAAUCUCUCUGGCUUUGAUUCUAAUGUCAUUAGGUACGAUAAUUUUCUGUCUAAUUCUUAGUAUUAAUCUAGUACAAGUAAUAAUAUAUAACAUUAACUAUGACUAUGUGUUUAAAUAUUUAUCAAUAAUAUAUCAAUUAAAUCGUUCUUAAUUAUAAGGAUUAGGUUAUUUUCUUGCACAUUUGAAUAAGUUUCCAAUUAAAUAGCUAUUUGAUGAAAUUGAUCUUCACAUUCUAUUAAUUAGCCAUUUUAUAUUGCAACUAAUUAAAAACACACGAUUCUCUGUCUCGUUUACAUAUAUUUGAACUAAUUGCUGUUAUUUUUUUAACUAGGCCUGAAUCUAAACUUAUUGAGGAAAUUGCCAAUGAAGUUUUGAAGGGGCUAGAUGAAACUUUUCAAAGUGAUAACAAAGACUUGGUUGGAGUUGAAUGCCCCAUUGAAGAAAUCGAAUCAUUAUUACACAUUGAGUCUGAGGGUGUUUACAAACUAGGGAUUUGGGGCAUCGGUGGUAUAGGCAAGACAACAAUCGCUGAUGCUGUUUUUAACAAAAUCUCUAGACAUUUUGAAGGUUCUUACUUUGCGCAAAAUGUUAGAGAAGCAGAAGAAACUGGCGGAAUGAAGGACUUACAGAAGGAACUUCUGUCCAAGUUAUUGAAUGAUAGAAAUGUGAGGAACAUCGAGUCUCAACUCAACAGACUUGCUCGCAAGAAGGUUCUAAUUGUUUUUGAUGAUGUGACUCAUCCAAGACAAAUAGAAUCAUUAAUUAGACGCCUUGAUCGGUUAGCUUCAGGGAGUCGAGUGAUAAUAACAACAAGGGAUAAACAAGUUCUUAAAAAUUGUCGGGCCAGGCAAAUAUAUCGGAUGAAGGAAUUAGAAGAUGCUGAUGCUCAUAAGCUAUUCUGUCAGUGUGCUUUUGGAGGAGACCAUCCAGAUACAAGUCAUACAGAGCUCAUAGACAAGGCAAUCAAAUAUGCGCAGGGGGUUCCUUUAGCUCUUAAAGUUUUGGGUCGCCAUCUAUGCGGAAGGAGCAAAGAGGAAUGGGAAAGUGCAAUGAGAAAACUGGAAGUAAUUCCUGACAAGGAAAUCCAGAAGGUAUUAAAAAUAAGUUAUGAUAGCUUGGAUGACUCUCAGAAGAAUAUUUUUCUAGAUAUUGCAUGUUUCUUGGAAGCUCCGCAUAGAGACUAUGUGAUAAGCUUUUUUGAUGCCUGUGGCUUCGAAGCUAAAAUAGAGUUAAGUGUUCUUGAAGGUAAGUCUCUCAUAAAUUUAGACUUAUCUGACCGGAUAAGAAUGCAUGACUUGAUACGAGAUAUGGGAAGAGAAAUUGUUCGAAAUGAAUCUAUCGAUCAUCCAGGAGAGCGCAGUAGGUUGUGGUAUCACGAGGAUAUUUAUAAAGUUUUGAAGAACAAUACGGUGAGGAAUAAUAAGUUUUUAAUUGUAUCUUAUUUGUGUUACAUUUAUAUUAGCAAUUGGUCGAAUAUGUCUUUUUGAAUAAGAAUAGCAUUAAUACAGCUUAAAAUUAAUUGAAAAAUAAUAUUAGAAAAUUGGUAAAAUAAAAUAGAUAGAUCCGAUGUUUCCCCAACUCAGUUUGAAACAUGCCUCUAAAAUCCCCAGCAAACUAGCGCCUUCGGAGAGAGACCCACAAAAAAAAAAACACCUCAAUCUUAUAGCAUUUCCUUUUCAACUCAAGCUAUGCCCCUAUCCUUAUUUUUCACUAAAAAAAAAAAUUGAUUGAAUUAAUUUUACAGUUUACAUAUUAAGCAUUUUCUUGAAUUUUCUAUUUUACACUUCCUAAAAGCCUUACCCAAAUAGUUUAUUAUAAAGUGAGUGUAAUAUCUCUCUUUUGGUUUGACGGCUUAAAAAUAAUUGUUUAUUUGUUUGCUUUAAUUAUAUACCAACUUAUGAUCUCCUAUUUGAUUGUUAGGGAACUGAAGCACUCAAGGGUAUCUCCUUGGAUAUGAAUAAAGUCAAUGGAGAGAUACACAUGAAUUCCAAUGCUUUCUCAAGGAUGCCUAAAUUGAGAUUCUUGAGAUUUUAUGGAGAUAAGAACAAAUGUAUCAAGGGUAUCUCCUCGGAUAUGAAUAAAGUCAAUAGAGAGAUAUACAUGUCUCAUUUGGAGGGUGUGCCGUUUGCUGAAGUGAGGCACCUCGAGUGGCCUCAAUGUCCUUUGAAAACGUUGAAUAUAUGUGCGGAGAAACUUGUUUCACUUAAAAUGCCUCGCAGCAAAGUCCAACAACUUUGGGAUGAUGUUCAGGUAUAUAUUUAUUCAAAAUUCUUUCGGUAAUAAAUUCUAAAUACAAUUGAUGAUAUAAUUAAUAUAUGUUAUGGUAUCUGUUUAUUCAUAAAGAUGAUGAUGAUGAUGAUGAUAAUAAUAAUAAUAAUAAUAAUUUUUGGGGGGGCGCAGGAUCUUGUUAACUUAAAAGAAAUAGACCUCUCUGGAUCCAAGUCGUUAACGAAACUCCCAGACUUGUCACAGGCCGAAAAUCUUGAGUUUCUGAUAUUAGGCGGCUGUUUAAGUUUGAUGGAGACUCACUCAUCUAUUCAAUAUCUAAAUAAACUUGAAAUUCUUUCUCUAGAAAAGUGCAAAAGCCUGAGGAGUCUUCCAACUAGCAUUCAUUCGAAAUAUCUCCUGAUACUUGAUAUUUCGGAUUGUUCAAAUUUGAAAAACUUCCCAGAGAUCACAUCUUGUCAUAUGUGGAGUUUAGAGUUAACAGAAGUUGGAAUCAAAGAACUGCCCUCAUCCAUCGAGGGCCUAUCCAAUCUGAAAGAACUACAUAUUAAGGACUGUUCAGAGCUUGAGAGCAUCUCGAGUAGCAUAUUUAAGUUGAAGUCUCUUGGAUCUAUUGAAAUCUCUAAUUGUUCAAAUUUGAAGAGGUUUCUAGAGAUCCCGUCUUGUAAUAUGGAUGGAGGUACUGGAAUUGAGCAACUAGCCUCAUGUAAGUUGGUACUGGAAAAAUGUUCAAGUCUUGAGAGUCUCCCUAGCAGCCUGUUUAAGUUCGCAUGUAUUUUAGAGUUAACAGAAUUGGAAUCAAAGAACUGCCCUCAUCCAUCGAGUGCCUAUCCAAUCUGAAAGAACUAUAUAUUAAGGACUGUUCAGAGCUUGAGAGCAUCUCGAGUAGCAUAUUUAAGUUGAAGUCUCUUGAAUCUAUUGGAAUCUCUAAUUGUUCAAAGUUGAAGAGGUUUCUAGAGAUCCCGUCUUGUAAUAUAGAUGGAGGUACUGGAAUUGAGCAACUAGCCUUAUGUAAGUUGGUACUGGAAACAUGUUCAAGUCUUGAGAGUCUCCCUAGUAGCCUAUGUAUGUUCAAAUCUCUGACAUCUCUUGAAAUCGUUGACUGCCAAAAUUUCAAGAGAUUGCCUGAUGAACUUGGAAAUUUAGAAGCCUUGGAGGCGCUGACAGUUAAUGGAACAGCUAUAAGAGAAGUACCAGAAAGCCUUGGUCAGUUAUCCUCACUAGAAAAUUUGGUACUAGCUAAUAACAAUUUGGAGAGAUUACCAGAAAGCCUCAGUCAAUUAUCCUCACUAGAGUAUUUGCACCUAUCCGGAAACAGUUUGGAGGGAAUACUAGAAUACCUGAGGAGUCUUCAAAGUAAGUUGACAUCACUCAAAGUUUUAUCUGUUGAGUUUAGAAAUUGUUUGAAAUUGGACCCGAAGGAGCUCAUUGAAAUCGCCAAAGAUGAGUGGAUGAAGCAGGUGUGUCUCUUAACUCACUCCUUUCAUUCUAUUUUCUUUUUCUUUUUUCUUUAAUUAUUUUUCAUAAAUUACUAAUUUUUUAUUUUUGUGUUGCAGUCGUUUCAUGGUAACAUCAAUAGCGCUAGAAGUAUUUAUUUCCGUGGGAAUGAAAUUCCAAAGUGGUUUAGGAAUCAAAGCAUGAGGAUCUUCUGUAACCGUGAAGACGCCGCCAGCAGAUUUCCUCAAUACAACCUCAGAGUACUUUGAGCAUCAAAUCCCAAGGAAAUCUCGACCUGGGAAUUAUGGCGUGUACUGUCAGUGGGAACACAAAUCCCAAAGAAAUAUCUUCCGUCGGUUUUUGCGGAGAAUUAGUUAUGUUGAGUCAGAUCACGUGUUUUUGGGAUCCUAUUUAUUGGGUUAUGAGGAUUUAAGUAAGAGAGACGAUAGUGAAGUCUAUUUCUACAUUCGGCCUCUUGAUUUUGAUGAAGAGGGUGAAGUGAAACAAUGUGGGAUUCAAUGUUAUCGAAUUAAUAAUUCAUUUAACUCAAAGAUUCUACGGAUGAAGAGGAAGAGGAAGGAUGAAGAGGAACCACACACCAAAAGACUGAAAUGUUCUUCAACUCCAAAGCAGCUGGUAUUCCUUGUUACGAAAAUCAAUCUGUAGACCUUGUUUUUGUCUUCAUUUUAUAUAUGCGUUGUUGAUGCGAGAUUUUGGUUAUCCCUCGAUCACGACCAGGAUCUCUGCUCAACCAACUCUACUACGAUCAGUAUUUCUCCUUGUAUGACUUCCUCCAAAGGUUCUUGCGUACACAGAAAAAGGUCAGAGCACGCCGGUUGUUUUCCCAGUGUAAACCCUCCGACGCUCAAGUCAGAAAUGAAGGUUUCUCGUUCCCGGGAAUGUUGGCCAGUAAUCUUAUGGCUUCCUUUUUUGGUACUGAUUAGCCAGUACUCUUUUUUAUCUCAGUUUCAAUGUCCAAAAUUCUAACCCUUUUACCUUCGUUGGCUACUUUUUUAUAGACCUCUCCUGAAUUUAGACCUUCCCUCCAUUCACGCUCGUUAUCCUCCCACCUCUCGAAAGUGGAUGCUGCAUUUCUGUGAUCGUGGGUGGUUGUGUGGCCUUCGUGCCUUGAUUCUCGGAUUGGAGAGCACGUCUUGCCAACCGUCGUUGACUGGGUCUCCUCGACUCAACCCUUAGCAAGAAUGGCUUUAUACCUCCAACAGGAAAUCGGCCUCGCGGAUGAGAUAUUCGUGGACGAGCAUAAUAUUCCUGCUCCUGCUCUCUUGCUACUAGACUCUACUACAAGAUAUACCUGCUCGCGGGACCCUGCUACCAGAUGUCUGCUCAUCAUUGUUAGUCCUCGCCGGAGUACAUCCCCCAAACAUGCAUUUUUUCAAUAUGUUCGUUUAUGUAAUAUUUAUUAAUUGUUUGUUGUGGAUGGAUGAAUCAAUAAAUUCAAAAUAAAUGGCAAUUAACCGAGGAUGUAGAACUAUGAGUUCUCUUUUUUUUGUGUUUCAUUUCCAUUCGGGUCAUGUCUGGAAUAUCCCAAAAAUUACUUAUCCAUUUACUAACUAAGAAUGCGCUGAUUAGAUUAAGAUUAUUUUAGUUAUUCUUACUUUUUCAGUUUUCAAACUUAAUAAGAAUAAAAUCGUUUUAUUAAGUUUUGAGAUUUGAAUUUAAAAGAAAAUACAAAUUUACGCUCGAGGAUUAAAUUUACCGUAUUUAAAAUUAAAUUAAUUACUCUCGAGGAUCCUAUUAGUAGUGAUCUCAGCAAGGCAGUAAAGUACCUGUUUAACUUGUGAUAAAUUACAGGCUCUGUUUAACAUAUAAAAAUACCAAAUUUUAAAUAUUACAAACAAUAACAAACAGAAUGCAGCUCCUAAUCGGUUAUUUGUUUUAGUAAAUAAACUUCACCGUUCCGUUUCAAGUUUCCACAGUCAGUUCCAUCGAUCAUAUGCUGAAGCUACGGUGGAAUGAUAGAUCUUCUUUUAGUUUCCUGCACAUCGAAACUCUCUAAUUGGUGUGUUGUUUUUUCGUGAAAUUUCUAAUAUCUAUUAAUAAUUUCUUAAUGUUACUGAGAAGUUAGUAAAUCAUGGGAUGAGAGCCGAAGACUUUUUGGCUGAUCUAACUCCUAUUACAAUCAAGUUGGUAACUGCAUUUGGUAAUUACAUCUUCAGUACUUGCAAUCUCUUAUCGCCUUUCCAAGUUGAUUUUAGUUAUUUGUCCUUGAUAUUCUAAGUGCAUGGACUUGAUGGAAGGGUCAGGUUCUGUGGUGGUGUUAGAAUUGCUAGAAAACUUGUUGUAUAGGUUGUCAUGAUAUUCUCAUGUGCCAUAUAAAUCAUCAUUGUUUUGCAAGUGCUCUAUGGCAUUCUUUACUGGAUAGGCUAGCCAGGGUGCCUUAGAGGCAAAAGUCAAGACGGAAAUGACAUAUAUCUAAAGCUUCAGACAAGCACAGGUUGGUCAUUUUAUCAUUUAUAAGUCUUCUAUCUCUUUUAACUUAGUCUAACAUCUUGUUGAACCCAAGCAAGAUUCAUUUCACAGAGGCUUAAUGUCAUGACCCAACCCAGACCUGGCAAGAUAUUGUCCGCUUUAGGCCUUAACAAGGCCCGCACGGAUUUGUUCUUGGGGUGCCCAUACACCCCAAAACGCGUCUUGCCAAUUAAGGUGUGGAUCACUCCUUAUAAACCCAGCAUCUCUCCCGUGCUUUGCCGAUGUGGGAUUCGCCUAGGGUGUUACAUACACCCCCCCUUGGGGACUCAGCGUCCUCGCUGAGGUUUGCCCCACCAUCGCUCAAGAGGACACGCGGAGCCGCUCUGAUACCAUAAUGUCAUGACCCAACCCAGACCUGGCAAGAUAUUGUCCGCUUUGGUCCUUAACAAGGCCCGCACGGAUUUGUUCUUGGGGUGCCCAUACACCCCAAAACGCGUCUUGCCAAUUAAGGUGUGGAUCACUCCUUAUAAACCCAGCAUCUCUCCCGUGCUUUGCCGAUGUGGGAUUCGCCUAGGGUGUUACAUACACCCCCCCUUGGGGACUCAGCGUCCUCGCUGAGGUUUGCCCCACCAUCGCUCAAGAGGACACGCGGAGCCGCUCUGAUACCAUAAUGUCAUGACCCAACCCAGACCUGGCAAGAUAUUGUCCGCUUUAGGCCUUAACAAGGCCCGCACGGAUUUGUUCUUGGGGUGCCCAUACACCCCAAAACGCGUCUUGCCAAUUAAGGUGUGGAUCACUCCUUAUAAACCCAGCAUCUCUCCCGUGCUUUGCCGAUGUGGGAUUCGCCUAGGGUGUUACAUACACCCCCCCUUGGGGACUCAGCGUCCUCGCUGAGGUUUGCCCCACCAUCGCUCAAGAGGACACGCGGAGCCGCUCUGAUACCAUAAUGUCAUGACCCAACCCAGACCUGGCAAGAUAUUGUCCGCUUUGGGCCUUAACAAGGCCCGCACGGAUUUGUUCUUGGGGCGCUUAUACACCCCAAAACGCGUCUUGCCAAUUAAGGUGUGGAUCACUCCUUAUAAACCCAGCAUCUCUCCCGUGCUUUGCCGAUGUGGGAUUCGCCUAGGGUGUUACAUACACCCCCCCUUGGGGACUCAGCGUCCUCGCUGAGGUUUGCCCCACCAUCGCUCAAGAGGACACGCGGAGCCGCUCUGAUACCAUAAUGUCAUGACCCAACCCAGACUUGGCAAGAUAUUGUCCGCUUUGGUCCUUAACAAGGCCCGCACGGAUUUGUUCUUGGGGUGCCCAUACACCCCAAAACGCGUCUUGCCAAUUAAGGUGUGGAUCACUCCUUAUGCCUUUUGGAUUAACUAAUGCUCCUGCAGCGUUCAUGGAUUUGAUGAAUAGGAUCUUCCAACCUUAUCUUGACCAGUUUGUCAUCGUCUUUAUUGAUGACAUAUUGAUUUACUCUAAGAAUAAGGAGGAGCAUGAGACGCACUUGAGGAUUGUAUUAGAAACAUUGCGGGAGAAGAAGUUGUAUGGAAAAUUUAAGAAAUGUGAGUUUUGGCUUGAUCGUGUGAUGUUUUUGGGACAUAUAGUGACGAAGGAUGGUAUUUCAGCAGAUCCAGCCAAAUUGGAGGUAUUUCAGUUUGAAGCUUAUGAGUAAAGAUUAUGAUUUGUGAGUAACCUCCUUCUUCACGUGCUUCGCACGUGUUAGAUUUGGGGUGUUACAAUUGUGGUAUUGUUCUUGGGGUGCCCAUACACCCCAAAACGCGUCUUGCCAAUUAAGGUGUGGAUCACUCCUUAUAAACCCAGCAUCUCUCCCGUGCUUUGCCGAUGUGGGAUUCGCCUAGGGUGUUACAAGACAUCUAUUGGGAUCUUACUUUUGUUGAUGAGAGGGUCUGAAACAGCUGGUGCAAUAAGUAAAAUUGAUUUUAUGUAGACUAGAAAGCUCUGCCCGCUGUGAAGGCUUUCCUGUUAAAUGAAGAUUGUGAAGGCUUUCCUCUAUUGGGAUCUUACUUUCCUGUGCAAUAAGUAAAAUUGAUUUUAUGUAAAAUUGAACCUUAGAGAACAGAUUUUUAUUAAUUUUUAAUAGAUAAUAAUCAUAUUAAAUGGAAUUAGACUGUCGAAAAUUGUGAAAUACUGCUUCCUUUUGGCCAUCCUUCGCACUGUUGUUCCUAGCAGACUAGGCCACCUGGGACCCUGCACUGGCAAUCAAGGCUGCUUGACCCUAAGAUGAUCCUAGUGACCUCAAACUUCUGCAGACUUGGAUUUUCCUCUUAUGUUAUCUUGAGCCAGAGGCUUGACUUUUUAUAUGGUUCAAAAAUUGAUUAGGAACUUUGAUAAGUGCUGUAUGAAGGGCAGCUGAUAUUGAUGAUUCUAUAGCUAAGGUUCUGUUUGAAUUUUAGAGAACGUCCUGGACCAUAAUGCAGUUCGUUGUGAGCUGUCAGUGUUCUUUGUCUAUAAAUGACAAAAUAGGAAGUAGAAUACCUGCUGAAGAGGUGGGGUUUAUAUUGCUAUGCCCUAAGCCAUUGUCCUUUGUUGAGUAAAGACAUUCUUCAUGUGUUUGAACCUUCUUCUUUUCUGACACUGAAUUCUCUUGUUCUAAUCUUCAGCUUGUUAGCCAUCAAAAAGGUAAUAUGGGAAGGCUAAGCAAUAGGUUGGGAAUGUGGAUGUUUGAUCAGGCGCUCAUGAUGGAUGAUAUUUCACGCUUUUUAAAUUGAAACUUGUCUCUUACUCAUGUCUUGAAAUUUUGUUUGAAACCUUUAAGAACAGGAUUCUGUAUUGCUUAAGAUUUUUAAUGAGUAGAAACUUUGAAUUAUGAGGGAGGAGGAGUUUCCACCUUGUGAGUCAUCUAUCAUAUCAAGGGUUUUUUCUUUAAUUUCUACACGGGUAAAAUAAUCACAUGACAACAUGAACAUUGGUGUGUUUUGAGGUUUUUAAUAAGUUCUUAGCUAGUAUCUUAUUUAUUCAAUCAUUUACGGAAUGCAAUGCCAAUAAGAAAUUCAAGUAACCAUCAUUGAAUUGGAAUUGACAGGUUUGGCCGCCAAAUAUUUGCUUAAUUUAUUGUUAACAUAUUGUUAUGAGCUCGCGCUGAGAGGAAAAAGGAAAAAGUUGCAUAUUGUUAGCAUGCCUCAGAAAUUCAGAAUAAUGUCUAAGUGCAGUUGAUAACCCUUGAAUUAUAACUUUUAGCAUGAGAGAUAUUUUAUGAGCAUAAUUUCCAUCUUAUCAUUUAAAAAAAAAAAAAGGAUGCUCCAAUUUUGAGGGCUCUUGUAGGUUAGCUUCAUGAAGCAUAUCAUCUUGUAGAAUAUCUGCGGUUUGAGUAUUUUAUAGAAUGACUUUGGGAUGGGGAUGAACUGGCAUUGUUGUCAAGGUAAAAUUUAUACUUGGAAAUUUGGCAGUCUGAAAUCAUGUUGGCUCAGUUCUCUUCAAAAUUGCUAUAUUGCAUGCAGCUAUAUAAAGCUUUUGUAAUCUGCUGUUAUAAUCAUGCUGAAUUUUAAUCACUACAGGGACUGAGCUCCCUGUAUGUGCUGUGGAUUACAGUUGCUUGAUUCAUUUAAUGGCACGGUGUUUUGCAUAUGGUUUAUUAACUUUUUUGGUGCCUUAUCUAAUGGUUUUUUUUUUUUGGGUCUUGAUUUUGCAGCACCACCAUUGAAAUUAAUUGACUUGCCUGGAUUGGAUCAACGAAUAAUGGACGAUUCAUUGGUGAGGGCUUGUUUAAUUUUUUUAGACCUUGAUGCUCUAAAUAUUCAUGUGUCCCAUUAUAUAUUUAUUUGAUAGAUGUUAUUUGCUUGUGUUUUCAAUGGUGGAAAGAUGUGGUCUGUUCUUUGCAUGUGAAUUAUGGUUGGUAACUUAUAAGUUAGUAACAAUAAUUUUGUGAUGUCCCUCAUAGGUUAGUGAAUAUGCCGAGUACAAUGAUGCUAUUUUACUAGUAAUUAUUCCUGCUGCCCAAGCGCCUGAAAUUGCUUCAUCUCGAGCUCUUAGAGUUGCCAAGGAGUAUGACGGAGAUGGUAAUAUGCUUAGACAUUUUUAUACCUCUAAUUUUGCUGUUAAAUUUUUUGAUUUGUAAAUCAAAAGAUAUGCUAUUUAUGAUUUUCAUAAUCUUUGGCACACUAGUACAUUUUUUGGUGCAUCCUUUGAAGUUGCAGGAAUGUAACUCUGCCUUCUCCUUCCUAUUGCUAUCAUUACUGUUUCCUUGUUAAUUCUUUAUCUCGCUAAUUUGGGAGCUUAUUUUGUUAACGUCAGGAACCAGAACUGUUGGUGUAAUAAGGAAAAUAGAUCAAGCUUCUGCAGACCAAAAAGCUCUUGCUGCUGUGCAGGCUCUCCUGUUAAAUCAAGGUCCACCAAAAACAGCUGACAUUCCGUGGGUUGCAUUAAUUGGUCAAUCGGUAUCAAUAGCUACUGCUCAGUCUGGAUCUGAGAGCUCCUUAGAAACUGCUUGGAGGGCAGAAAGUGAGUCUCUUAAGUCUAUAUUGACUGGUGCUCCUCAGAGUAAGUUAGGCAGAAUAGCAUUGGUGGAUGCUUUGGCUCAGCAGAUCCGCAAGCGUAUGAAAGUCCGGUUGUUAAACCUUCUCUCUGGGUAUUAAAUGAUUUCCACAUGCUGCACGAAAAGUUUCAAUUUUACGCAUGUUUUAGUUUAUCUUUGGAAAGUUGUAUUCUUUUUUCUUUUUUUUUUUUUGACACAUGAAAAUGAUUUUCUUGAACACACUUAGAUCCUUGGAACUUGUUUUACUGUCACAAAUGGAUUGUGAGAACUUGGCAAUAGGAAGUUCGAGAUACAUUUAACCAUUAAAAUUUCUCUUCUGCCUGGUAGGCAUGUCAUUACUAAUCAUUGUGCUUGUACUUGUCCUCGAUGGUUAGAAGAUGACGAUUAUUAUUGUUGUUAUUAUUAUUAUUAUUUUAACUUCUAUCACCCCUAUAACUCUGUCUUGCACUUUGCAUUGUAGUUAAUAAACGCAGUUCAGUGGGAGUUAAAAUUGAAAAUAAAGAUAUCUUAAUUCAUAUAAUUAAUUAUUCCUCGACCCUUUUUCAUGACCCAGCUUAAUGAGUAAAUAUGUAUUCAGUUUUUCCUUUAUGAAGGGUAUGAGUACUUCUUCCAGUUAAGGUAACUCCUUUAUUACGUAUACCUGUGCAGGUUACAAGGAAAGUCUCAAAUAGUUCAGGAUGAGUUAGCGUGGCUUGGUGAGCAGAUGGUCCAGAGUGCUGAGGGCAGGAGAUCUUUGGCUUUGGAGCUUUGUCGUGAAUUUGAGGGUCAGUUUCUGCAACACAUUACAACUGGUGAGGUGACUUAUUUUUGUUUUUGUGCUUGGUGACUUUCAUGUAGCAUAUGUCUUCUUUCUUGGCUUGCUUAUGUUGUUUUGAUUUCUCAAUUUGUUUUUCAGUAAUAGUGUAUAUUACCAUGUACAAGAAAAAGCUUUAUAUAGAAAUUUGAAGGAGGAAAUCUAAGACAUAGAUGAGGGGAAUAUGUUACUUUUUUUGAUAAGAGACGGGAUUGUGAUACUAUCACCUCUGGAAUUGAAGCCUUCUAUAAAAUUAGAUGGAAGUGAGCUCCAUUACUUGUAUCAAUUUGUAAUCCCUCUCAUUGUAGAAGUUUACCUGGUUCUUGGACCUCUAAUGAGAAGCUUCUUAAUGUAUAACGUGGAUACUGCUUCUACCUAAUGGAAUGUGUGAAGCUGGCAGGGACUAGGGGUCUUUUGUAGGAGAAACGAUUUUUUCAAACCUAUUCAAGUGCUUAGAGGUAGUGCUUGUUUUUACUAGGUCAGCUGAGGAGGGGUUGAUGUCUGCUUUGCGGUCAUUGUAACCUUAUUAGUUCCAGGUAGCUCCUUUAAAGUUGUUUUUGCUCUCUAACGCUUUUUCGGUUGACGAGUGUGUCUGGUCAUGGAAAUGUAGGGGCUGGAUUCCAAGUGUUGGAAGUUCAUAUGGUAGUAUGAGGAUGCCCCUUUUCCAAAUUUGGUUAGCUAAAAUGGAUCUAAUUGGUACUUCAUGCUUGUUCUGUUCCUUUGGUCUUUUAUUAUUUUUUCCCUUUUUCUUACUUAUAAGUUUCAGGCCAUGUCUAAUUGAUAAAUCUCUAAGUAUCAGUACUUCUUCUGGUUAAAAUAGUUAAUGUAUCCAAACUUUGUUUAGUGUCCUGCUCUCUGUUUUUAUUGGCUAGUGAUUUUGGUCGUGCUUUUUUGAGUGGCCUAUGGUAUUUUCCUCCGUCACUACCUGAAAAGUAGAGGAUACUGAUUUUUUGAGAUAUCAGUUGUCAUAACAUUAUGUCGAUGCAGGGUUCUGGUUGGAAAAUUGUUGCCAGUUUUGAGGGGAAUUUCCCGAAAAGGAUCAAACAGCUUCCUUUGGACAGACAUUUUGAUAUUAAUAAUGUCAAGAGGGUAUGUUGGUGCUCUACUGCUUAUAUCUAUUGUGUUCCUGUUGCUUUAAUCUAAUUUUUUAGAUUUUGCAUUUGCAUUGAUCUUCUCAUAUUCAUUUCUUAUCAGAUUGUGUCAGAAGCGGAUGGCUAUCAACCAUAUCUAAUAUCCCCUGAUAAGGGUUUGAGAUCUUUGAUCAAAGGUGUCCUGGAGCUUGCAAAAGAACCCUCUCAUCUUUGUGUUGAUGAGGUAAUGGAACCAUGUAUAUAAAGAUUUUACCCUUUUUCUCUUUUUAUGAUGUUGAAUGUUAAAUUUUUUGUUUUGGCCUUAACAUGUGGUUCCUUCAUAGUAUUGUUAGUCAAUAGUAUGCUCUCUGUUGGAUGCAUGAUAUGGACAUCCAAAUGAUACACUUUUUAAUAUUUUUCCGAGGCACUACAUUUUAUGUUCUUUUUGUUCCUCAAGAACAUGCUUAACUAAUGACAAGUACUUCAGGUUCAAUAAGAAGGAUUUGUCAACUUUUAUUUGACUUAAGAGGUCAGAUAUUCUUAAAAUUUGUUUUUCUAGAAUAGGUACAUCAGGUCAUUUGAUGUCUUUUACCCAAUUUUCUUUAUGGAUGGCAGUGAAAAUCUGAAGCAAUUAUUGUUUCUGCUGACUGAUAGAGUUCCUGGCUGACUGGUAAAACAGGUACACCGUGUUCUGGUGCUGCAAAUGCUACACCAGGCCUGGGAAGAUAUCCUCCUUUCAAGAGAGAGGUAUGGCUGCUUUUGAUUAUGUGUCACAAUAGCUUUUCUGCAUUUGUACAUGAUUAGACCUAUAUGUGGUUCAAAUUUCCUUUUCCGUGUGGCAAUAGUUGAAUGGUUUGAAACUUUUACAAGGUUGUGGCCAUUGCAAGUGCUGCCUUAGAUGGGUUUAAGAAUGAAGCAAGAAAGAUGGUGGGUGCACUAGUUGACAUGGAGAGAGCUUUUGUCCCUCCGCAACAUUUCAUUCGUUUGGUGCAGCGGAGGUGUGAUAUGAUUGAACUUCUUCGAUAUAUUUGAGAUAUGUGCAACAUUGUCUUCCGGAUAUCUGGGUCUGAGUUCUUGUGACGGGAUGGCUUGUCAAUAUUUAUUUCUGGAACAUUUUGCUUAGAAAAUGCUGACAUUACCAACUUUUCUGAAAUUUAUGUCAUAGUCUAUUUCUUCUCUCUCCCCAAUUUUGCAUGAGCUGAGUUUUGAAUGCAUGCAAAUGCAACUCCACGAAUUUAGAAAAUUUGGUAUUUAUUAGUCUCUAAAUACUAUUGUUGGGUAUUUUCCUAUCAACUUAAAGCUAGCAGUUUUGUAUUUGACUUUUGUUGUCAGUCGGGCUAGUGUUUAGAUCCGAUUGUGUUUGUGUGGGUUUGGUUCCAGAUGAUAUCAAAUUCUCUAUGCAUGAAACCAGCAUUUUUUCAGUUUAAACUCAGUUGUUUGGGCCUUUUCUAUUAGUUUAAGCCUUUGGGACCUAUGGUUCCUUAGCAUUACUAUUUUUUUUUUUUUUCUGUAAGUUCUUUCCUGAAAUUCCUGUGCACCAUGCUUAUUGCGUAAUCUAUUUAUUUUGUUAGGAUGGGAAGACAGCGGCGAGAGGAGGAGGUGAAGACGCGAUCUUCGAAGAAACCAAAUGAGGCAGAACAAGAAAUACUGAAGAAGGUACGAUUUCCUUUUCCUAAUGUAAUUGGAGUAUGACAUGAGGAGAAUGGGACAUACUGAGGAGGCACUAGUUCCUUUUAAUUUCUCCUUAAGAAACGCAUUUAAAUCUCUAUUUUAUGUUUUUCCAUAUAUUCUCUUUCAGGCAACCAGUCCUCAAACAGGUGGUCAGCAAACGGGUGGAAGUUUAAAAGCAAUGAAGGAUAAAUCCAGUCAAGCAGUGAAAGAAGCAAAUGAAGCUUCUGCUUUAAAGACUGCAGGCCCUGAAGGAGAAAUAACAGCAGGUUUGUGGAAAAAACUGUCACUGUGUGUACUCAGACGAGCCUAUCAUAUUUCAUCAUAUAUGUGCAUGUAUAAUCUAGUCCCCAAAGGACAAAAGCACCCAAGCACACGGCCCAAAACCUCUGUGUGUACUUAGACGAGCCUCAAAAGCUUGUAUCUCAUCUGUAUCAUCUGUAUCUCAUAUCUGUAUCUCUGUAAUCAUCAUACCGCAUGCAUAUGCCCCCAAAAGGCAGAAACGCCCAAACACACGGCCCAAAGCCUCUAUGUGUGUUCAGACGGGCCUAAAUGCCUCUAUCUCAUCUCAUUUUUAUCACUGUAUCUGGAGGGGAAGGAUACUAUCUAAUUAUUUAAAAAACAAUCAUUAUACUCAUAUUCACAUACCUUUUAACCAUACUUUAAAUCAUACCACAUUUGAAUCCACUUUUCUUGUCUUUAAAAUACUAUAAUGUUUUAUUCAAAAUCGAUACACAAAAUCAUUAAUCAAACAUUUUAAUAAAAUACCAAUGCGUGAAUAAAAUCUAUUUUGAGAAAAUCAUUAAAUUAGAACAUUUAAAACACUUAUUUCGCAAACAUACUUUACUUUCAUAAUUAACUAUGAAAAUAUGUUUUAUAUAUUCCACUCACAGUGACGGUGUUCACGCUCGGUUAUUGUCCACGUCUGCGGAUCAGUACUCGCUCGCGGACCCCCCUAAAUCAAGAAAACGAAAUAAUUAUUUUUCGUAAAUUGAAAUUAGGACUAAAUUUAUGCAAUAAACUCGAAACGAAUAUCUAUCCAUAAUUUACAACUCCUGUAUCGAUAGAAUUACCAAAAUACCCUCGAAUCUGUAAAUCGUUAAAAUACUUCAAAAUCGUAAGUCACCGAAUUACUCUUGGAAUCAUAAUUAUACUCCACUCCUCAAUUUUAGGAAUUAUUAAAAUAUUCAUAGGCUCAUAAACUAUAAAAUUGCCCUCAAAGAGUGAAAUUACCGAAAUGCCCUUGCCGGUCAACGGUCACCGGAAUUUAGUCAACGCUGGCCAAGAAGCUCAAGUCUGAAAGUUCCAAUCACGCUGAAUCUAAUAGUGCCGCAACGACGCCGGAAUCUAGCUCGGCAGCCGUGAAUUUCCAACAAUUGGCCGGCGGAGAAACAGUGACUCCCGGUGACUGUGGAUGGUUGGGAAUUGAAGAGGGAGUCGUCGGGAACAAAACUGAGGUGGUGACGUGGUCAAAUUCCGGUGGAAUCAACGGCGGUGGUGAUGGGUUUCGGCUCAAGCCUUAAACGGCGGUGUUCCGGUCAAUUUUCGGCGAAGAUGACAGCUGCAAUAUGACCAACGUCUCACGGGCUUUCGAUUGAUACCUUGAUCAACCGGAGGGGUGGCCGGAAAUUGGAGACAUGGCCGGGUCACGUUCGCGGGUCGGGUCGGGUUUUGGGUCUGUUUUUGGUCGCUUCUCCCCUUCACACGUGUGCCUCUGUUUUCCCCUGUUUUCUCUUUCAUUUAUUUUAACUUUUAGCCGCCUCAUCUUAGUAUUUAUUUUUCUUCUAUUUUCACAUAUGUUUACUUAAACAACAUUUUUGAACUAUUGAAAGAAAUGAUCAUGGGUUACUAGAUGGGCCUGAUUCGUUAGUCUAUUAACCUUGGAUGCAUUUGAUCCAUAACAAUACCUGUGGUACGUGAUUGACUGGAAUCAUUUGCAUUCAUAGUCGUUCACUAGAAUCAUUUGAAUACCACCACACUGCUUUCCGAUCCUCUAGGGGUAACCUUGCUGUUUUGCUUGUGUUGAAAUAAGCCGAGAUUCAUAGGGGUGGAUGAAGUUUUGAACAUCAAACUCUUUCUUGGCUGAGUGUCAUCGUCUUCUAUCUUAUGCUGCAUUGGCUUGUUCAUUUUGUUCCUUGGACUGCAUUUGGAGAAAUAGAUGCCUGAAUUCAGUAUGAGCAAAGUUAAGAGUAGAUAAUAUACAUCACAUAUUUUCUGAUUGCUAAAAUAGUAUUAACUAGGGUUGGUCCCUGAUGUGUAUCUUGACAUGGUCUUAAACCUUCAUUACUUUUUCAUCAAGCCAUAAAGUGCCUGCAUACAAGUUGAAAACCAGGAAACUUGCAACUGCUGCCCAAGACUAUAUACUGUUGUAGCAGAUAAUUAGCUAUUCAAUAAUUUUGGUAUAUCUCAUUAGUAUUUGUGGAAUGCCUUUGAAAUCCUUGCAUGCAUGCUUCAUAUCCCAGCAGUUUAUGGAUAAAGGCACGUUAAUCCCCCUCUAGAUGAAAUUACUUAAUUGCUUAAAUGAUUUUUUUUUUCACACAUUUAUAUUUAGAAGUUUGUGACUAUUUUUUGUUGUCCAGGUUUCUUGUUGAAGAAAAGUGCAAAAACUAAUGGAUGGAGCAAGCGAUGGUUUGUUCUGAAUGAGAAGACUGGAAAGGUUUGUAACUAACAUUUUGUCCCAUACGCUUACAUUUUUUAGACAUGGAGUAGUUAUGCUAUUCAUAUGUUUUAGGUGCUUUUAGGCAUGGUAUCUAACCUUUGUUAAAUGAUUUUAGCAUUAUAAAAUUUUUAAAAUGAGUUACAUUCUAGCCUCCAUUCUCUUAUUUUUUAUGUUUUUGCAUUAAAGAAAUAUAGGACACUGUUAUGAUAGGCAUG